rnacentral:lncRNA from 1 species
UAGCUUUUUAUUAUCAAGAGUGUCCCUCACCGUGACCCUAACAAGCUCAGCAUUCUCGUCAUAAAACAAAAACCCCGUAUCCAACCAAUCCUUAUCGUUAAUAUCUUUAUUUUUAGUCCCUAUACUUUUCCAAAUAUUCCACAUUCGAUCUAUAUUCGAAUGGUGCGAAAAAAAUAUUGGAUCCCUUCCAGCGGAGUAAAAAUUCCCCAUGUCUUCAAAUUAGGUUGCGUGUUAUCUCCGGUCCAUAAAUGAACCGGACCAUGUGGGGUCGUUUCGAUUGAACCGCCCCCUGGAUCUGGUUCAGUGCCAGCCCUGUAGGGCGAACCAAAGAACAACAGCGGUUUCUUGGAGUUGGAAACCAUCUGCCUAUACAUAAUUUUGAGGUUGGCUUCGAUUUGAGCAUCGUUGGACAUUGUUUCAUCCGUGCCGUUGAAGUCAAGAUCGAUGAGAGUCGGCGGCUGAUGGCUGGCAGCGCGAAGCUCGUCGUAAAGCGGAGAGUCCGGGUUAGCGAACAAGGCAGGGAGUUGCAUGCCAGCUGGCGCGUCCCAGUUCCAAAACGGCAACGCGAACGUCGGAUCGUCUAUGAGUUUGGCCAAGAUUCUUUCGUGGAAGUAUAGGUAGUAACGAUGGAAGGGGAAGAAAAGCCAGCAUUGAUGGAUUUGGAGCUCGAGGUUGGGGAAGCCGACUUGGUCGUACGCGCCGUCGCAAUAGGCACAGUGGAGAUCGGCUUGCUGGGUGAAGCUACGCGGAUCGUCGUCCGGGAGGGCUUUCAUGAGCUCGAUGGCUUUUGAAUAUUUUUCGAUGUAGGCUUUAUCCACGGUGUGAGCUGCCGGCCUGACGCGGAGUUUGGUAGGGGAGGGGAAUUUGAAGUCUACGAUUUUUUGGGACGUUGGCGGGCAACAGUUGGUCGGGACUGCUCCACUUGGAAAGUCCGCAGCUCCGCAUUUGGCUAGGUCAGGCGGCGACACUGGCUUUGCAACAGCGAAGGGGUCGCUGCCAAGACCAGCCACUCCACCGUAUAGGCUUCCGAGACCUAUAAGUACAUUUCUUCUGUCUAGGUUUACUGGAGAAGGGUUUUCAUGGUCGUGAUCGUUGGAGCUAGUGGAAGGGUUUUUGUUUUGGUCACUACUAUUAUUUGUGGCUUUGCAUGAGACAGCUUGUAAAUUGGAAUGCCUAGGGUUUCCAAAUGAGGAUAUUCGGUGAUACUUUUGGGAGAAAGGGGAGAGGAAAGUUGUGGGGAUGAUACUUGUGGCGGAGGUGACGAGUGGAGCUGACAUAGAAGCCAUGGUUACUUUUGACUCUGAAUAAUACGUUGUAUUGGCUUUGCUUUUAUAAUGUGUUCUAGGUUGUACUUUUCUUUGCACAGGUGGCAGGCCGUACACACGUGGUCGGUCCUUAAGGGUUUGACGAGGAAUACUACGUAGUCAUUUAGUACAGGACAACCAUACACUAUAGCAAGUGGCAUGUAUUUAGAGAUCGAGAGAGAAUUGGGUAAGGUUCACGAGGGAUUUGUAGUUUCAGAAGGUGAAUUGGUUUUGGUCUUCUUGUGUACCAAUAAUAUUUACUUAGUCAUUUAGUGCAGGACAACCAUGCACUAUAGCAAGUGGCAUGUAUUUAGAGAUCGAGAGAGAAUUGGGUAAGGUUCACGAGGGAUUGUAGUUUCAGAAGGUGAAUUGGUUUUGGUCUUCUUGUGUACCAAUAAUAUUUACUUAGUCAUUUAGUGCAGGACAACCAUGCACUAUAGCAAGUGGCAUGUAUUUAGAGAUCGAGAGAGAAUUGGGUAAGGUUCACGAGGGAUUGUAGUUUCAGAAGGUGAAUUGGUUUUGGUCUUCUUGUGUACGGCUGUGGGUCUGCUGUCCCGGACUCUCUGUCUCAUUUGUGUCUUAUUUUUUAUUUUUUCACACGUGUCUUUUACUUAACGUCAAAUCAUGAUAGCAAUGUUAUGCAAUUGGGAGCUAAACGACCGAUGCUUUUAUUUUUUAGUUUGCUUUUUUUCCAGAUCUGAUCAAAUCAUGAUAGCAAUGUUAUGCAAUUUUCAAGAGGGAAAGAUGCACCUGGGAGAGAAACGGUACGGUGACUUCUAAAUCACCGUCCAACAGAACAAUUCUCAGUAGAGACUACUAGAGAGAGAUGCACCUCACCAAUGAAAAAUUUAACUGCAAAAAUUCUGGGUAUUGGGUAAGGAAAUUCGGUGAUACUUUUGGGAGAAAGGGAAGAGAGAAGUUGUGGGGAUGAUACUUCUCGUGGAGGUGACGAGUGGAGCUGACAUAGAAGCCAUGGUUACUUGACUCUGAAUACUACGUUGUAUUGGGUUUGCAUAUAUAUAUAAUUAGGAUUGAAGGAUGUAGAGCUUAUUUUGUUAUGUAUUUUAACGAUUUAAGUGCUUAUCUUUUAGGUUUUCUCUUAAACAUCAUGUCUAUAAAAAAUCACCAAAAUUCAAACCAUAUGACCAUUAGAUCCAUAGUCAUUUUAGUGUUUAUUUGUAAAAUGUAUUCAUUCAUUUUCUUCACUACAAAUGAGUGAAUUAAUGAUUUUAGAAUUUGUCUAAUUUUUUACAUUGAUUAUUUAUGAAUGUUGAAUUGAAAUUUAGACGAUUCAAAAAUAGUUGAUAUGCAUUACAAAAUGAACUCCACAAAAUAAGUGUCAAAAUAUGUAUAAAAAAUGGACAGCGUGAAUGGCUUGGAAAUUGGAAUAGGUUUGAAAAUUGUGCUUUUUGUAGCAAAUUUUAGCAAAGUUUGCUUGGACUUUCACAACCGUAUAAAUUAAAGGGAAACUUGAUAUAACUCCAAUUUUUUGAGCCAAUAGUAGGAAUAGUCCAGUUUAUUAAAAUAAGUUCAAUUCUUUAAAUUUAAUUAUUUAGUUAUCAAUAAUUAUCUCUUAAAAGAAAAAACUUAUUGUAAAAAUCAAAUUUCUUCCUAAUUAUCUCUUUGAUUAUUUCUUUUUAUUUAUUUAUUUGUUAUUUCUUGUUCUUCCUCCUGCUUUAACCCAUUUAUAGAUUUUUUUUUUAAUUUUAUAAUCAACCUAUGUCACAGGUUAAUUGUAUUUAUCUACCUAUAUGACAUAUUCUUUUUCAUAGUCAACAUUUCACAGAUUAAUGUGUCUUGCUUGUAGAUAUAUUAUGUUUUUUUCUACCUUUUAGUUAGGUUUCAUAUCUCACUUAUAGGUAUAAUAUACAUUCAUAUAUUUGCUACUUGAGUUAGGGUAGAAUGUUUUGCAGAUAGAUUUAUGUUAGUAUAUUAAUUUUUUUUUGUUUAUAAGAUAUUAAUUAGAUAUUUUGGAGUUGAAAAAUGCAUAAUAUUAAAAGCUUUUAAUUGAUUUUUAAUAUUUUUAGAAAAUAUAAAAGGAGUAUAAAAGAAAUCAAAACAUAUAAUUAGAUAACGGGAGUCACUCCUAAAAACACUCUAUGUUUUUUGACCUGGAUCUUAAAGCCCCUAAAUUAAACUGUUCGCUUUGUUGGGAAAAAGAAGUGGCCCUAGUUUCCCUUUGAUUUUUCAAGCACGGUGGGAGACUGGUCAUAGUUUCUAGAUUGAUGCUCUAAUUCUAAUGUUAUACAACGCGUACGCUAUAAUAUUUUUAUCAAAAUAUUAGUUUUAGUGUUAUCAAAACAAUAUGUUAUUCUUACCAUGUUUUUGUAUCACAAUUAUAUACCACCUUAGAUGGUAUCUGAUGUGGACAGCCACAUCAUUUAAAUUAAUAAGCAUUUAAUUUCAAAAUGUUAAUCAAUAAUUAAUAAAAAGAUUGUUAAUUAAAUGAUGAUUGUGGUAUACAAGGAGUCUCCUUCUUCCUUCCUCUUUCCAUUCUGCUUUUUCUUCUUACCUCUUUUUUUUUUUUAAUGCCAGUUUUGUAUUGAUUUCUGUUGAUUUCCAUGAUUAUGGUCAAUCUUUAUAGAAUUUACUAGUAUGCCACAAUCACCAUUGAUUUCUAUCUCCAGACUCAUGCCCCGUAGCCCUAAUCCUCAUUCCCCUUCAAGUAUUUCUGUCUCCAAUCUUCUUUGGUACUCCAUGAUUGUUCAUCUCGUGAUAUUUUUUUUUUUGAUUAUUUCAUUAAGUAACGCUUAUUAGCUUUCAUGCGAAUUAGGAGUCAAAAUCAAAUUUGUCUAUCGGAUUAGGGUUCAUACCCAAUUAAGUUACUAACGCCAGAGGGAUUUUGAAGUAUGCAAUUUUCCUUAUUUAAGUGUUUUAAUUAAUAAGAAAAUUGAAAUUAAACAAUUUAGCUUGUCCAACUCAUCUGCCACCUAAGAUGGUAAAUAAAUGUGGUAUAAAAUUGUGGUAAGAAUAUCAUUACUCUUAUCGAAAUUACAAAAAAAAAAAAAAAAGCUGAUUCAAUAUUUAGUUAUUAAAAAAAAAAUGAUCAAGUAACUAUCCAAUACCCAUGUAUUGGGUGCUUUGUUUGAAAAUUUUCAAAAUGAUAUUGGGCUCGUUUGGAUAUGUUUUUAAAAUGACUGAAAGCAUUUUUAGAGAAAAUAUUUUUUUGAUUCCAAAAGCACUUAAAGUGCUUUCUGCAAGAAGCACCCGUUAUGUGCUUCUUCCUGGAAGCACUUUAAGUGUUUUUCCAGCAUUUACUUGCUUUUUUACUAAGGACUGGUUCCAAAAACAUUUUCACAAAAAGUGUUUUCAGUCAUUUUAAAAGCACAUUCAAACGAGCUCAUUGUUUUUCCUAUUUUAAUCGAGUGCGUCGUCCUCUGUUGAGAAUGAAUCUCAUAUUAUGGGAGGAGGGAUCUUGCAUGAAUGGGAGGAGGGACCUUGCAUGAGCUUAUAAGUAAGUUGGGUUACUCUCCAUAUUGCCAAAAGAAAUUUUAUUUGGACCCAGUUUUCCUCUCUCUAAACCCAACUUUAAUAUUUUGUUACCUAUAAACUCUCUAGUUUACCCUCAUAAAUUAUAAACAUAAAUAAACUAGAAAAAGAAAAACUCAUCAAACCCAUUUCCCAACUGUUCUGGCGUCUCUUCCCUGUAUUUGUUGGGUCUGUCUCCCUCCCGACUGUUUUUUUUUUUCUGAUAUCUCUGUGUGUUCCCCCACCUCUCCCACACCCACCAAUUCUUUGUGGUGGCUAUUCCACCAAACGUCCAGUGAAUCUUUCCAUUUUUCUUCUAUUGCGCGUGAUAGGGCCUUGCUAUUAAUAGGCAAAACUAAGCGGCAUCGUCGACUCCGUAAGCGACUUGUUGCAUAAGUCCAAAAUGGAGUCAAAUGGAUUUUGUAUUGGGUCGGGUUGUUGAAGGCGAUGGCUGAUUUAGCAAUCCCGCCUAACUAUUUCUAUAUGUAGGAGAAGGAAGAGGGAGGGAGGUCUGAAGUGGUGGUUGAGUGGUGGCGAUGUAUGUGGGUUCUCUCUCGGUUGAAUGGGUGUAGAAAGAUAUUUAAUUUUCAAUAUCUUAUUUUAUUUUGUAUAAGGGAUAAUAUAGGAAUUACAUAAAAAGUUUUUUUUAUAGCUAGGUGUAGAAAUAGUAUUGUUGGGUCUAAAUAAAAUUACCCUAUUGCCAAUUAGUUUUAUGGUGAAAUCUUAACUUUGUUCAUGCUUUCAUAGUAGGUUGUUCCACGUGUGAAGUCAAACAUCCACACGCGCUGCACGUCACCCCGUUGUGUUGUUCACGUGUUAAGCUUGAAAAUUCAUCACACAUGAGGGAGCGUGUUGAGAAUAAAUUCCACAGUUUAUAAGUAAGUUGUACUACUCCGUAUAUUACCAAUUAAUUUUGUGGAAUUCCGUCAAAGCUGAAUUUGACGGAAAAAAAUAACUUCAUGUUUGUUCUUAACUAUAAAGUCAGUGAUACACUAAUUCUGGUUUGUUUGUUUUUUCCUUCCUUCUUAAGGAAAUUCCCAAUCCAACCAAAAAAAUGAAAUUCCCAAGAGAAUAGUAGCACGAACAAUCGUAGCUUUCUUCUUCGAUAAGCCUUGGGGAAACAGAAAAGGGAAAACCGGACUUUAACCCUAAUUUCUCCCAAUGCCGCAGCACUCUCUAUUUUCUCUCUCGCUCUAUAUCGCGGUCCCUCUCUCUCGCCGUCCUCUAUUGCUCAAACUCAAUGUCUCCAACUUCCUCUGUAUGGUUCCCGAGGAAGAUGGUAAAACAGUAAGGGCAAGAAAUUGUGACAAGGUUAGAUUUGGGUAUUAAUCUGGUGGGGCUACAAUUCUCCAAUCCACACCCCUUUCAUCUGUGCUAGUGUUUGAACCCAAUAUUAGAUAACCGGUCCAUGCAAUCGAUGCCGUUGAAUGAGAAAAAUUCUAGGCCGUGGGAUCAAAUAUAAUGAUGUGGAUUAAAUAAGGAAAAUUUAAAGAGUAAUGAUAUUCAUACCAUGUUUUUGUACCACAUUUUCAUACCACCUUAGGUGGCAUUUGAUGUGGAUAGCCACAUCAUUUGAAUUAAUCAGAUUUUAAAAUUUAGUUGAUUAUUUAAUAAACUAAUAAUUAAGAAAAACUAAUUAAUUAAAUGAUGAUUGUGAUAUACGAGGAGUCUUUCUCGUUCAUUUCUUUGGGUUUUGCAAAUUUUUCAAAUGAUGUGGCUGUCUACAUCGGAUGCCACCUAAGGUGGUAUAGAAAUAUGGUAUAAAAAUAUGGUAUGAAUAUCAUUACUCAAAUUUAAAUGUUUAUCUUGGUUAAAUUACCAUGAUAAUAUUGUGGAAUUAUCUUUUGCAUAACGGAAGAGCGAGAAAAGUCCAAGGGUGUAGGGAAGUUGUGUGGUUGACUACCGCUAUUUUGAUGGUAUAAUCUGUAGAGUAAUAUUACAUUUAACAUCUAUUUGUAUCAUAUUUCUAAUAAAGAUAAGGACCAUCAAUGCAUAAAUAAUUAAACAAAUAUAUAAUAAGAGUAUCAUUUUUGUAACUAGAAUAGGAGAAGAAAGACUUCAAGAUGGGAUCAGCCAAAUAAUUAGCGUUAAGAUAAAAAUAUUGAAAGGAAAACUAAUGAAAAUGGCUUGAAAACUUUGAGUUUUAACGAUAAGGACAAGAUAAAGGGUAAAGUGAAUAGUACCAGGAUUGACUUUUUAAUGUAAAAAUAUAGUUUUUCGUUAAAGUGAACAUUACCGGGAACUUUUCGUUAAAGUUUCCAAUGAGAUAAUAUUGCAACAGCUGGCAUGAGACAAUGAUGGUAUAAAGAUGGCUACUACGGCCAAACUACUACAUAGGAUUCCAUACAUGCGGUCAUUAUUUCGACAAAUCAAUGGCUGCCGCAAUCAUGUGCUCAUUAUUCCGACAAAUCAGUAGCUACUUGCAUUGGAUUAGGAUUGCAUGCGUGUGGUCAUUGAAUGAGGAUUGCGUGCACGUGAUCUUUAUUCAAACAAAUCACUAUUGACCAUAUAUUGCAAUUGGUUAAUGGUAGGCAAAUUGAAUUUUUACAUCAAAUAAUGUGAUUGCUGAUAAUUGAAUUAUUAUUUAAAUGUUGAUUAAUAUGCUUAUUUUUUAUUUGUGAUAUAUCAUUUAAUUUGUACAUUUAGUUUACCUAACAUUACCAACUGUAAUUUGUAUAAAUGGACUGGUACCUAACAUAACCAGUUGUAAUUUGUAUAAAUGGGACUGUAAUUUGUAUAAAUGGACUGGUGCCUAACAUUACCAGUUGUAAUUUGUAUAAAUUUACUGGUCCCAAGAGCACAUGCUACUGCUCAAGAAGCAAAGUUCUUAUUUGCCCAAAAAAAAUCAUGGUUUUUUAAUUGAUGCUCUCAUUUUAAUUUACUAGCCCCUUACUUGGCCUUUUUUAUUUAUCAUUUUAUACAUAUUAAUAUUUUUUUGUAAAAUAUAUUAGUUUGAGUUUUAUUAAAAUUAAAAAUAAAUAAAAAAACUUAGUUUUAGUUUUAUCAAAUUAAAAAAAAAUGACUUAAUAUUUAGUUAUUGAAAUUGUAAAAAAGUGAUCAAGUAUUGGGUGCUUUGUUUGAAAUUUUUCAAAAUGAUAUUGUUUUUACCAUUGAAACCCUGUUAUAUACAGUGAUGGCUAAUUUGUCAAGUUCUACGAAGUUGGGAUACCCAGCGUUUUAGCAUAUAACAUAGCUUAGUAUUACAAGCAUAAUUAAUUAAAAUAAAGGCAAAAUAAGAGGAUAGCUUAGUAUUACAAGCAUAAUUAAUUAAAAUAAAGGCAAAUUGUAACAGCCCGUCCCUAAAAAUGACGAUUUUAUAAUCUUAACACGUGAGUUUAUGAAGAUGCCCUUCGAGGCAAAGUGUUGACUACCGCGUCGUGUCAUGUGAGACUCAUCUUCUUGGCGUAUUCUCGUUUUACUCGUCGCUACGGAUGCGUGGGCGCAAACGACACGUGAUUUGGAGCUAUAACAAAAGAGUUAUUAACAUUUAAAGUUAAGGACAUUUUAGUAAAUUAAUUAAUUUCAGAUUUUGUUGAGGGGAAAAUCUGGAGUGCCAUGUGGGUGGCCCAGAUUAAAGGAAAUGAGGAAUGGAUGGUGGAGGUGUAAAGGAAAGAAGAUAAAAGAAAAAUGAGAGGAAAUGUGUGACUAAUAGGGAGAUGAGAGAGUUAGGAUGGCCCAAUUAGAAACAAACGAAAGGAGGAAAAAGGAGAGAAGAGGGGAGCAGGGGAUCCCUUCAACCCGGUUCCACUUUCCGACCCGACCCGAUCCUUUUCAUCUUUUCCGGUGGUUUUUCGUCAGUUUUUCCGGCGAACCACGUUAUCUAACCCCGUUGAAAAUGUUCCACGACCUUCCCUCUACCAUUACAACCCAAAAUUGUAGAAAUUUAGCCAUGAAAGUAUGAAAACCGCACCGGUGGGUGCGGGAAACCUUUGUCGUCGAUUCUCCCAUUAUUGAAACGAUUUUCACCAAUUAUCACCACCUACAGCAUCCUCUUGAGGUCUGGAAUAAAGCCCAAACAAGUUUUGGGGCGUUGGAGUUCGUUUAAGGUCGAAUUGAGCACACCCAAAUUCAAGGGUUCCGUACCGUUCAUGGUGAUUUGAGGUGUUUCUCGGCCAAAUUGGCCUUAGUCACAAGUAUGAAAGUUGCUCCACUCGUUGAGAUCUUCAUUUAUGUGAAAUUUGAGAAUUUUUUGAAAUAUUUGGAUUUUCCAGCGAGUCGGGGUGGCGGACCGCCACCGGCAGCAGCGCAUGGCCAGUGGUCCACCAAUGUCAUUUUACGUUAAAUUGAUAUCUUGAUUUUAGAUUUGAUGUCUAUAUGUUAUGACUUGAUUAUGUGAACCUAGUUUGAUUAAGGUGCGUUAAUUGGUAAAAAUAUGAAACGACGAUCCGACCGUGGGAUCGUCACCAAACUUUAAUAUGUUAUAGUACAUAAUAUUUGAGAAUCAUAGGGACUGACAGAUAGGAAAUCCGAGAUACAGAUCUUCCCGAAAUGGAAUUGUAAGUUUGAAGAAUAAACGUUAACCGCCACUUUGUUUUGACUAUUGGUGGAGAUCCAACCGUUGGAUCAUAAUGAAAUUUUAGGAUGAUGUUUUAGAAGCAUAAUGUGGAUCUUUGGAAGUUACUGAUCGGAAAUCCGAGGAGUGAAUCUUCCGAAUUGAAUUACGUAGGGUUGUGGACCUUACCGUCGAUCGUUGACCGAUGAUCGACUUUUGGUCAAUGGGGCUUAAAUCAAUCUAAAACGUUUUUAGGGAUGUGUUUUACGUAAAUUACAUGAUCUAUUGAUAAGAAUUAUGAGAUGUGGUUUGAUAAUUGUCCUAGGUGCCGAUCGUUAGGAACGCUUCGAUGGUUAUGCUAGGAAAUUGUAGCACAGACUCCUUGUGAGUGAAUCUUUUCCUUCUUAUCAUAUAUAUAUAUAUAUAUAUAUAUAUAUAUAUAUGAUUGACAAUUCCACAAACGUUUAUAAAUUGAUUAUUGCAUAUAACUACUGUGAAUACUUUGAAGUACUUAUGCGAACUACGAAUGGCUUGAUCCGUGUUUAGGGUACGUAGGCAGUCUAACAAGACGUUAGAUGUAGUCAUACAAUAAUUGAGAUUAAACAAUUGAGAUAAAGCCUUGUUUGGGGAACUGGGCAAGGUGAAGGAAUUUGGUAAAAAGGUGAGAUUUAACCUUAUGAAUUGGUGAUUAAAUGUUGGUCAUAAAUCAAUGUGUAAAGAAUCAAGAAUUUGAAGUAAGGAAACGUAAGUAAUGAUAAUUAAUUAAACUAGUGUCUAGUUGGGCUUGUCACCUAUAAUUAUCCCCGAAAAUGAAUAAUUCGGGAGUAGGGCGUUACAGCUUCUGCAUUUUUAUGCCACAUUAUAUAUAUAUAUAUAAUUGGAAAUGCUAUAACAUGGUUGAGUAUCAGAUUUCAUCAUGGUUUAUCUAUAUGUAUAUUACCUGCACACAAUUAUUAUGAACGCGUUGAAGUGCAAAGGUGAAUGCACGACACCCAGGUAAGUUCAGGUGAGUUUAUGGUAUUAGUUGAAAUGAUGGGGUUAUGGUAUGACUACAUGUAUGUUUAGGUUGCAAUGAUAGGCAACUCCAACACUGUCGUACAGGUUGCCCAUGAAUUGUACAUGUUACAAUAGAUACAGUUAGAGCUCAUAAACCUACACCCCGGUGUUAGUACUCCCGCUCGUGGCCAGGGCACAGUCCUUCACGUGAUGUUCACCUCCCGCACCUUACGCUCACCUUGGAUCCAAGGUAGGUGCACAAUCAUGUCGUACCACUAUAGGUGGUUCCGACUCGUAGAUGACCCGCGAUUAUUUGCACAGUCUUCACGUGAUUGUAGCACUUGAGCGUAUUUAUUUACACCCAGUUCUAUUGUACAGACCACUUUAGGUGGUUCCGACUCGUAUGCAGGUAUACUUAUUAAGCUAUGGAUAAGUCGUACAGGUCACUAGAAGUGACUCCGACUUAUGAGCUAGCAUAUGUGAUGAGCUAGCAUAUGUGAUGAGAUAAGUGAUGAGUUAGUAUAUGUAAUGAGAUAUGUGAUGAGCUAGCAUAUGUGAUGAGAUAUGUGAUGAGCUAGCAUAUGUGAUGAGAUAUGUGAUGAGCUAGCAUAUGUGAUGAGUUAGCAUAUGUGAUGAGCUAGCAUAUGUGAUGAGAUAUGGGUAAGUCGUACAUGUCACUAUAGGUGACUUCGACUUGCGUGCUAGUAUGGGUUAUUAAUCACAUGAUUAUUGAUAUUACUGAUGAGAUGCUGUGUUGUGGUAUAUUUAUGAUCUUUCUGGAAACUAUGCAAGUGUUGUAACGAGGGGUUAUAAUGAGGUGUUGUAACGAGGGGUUAUAAUGUUUUAUAUGGUUUCUGUUAAAAUUUUAUUUCUAGGGUCACUCACCCUUAUUUUGUUUUCACCCUCUAGGUUUUAUUAGCUGAGCUUUCUUAUCGUCGAAGAUUCGUGGCGAUUCUUAGUAUUGGAGAUUAUUUCGAGAGUACGAUUCUUAAUUCACUUUACUGUACUUGCUUAAGCUGUAACGUCACGUGUGAAGUGGGUUCAUUUCCGCUUACCAGCGCAUUCUGGUAUUUAGGCACUCUUAGGUUUAAAUUUAUUCACAUUUUUCCACAUCAUCAAACUUUAUGGCUUUGUCACUCUUUAGGUGUCGGCCAGCACAGCUCGAUUUGGAGUCCUAGUGGACAUUCCGGGUCGGGGUGUGUCACAAAUGAAGAGGAUGGUUGAACUUGUUAAGUUUCUUAAGUGUGUCUACUUGAAGUGUGUUGCUAAUAAAUAUUUUGUUGUAGGCAUAAUUUACUGAACAAUUAUGGAGGCAGAGAGAGAGAGAGGGAAUAUGCGGCAUAGAGAGAGAAGAGAGAGAUGUGUAAUUGUGAGGUGUGUUCUAUUCCACCCCAUUGUACCUUUAUUAUAUUAGUAGGGAAAGUUAAUUCCUUACCCUUUUAGGAUUACAACUCUAAUAGGAAAAUAUCUAGUCUAAGAGAUAUGAUAGAAUCUCAUAAGGAUAUCCUAGAUAUGUUAGGAUUUACACAAUCAUAUUCCUAUUCCAAUAAGACUGCAACACAUUUGUAUUUUUUUAGAAUUUUUUUGAUAAUUUGUUGGUAUUCUCAAUUUUUGUUAACAUUGAAAAUAUAACGGUUCAGAUGAAAAACCUUUGGAAAUCCAACAGCUUGCAAGACGUUGGGCUGUGCUGAAGGAAGCUGGGCUGUCACGUGGAUGGGGCCCUCCCUCUCCCUCUUGUUGAUUCAAAGGGCGCAGGCCCGUGCAACAAUUGGCGAGGCAGCCCAUAGAGAUCCUGCGAUUCACCCAUUCGCCAUUUUUUCCACCGCUGGAGCACCAAAAUUCGGUCAAAAGGCAGGGGUAUCAAUGGCAAGGGCAAUUUGGCUUCCGCUGGAGGUGCUCUUUGUCGACUUUGUUUUUUCUCUCAUUUUAGCUUUUGCAGUAAUAUUGAAGUAAUCACUCCAAUUUUAUCCAAACUUUUGUUGUCCGUCAAUUUUUAUCAAAACUAUUGGUUAAUUUACAUAUUCAGACUAACCUUCUCAUUAUUUUUAGUAUUUUUAUCAUAAAUAAUAUCUGAAAUAGUCACAUUUUAUUCAACAACCACUCAAUUAAAAAUUAAUUAGUGUUGUUUCUAAACCAUUACAUCAAGCUUUUGUAGAUACACAUCAAUAUUGCAGCGAUCCGAGGCAUUGUUUUAGUGACGGUAGUACUUUCUACUCCUUGGAUUUGGUGAAUCGGAAAAGAGAAGAGUUACGAGUAAAAGUCCCUCGCAUUGUUUUGGGGAGAUGAAGAUGAUGAUCUUUUGUUUUUGUUUUUUAAUGAUUAAUCCACGCAGCAACAUAUAAUUAAAUUGUUGGGAUCUACUCAAGUUCCAUAUCACACACUAACAUAAAAUUUGACAAACGAAACGAAAUAUGUGUGUAGACAUCGAAAUUUCGUAAAUAAAUGUUGACCGAUAAAUCAAAGUGUCAACGCUCAUGUAUUACAUAAAUUUUACACGUAGCGUGUGACUCAACGAAAAUUGAAAUGAGUUGGAAAAGUCAUCAAAUAGGACACGUGUCAACACCUGGCAGAAACGACUUAUUUCAUCUGGGAUAUUAUAUUCAAAAUUAGCCAUUGGAAAAUUCUAUAAAUACAAGCCCAUUUCAUUCAUUUAAGGAGAGGAAUUCAUAUUACACCUUGAAGCUCUGAAGCUCUGAAACUCCGAAGCUCUCAAGCAUCCAGGUUCCCGAAGAAUCAAGAAAGUGUUCUUCGUUCUUCGUUCAUCGUUCUUCCAAGAUCAAGCCUCGACGGCCCUUGGAUCAACAAUCAUCCACCUUCAAGAUCAAGCCCCGACGGCCCUUGAAGAAAGCGUUCUUCGUUCUUCGUUCAUCGUUCUUCCAAGAUCAAGCCCCGACGGCCCUCGGAUCAACAAUCAUCCACCUUCAAGAUCAAGCCCCAAAGGCCCUUGAAGAACUUCCACCAAUUCAAGAUCAAGCCCCGACGGCCCUUGAAGAAAGCACCAUCGUUCAUCAUCCGUUCAUCCAAGAUCAAGCCCCAACGGCCCUUUAGAUCAACAACGUCGACAAAUCCACACAUCCAACCGUUCUUCAAGAUCAAGCCCAAAAGCCCUUGAAGAUCCGUUCAUCACUGUUCUUCAAGAUCAAGCCCAAAAGCCCUUGGAGAUCCGUUCAUCACUAUUCUUCAAAGAUCAAGCCCAAAAGCCCCUUUGAAGAUCCGCUCAAAUCCACCUUCAAGAUCAAGUCCACGGCCCUUGAAGAACGUUCAUCCUUAGAUCAAGCCCAACGCCCCUUUGGAUCAAUCGCACAUCCACAAAUCAACACCUUACGGAGAUCGAAUCAGAGGAUCAAAAUAGAGAGAGAUUGUAACCCAAAAUCAUCAAAUACAAAUAUUUGUUUGUGCGCGUUGUUCUUGUCUCUUUCGUUUCAGGAAUUUUCCGUGUUCACAAUGUGCUCUUGAAAUCAAAAUGAGGGCACUGCUCCAAGAACAAGAAGGGCACCUUGUCGAGGUCGCCAUCCGCCGUGAGGGAAAACCGGAAGAAGUUGGACAACAAUGAUAACAUCAAUUUGCGGCACCCAUAUCGGGACAUCACACUGUGAAAUAAAUAUUGAAAUAAAUACUCAAAACUCCUGGAAAGUCCUCGAGACAACAAACUUUCAUCUCCUUCAAACAUUUCAUUUUACUAAGUUUUAUCUUUGAAGGGAGGGAAAAAAAGAGAAGAGAGAAUCCUACUCCUUAUUCCUGAAUAUAUUCAAGAAUAGCUAUUGAAUAAAGAGAGAAUGGAGGGUGAUCGAAAGAGGAGGGAAGAGAAUUCUAGUUCCAAACAUAAAAAGGACCACAACUUUUAAAUUAUCAGCACAAUCAUCACCUAAUUGAAGAGACCAUUCACUGUGAAACAUAUUGUCAAUCAGUCUAUCUAUAUCUAUUUAUAUACCAUAUUUUUAGAGUAAGAUUCUCUCACCUCCUAUUACCAUCCCCUUCCAUCCUUUCAUCUCAUACUCUUUUUUUGUUGUCUUAUUCUCUAUAUAAAAAAAUUCAAAACAAGAUGUAUACGUGACGUAAUCGUAACCGUUUAAAUAAGAGGGGAUAGAAGAGAAGAGAGAUUAGGAGAAGGGAGAAUCCUACUCCCACAUUUUUCUUCUUCAUAAACAAAAGAGAGGUUCUAGAUUACUUGACUCUAUGCCUCAUUUUUUUCAUCAAGUAUUUGUGAUAAGUGGGUUCAUUUUCAAGUAUUUUAGUUUUUUUGUCAAAAUUGAGAAAACUGAAAAUCAAACAUUAAUAUGAAAAAUUAAAAAAUCAACAUAUAAUUAUUUAGAAAUCGCAAUAGAAAAGAAAAAAAAUGGAGGUUUGUGAUGAAAAAUCUUUUAUACUAAGUAAUUUAGUAUCCUUAUGCAUGAAGAUAAAUCAAUUUGUUCGUUACGGUCAUACUCUUUUUUGAAUUUUUGAACACAUUCUCCAUAGGGCCUUCUUAUAUGUUCCUUCUCCAAGCUCGGGUUAUGGAAGAAGUAAAAGAAGGAAUCGAAAAGAAAGUAUUGGUAACAACCGAUUUCAUUACGAGACAACUCUUGAUAUUCAUAUCAAUCUAUUAUGUACCUUUGCAUCUAGCAUUAGACAAUAAUUGUCAUAGCUUUACCAUAUUUUUUUGUUUCAUUUCUUCUGAAACAAUCUCACACACUUUUUUAUUAUGUGUCUACUACUAGGAAUUCAAUACGUAAUCUUAGCAUUCAAUAGUUAUUCCUAAAUAAUUUCAAUUUUCAAAUGAUCAACCAUUUCAUUUUACCAAGUUCAAUCAAUGUUAGUCAGAUUAGUCAACAUUUAUAUAUUUUGAUGCAACAACAAGAUGUUAUUUGUAACAAGUGAUUUUGUUAGUUGGUUAAUUGGUCACAAGUUAAUGUUCGGUUCAGUUUAGUUUUUCUCUCGAUUUUUUGUGAUUCGGUUUUUUCAAUUCUCUUUAGGGUCGGUUCGGUUUUGUUUUUUUAUUUAUACUUGAAUUUUAUUUUAAUUUAUUUUAAUUUAUUUUAUUUUAAAUCUGGAAACACCAAGAACAACACAAGCACAUAGUCAAUCAAACAACUAUCCUUCUCCACAAAUCAUAGUAAUAAUUACAUUCAUUGAGCUGAAAUGCAAAUAACUAACAAACUCACAAAAAUCAAAUAAAAACUACAAAUUGCUUACUCUUUUUCUUUGGGUUUCACUCGAAAAGUGUCGGUAAAAUUUAGGGUUUGCAAGAACGCAACUGAAAUCUAAAACGGAGGCCUUGUGGCCUAUGGGUUGCUAUUGAGUUCCAGUACAGAGAACCUUGCUUAAUCUCGAUCACGGUACAAAGUAUCGAGUACCUUUAGCACUGUAUUUUGGUAUGAUUGGUAGAACCAAAUUAAAAGCUAACAUCAACAACAACUACCAGAGACAAAAGCUCUUAUCAAUGCUUUGGAAACAUUUAUGUAUCUCCAAGUGUAAUGAUAUAAUUGGUUGGAAACUUGUGAUUUCGUAUCAAAUCAAUAAAAAGUUACAAUAUUGACAAUAUAUUAGCAAUUUUUAUGUUAAUUAUGAACAAGUCAAUCAUGUAGAACCAAAUUAAAAGCUAACAUCAACAACAACUACCAUAGACAAAAGCUCUAAUCAAUGCUUAGGAAACACAGUCCUGUAUCUCUAGGUGUAUUGAUAUAAUUGGUUGGAAAUUUAAAAGAAAAAUGGUGAUUUUGUAUAAAAUUGAUAAAAAGUUACAAUAUUGACAAUAUAUUUGACACACCCCGACCAAGAUCAAGGCAUGCUGGCCGUCACAUGAGAGUGACGUAACCAUGUGCACAGUGCGGAAGCAAUAAUGAUAAGAAAUAUAUGAAUAAUUAAAAACCGAAUCUACUAGAGUGCACUACUAAACAGGAAGUAUUAGGAGUAAGAUACAAAAGUAAAUACUCCUAAUCAGAGCAUAGAAAGUCUAGGUGCAAUCCAGUAGGACAAGUACUAAUUAUACAGUAUAAAAUGUCUUACAAUUAUUUAGAUAGGUCAGAACCGCCGAAGUCCUCACACCCAACAACUGCAAACUUACUUAAAACCUGAAGGGGCGCAAAAUAGAAAACGUGAGUGGGAAAAAACAAAUGUUUUACAAAACCAUUUCAUUUAUCAAUAUAUCUAACCCCUCGCUGUAAACAUGUAUAAUUUUUCCCAGAAUCAAGAUAUAAGCAUAUACAUAAAUAUAUAUAUAAAUAUAUCAAUUCAAAUCAUGCUUCACAUAAUCAUAUUCAUAUGUAUGUCAUGCCAAGAUAUAACAGAGUAAGCAACUCAGGUAAGAGUAAUUUCAUAGAAAUAUAACAUGUUAGCCGGAACCCCUGUAGUAGUCUGUACGGCUGAAUUCAUAGCUCAAAAGUCAAUCUAGCCGAAGUCACUACAAUGACCUAUACGGCAAUAUACUGCACAAGAGUCGGAACCAAAUGAAAAGAUCUGUACGACAAUAAUGGGUGUUGUUGAUGCACAAAAUCAGUGAGGACUUUGGUACAACAGAAAGUGUUAAGUUUGUGACAUUCUCUAGAUUACUCCGAUCACUAGUGUGGAUAAGUAUGUAAAUGGAUAAAGACAGGGAAGCAAACACAAGAUGUACGUGGUUCACCCAGAUUGGCUACGUCCAUGGAGUAAAUGAGUUCUUAUUAAUUGUGAAGGGUUUACACAAGUAUAUAGGUUCAAGCUCUCCUUUAGUGAGUACUAGUGAAUGAUUUAGUACAAAUGACAUUAGGAAAUAUUGUGAGAGAAUGAUCUCUAUUUAUAGAAGAGAGUUUCUAGUUUCAUUCUGACAUUGACACGUGUCAUGUUGUGAUUGGCUUCUGAUGUUGACAUGUGUUGCACUAUGAUUGGCUUUAGAUGUCAACAUGUGUCGCGUUGUGAUUGGCCUCCUGGUUUGAGGGAAACUCUUCUGGCUCCUUGACGGUAUAACGUUGAUCGAUGCUCAGUAGUUUCGGGAUUGGUCAAGUAUGGUACAAACAGGUGUAAUAUAAUCAUACUCAAUACUACUCUCACAUAAUAGCUGGGUGAUAAAUCGCUAGUCACCUAUGAGUCAGAACGAUAAUAAAGGUCUGUACGAAGACUGUGCACCUAAAUUGGAUCCAAUAUGACCAUAUGGUGCGGGAUGUGACAUUAUAUACAGGCUUGUGCCAUCACUGGCGGAGCUACACCCACGGCUACAGUAGGCUGUAGCCUAGGGAGGAUUUUAACAAACUGCUGGUAUAAUAGUUUAUAUAUGAGUUUGUUGUUGCUUAUUGUAUGUAUAAUAGCCCACAUAAAUCCUGCCAAAAUUAUUAGUUAAUGUGUUUCUUAAUUUAUAAAUAAUACUUUUAUUACCUUUUAUUAUUUUAUUAUUUUUAGGCUAAAAGUAAAAAUGGUAAAUUAAUACAUAAUUAGGUUUCUCCUAUUCCCCAUGCUUUUUACCUAUUCGUUCAAAACAAAAAAAUUAAACCCUCUACCCUAAGAAAAGAAAAACUAUGAAUCACCAUCAAAUUAUUUUCUAAUGAAAUUCAACACUAGAUAUGCUCUUCAUGUCUUCAUUUAACCUAUUUCUUGAUUCAAUUGUUCAUUCCAUAUAUCUACAGCACGACUUGAAUUGGUAUCCCCUAACCUUUUUUCUUUUGGGUACUUGUUAUCAACAAAAGUGAUAAUAUUUGUUCUCUUUCUAUUGCUUUUUUGUAUGCAUGUUUUAUUUGUGUAAAAAUUAGUUGGAAAGUAAUUAAUAAACUUGUUUGGAUUAUUAGUACUUCAUGUUCCUACUUUUAUGUAGAUUACUAUAUAAUUUUAUGUAGGCAAAAAAAAAAUUCAUAAGAUUAUAUGCUAAUGAUUUUAGUUAGCCCACCCAAGAAAAAUUUUCUGGCUCCGCUAUUAUGUGCCAUAACUCUGGCAAAAUCACAAUCACCCUAAGUGCAGUUUUAUGAGUUCAACGUUAUUCUAUCACAUAUCACAUCAUCGAUAAUUCACAUAACCAAACAUAACUCACAUGAGCUUACCUGAGCGUCCACAGUACCAUAAUUAUAUAUAAUGCAUCAUAUACGAAAUAUAAAUUCAUAUGCAUGGCAUUUAAGGUAUACUUUCAUUUAAACACAUAUUUCUGGGAAAAUAUCAAGUAUAUAAAUAUAUACUGAAAACCAAAAGCCCACUCAUUGGUAUGUCGAAGGGUCGUAGCCCCCGAGUCGCCUUUGAAUACUCUCGUCCUCGUGAUAAGUCUCACCUAUAUGCGAAUUAACUAUAAAAACGUUAUUUUAGAGCACAUACAAAAAAUUAGCUAAUAACUCUCAUACAAUGCUCAAUUUUUGUAUUUGAAUAUAUCACAGUGACCUACACAACCUCAAGAUCAUCCCUAAAUUUUUACAAUAUUUUUCUGACCCCUCACGCGCUGCCACGCACCGGCAAGGGCAACGCCUUACUCGCCCCCACGCGCGGCCACGUGACAAGCAUACUGAUGGCGUCAAUCAACAUCAUCAGGAAUAUUCUAGGGAAUAUUCUGUUAAAACCCAAUGGUAACUGUUAAAGAUGACUGACGGCAUGAGCAUAUUCUGUCAACCUUGACGGAAUAUACUCCUUUCUUCUCCGAUGAGUCGUCGGUCGCCGGCGACUUCGCCGAUUUCUUGGUAAAACUUUAAAUCGCUUAUUCUUCUUCGUUUCUUCGCCAUUUUUCAUGAAAUUGGUACCAAAAUGAAGCUAAUAACAUGUAGAAUCACUUUGUAUAAGUUUCAAGGCUUAAAAUCUACUAGUUUUUCCCUGAGAAAGCUCGAUAGUUCGGCUUACCUAGAUAUGCGUCGAUCUCAGCCCUCCGACGUCCAAUUCCUUCCAACGAAGUACCCCAAGACUCGUGAGGACCUCCUUAAGCUUCCUAUAAGCUUCAAAUUCCCUGAAACACAAGAUUUUACGUAUGCAUGAACAAUGCACAAAGUCGGAGCUAGGGUUUCCACGUGAAAUCGAAGGUUUCCUUACCUGAAAAUGGUUCCUUUGAAUUCGUAUGGUUCUCACGAACACAAUGGUGAUCUUAAAACCUUCGAUCUACAAGGUUUAAGAGGGUUUCUGGGUUGGUCCGUACGAAGAAGGGAGAGAGAGAAUGAGAAUCUGCGAGAGAGAGGGCACGGGAAGGAAAGAGAAAUAAGAUAGGUGUGUGUAUGGUCCAAAAGCCACCAAUCAAAACUAAGAAAAGUCUUAGUUGUAAUUGGGUCACCAAUCUAAAACAAUUUAACCCAAUAAUAACUUACACACAUCAUUUAACAUCCGAGGGUAAUUCCGUCAUUCUACGUCAUCGAGAAUAAUCUUCCGGGACGGGCUGUGACAAUAUCAGCAAUAUUUAUGUUAAUUAUGAAUAGGUCAAUCAUGUAUUUAAUACUUAAAUGUAUUUAAAAUAAACACCUUAUCAAUGUUUUCUGAACUGUGCUCGAUUUUUCUCCUUCGCUUUGGUUCUGUCCCAUUGGAUUUUUCAAGCAAGAUUUUAUCAAGGCAACUAUCAUUAACUGUGAACAUAAUUUAUCAUUGAGACACGAACAUCCAAGGGGGAGUGUCGUGGAAAAAAAUGUAGAUAUCUUUAUACGUUGUAUGGUAGUAAACCAUCAUAAACACCAUAAAUAUGUAGAAACGCCCUUGCGGUACCUUUGAAUGAUAACUCAUGUAUUUGUUGCCCUAUGUAAAGAUGGCUAAUGAUAAUGGAAGACUAAUUUUCUCAUCCCAAUCUCUCCUGUCUCUCUUAUUCUCUUUUCUCUAUAUUUUAUUUCCAACAAGUUGUGUUUUUUUUUUAGUAUUGUUAAGCAACCCAAUAGAUUUUAAUCGUAGUCUUUGUUUUUUUUCUUUUAUAUUUUUAAUCAAUUUCAGUUGCUUAUCAGUUCUAGCUAAUUGAGCUCUUUUACAGCAAUUUUUUUCUUUAAAUAAAAUUAUUAUUAUUAAAAAGAGUGAGAAAAUUCGAAAUUGUUACAAUAAUUUAAAAAAAAUAGGAGUUUCAAAUCAUGAAGGUAGAGGGAGUUAACAACAUUUUAGGGGGGGGUGUAGUCAAACUAGGAUUUUGAAGGAUUUUAAAAGUGAUAGAUUUGAUAGGAUUUAAGAUGAUUAAAGACUCUUACAAAAUUCAUAUGGAUUUUAAAGAAUAUGAAUGGAUUGCGGUGGAUUGUGGGGGAAGGAUUUGAAAUCCUAGGGGGUGAGGUUUGAUUCUUUUUAGUUUUGGUUAUAUAUGGUAUGCUUUCAAAUCCCAGAAAAUCCACAACUUUUUAAAAUCCUUUAAAAUCUUAAUUUUUUUAAUACACUUAGAUUUGGAUGGAUUCUAAAAUCCUUUAAAAUCUUUUAAUUGACUACACCUAGAUUUGAAUGGAUUCUAAAAUCUUUUAAUUGACUACACCUAGAUUUUAAUGGAUUCUAAAAUCCUUUAAAAUCUUUUAAUUGACUACACUAUGAUUUUAAAGUCUUUAAAAUCCUCUCAAAUCCAAGUUUGACUACACCCCCUAAAGAUUUUAAGGAAAACUAAUGAAAAUGGCUUGAAAACUUUGAGUUUUAACUAGGGGUGGGCAAACGGGUACAGGAACCGCGGGUAGGGGUGGGUAAUUCAAGUUCGGGGCAGGUAUGGGACAUGUCCAAUAUUUCUAAACACAAAACGGGGCGAGGCUGUUCGGGUAUAUGAAAUUAUCGGGGCGGGGCGGGUCUUAAAAUAGAAGGGAACGGGCCCCCAGCCUGACCCGUUUCUUUUCCUCAUCCCUAGUCUUCUCUAUCUCUCUUCCCCGACACUUUUCAUUUCACUCAAACCCGGCCCAUUUCUUUUCCUCAUCAGUCAUCCCUAGUCUUUUCAAUCUCUCUUCCCUAACUCCUUUCAUUUCACUCGUACCUCGAGACCUCCUCUUAACUCGCUCCCAGCCUCCCACCGUCCUAGCUCCGUACCUCGCCAUCAUCAUCGUCAGACCUCCAUCUCUCCUGAUUUACUCAUGUCUUCCUCGCUGCGUCCGCCGCCAUGUCUCUCUUUCUGUGACGAACUUAAAGGGACGGACGAAGUUGAACAACUCGAAACGACGCCUCUUCUGUCUGAAUUAGACCCAUAUUUGCAGCGCACGACUCUGCUCAUAGUCCUCUUCGGUUUUAAGGUAUUACGUUUUAGAGAUUUAGGAUUGAAAAUUAAAUUAGGGUUUUCUAGAUUUAGGGAUUUUGUUGGGUUCUUGAACCUUGACCUCUGUUAUGUUCCAAUUUCAAAUAUAUAUUGAAUUGAAUUUGAAUCGACUGUGUUUGAAACUUCUGUUGAAUUAAAUUGAAUUUGAGCAGGAGAAGAGGCAGAUGUGGGUUGGGCAAUGUCGAAUCUCAUUGUGGGUGGUGAGGUGGGCAUGGCGGGCGACAAUAUUGACUGGCAAUGGUACGGGCGGUGCUAUUAAGUUGCAGAAGAAUACGAAGGAGGGGGUGUGGGCAUGGGUGGAUAUCGCAAGCUCAAUUGAAUUUUUUCUGGUUUUGUUUGUGAUUAAUUGCUUGUAUAUGAUAGUUAUUGAUGGAUCUUGACAUGCCCAUUUAAUUGUUAUUGGCAAUGCUAGUUUGAUUGUAACAAAUUCAAACCGAUUGAAUUGUAUCCCAGAAAAAAAAAUCAAUAAAGGAACUGAGGACCCGGCCCGAACCAGCCCAUUUCAACCGGGCCAGGUUAGGUUCGGUUCUUAUAUUAGAAAAUGUUGUUCCCGGCCCGUUUCUCUUAAGCCCGGAUCCAGUCCGAUCACUUCGAAAUUGGCCCCAACCCGGCCCGGGCCCACCUCUAGUUUUAACGAUAAGGACAAAAUAAAGGGUAAAGUGAAUAGUACCAAGUUUGACUUUUUAGUGUAAAAAUGUAAUUUUUCGUUAAAAUAAGAUUUUAAUGGAUUCUAAAAUCCUUAAUUAAGAAAUUAGGCUUCAACCCAACUCAUCUUUGCAACGCCGGUUCCACUUCACAUCAACAGGCAAUGUUUUCUCCUCAACAAAUAGUAUUCUUUUAUGAGACAAAGACUAAUGAGGGUGAUAUAUAUAAUUAAUAAUAAUACUUGUGUUCCCUUUGUGAGUGAAUGCACUUAUUUUACCAUUCUCUAAUAAUGUAUCUUUAUUAUAUAAAUUUAUAUCAUGUGGAUAUCUUCCUAUAAAAAAGUUAUUCAAAUUGGAAAUCCUUACGUCAUCAAAAUAUAUAAAAAAAUGGACGAUCUCAUCGUAAAUAUGUUAGUUACUCACACUAUAACUUUGUAUAUUCCCUCACGUAGGAAACGCAAUAAUUAUCCUCUAAUUAAUUCUUCUUGAGAGUAGAAUUUUUAUUGUUGGUUUUUCGCAACCUUCAGACCUAAAGCUGAUAUGGACCUCUCAUUGUUUUUUGGGUUGCCGUUCUUAUUUUGCUUGGUCCUUUUACCUUUUCUAUAGUUGUUUAUCUAGUUCUUUUGAGCCUCGUACUAAUUUUUAAUGUAAUGAAAAUUAUCUUCGUGAUAAAAAAAAAAAUCAUUAGUCCUCGUAUGAACAUGCGAUGUAACACACUUUCAUGGAACAACAGAUGAUAAAGACGAUAUCCAAAUUUUCUCUGUGUUAUGUGGACUUUCCCAACCAAAUAAAUAAUAACCAAUAAACAAAUAAAUAAGAGUUUAACUUCAAACAUUGAGAAGCGAAAUUCCAACACUACGAGCCUAACUUUUGUCUUCAUCAUCAUCAUAGACUAGUCUCCUAUCCAUCAACUCCUACAUCAAUUUUUUUUUUUACUAGAUUGUAGCUCACUUUCAAAAGAGUUACGUAAAGUAUUUAAGCACCAUAAAAGAAAAUUAAACGACAACGAUUGACAUAAUAUUAGUAGUAUCAUGGUCUAAAAUAUUCAUAAUAUCUUGAUAUUUUUAUUGAAAUUUUCGUGUUUUUAGACUACCUAUAUUUUCAAUAUCAUCGAUAUUUUAAACCUUGCUAAGUCACUCAUGUAUCUUACCAUGCAAUGUAUAAAGUGUAAAAUAUUGUACUAAUUCAUUAUAUAUAAAUGAUUAUAGUGUGUUUAAACUUCUUUCAUUAAUUACUACAUAUUUUCUACACUCACAAUGUUUGCCAGCUCGCUAUAUAAUCAACUUAAAUCAAUUAUAUCUAUCAUGUAAUGCAUUUCCUUCCAAUUUUUUGUGAUAAACUAAUAGAUAAUUGACUAAAUAAACAUCCUGCAAAGUUUCAAUAAAAAUUUCCAAGUUUUUCUUACAAUUUCCGUAGUUUUUAUUCAAUUUUUAUCGAUAUCGAUAAUAUCCCGAUAUUUCCAUCGAAAUUUCCGUAUUUUUAGACUACUGAUAUUUCCGAUAUCAUCGAUAUUUUAUACCUUGGUAGUUAUACAUUUUAUCGGCCUCAUUUUUAUGCAACUUAUACAUUAAAUUAUUGUCAAAAUGUACAUAUAAAGUAGCUGAUCAACGAUGAGAUUUUAGGCAACCAUUUUCUUCUACGACGUCAAAGGUUGUAGAGGUGGCCAUGUGCACUACAUGCGUAAAUCAACUAGGGACUUGGAUCCUCUCUUAAGCCCAAGGAGAGGAUCCUCCUAACCAAAUGACUUGGAUUGUUGGAUGAAAAUCUAACGAUUACAAACAGAUGAUCUCUUUAAAGUUAUAAUAUUUAUUACCGUUGAAUUUUCAUCAAACGGUCAAAUAUCAUUGGUCAAAAGGGUCCUCUCAUUGGGCUCAGAGAGGACCCAAGUGCAUCAACCAGAACUAUUGCUAUUAUAACAAUUCAUGAAAUCAAUUAAACAAUAAUUUUCCUUCUGGCAGGCAUGUUAGUUAUUUCUUAUUUGGCCAAUUGCCUAGUGGAUUUGGUAGAUUUAACCUCUCCACCACAAACACAUUUAAAAAUUUCCAGAAAUCCGUAACGUAAAAUUUAAAAAUAAAUAUUAAUAACAGCAAGUUCUUUUCACCGACCGUGACCGAGAUCUGUCACAUAUCCAAAAUGUCACCUCCUUAUCGCAAAAACCAAAUUUGACUUGGGAUAAAUACCGUGUACAAAUUAAACGCGUUUCUCUAGCUUUUGCGUAAAGAGGCAACCCAACACUAAACUAGGAAAACGUUGGGUUGACAAAGAUACCAUGAAGAAUAAAGGGGUUAUGCAAUCCACUUUGCAAGAUAAUCAAAGUUUCCCGUUGUAGACUUGUCUUAACCCAACACUAAACUAAGAAAACGUUGCUUUCCCGUUGUAACAUGAAACAACAUUAAACAACAUUAAACAAUAUUAAAUAACAUUAAAUAACAUAAAAAUUAUACAACAUAAAAAAAACCAUUUAACAACAUAAAACUUAAAAUGCGUACUUCUUGCUUCUUGUGGCCUAAAGAUGUGCAACAAGAUCUUGAUGUAGGUACUUGUUUGUGGCACGAAAACGUAUCAUCCUAGCCGUUGGAUUUGAAUUUUUUUUGUUUUCGGCCAAAAAAUUUUAAAUUUAAAAGUUGAAGAUGGUGAGAAAUAUGAUCCUACACUGUUCAUUAAAAUAUUAAUUUCUUGAAUGACCAAAAGGCUAAAACAAGCCAUCCUUCGGUUGGAGAUGCCUAAGGAGAGACUAGAGAUAGAGAGUUUCCUAUAUAUGAUUUUCAUUAACAAGAUUGAAAUGAUUUCAGAGAGAAGAUCAAGUAUGGUUAUUUUUAUUUUGUAGAGUGUAGACAUUAUAACUAUACAUUCAUAAUAACAUGAGUAAUGUUAUAUUUAUCACAUUUGUACUCUUUCUCUGAUAAAGGUAGGGUUCAUCAACACAUGUGGGUUCUAUUUGCCCAUCAACACAUGCGGAUCUCAUUUUUAUUAGAAAAAUAGUACAAAUAUGGUACGGAAAAUAUGAUAAGAUCGCAAUUUUGUAAUAACAUAUAUACUCAACUAUUUAUAUACCGACCCAUCUCCUUUUAGUGUAGAUAAUAUCGUUUGUUAAAAAAAAUGUUGAACUUGUCAUAAUCAUUGAAUCCAUUUACCAUGAACAAACGGCAGUUUACUAAACUUGCCCUCAGAGUAUAUAUAAAAGGUGAAUCACAAUCUAUUGCAUUAAUAUAAGGAAACAAUUUAUAGGGUUUGACGGGUGACUUAAUAUGCUAUAUGGCACAAUGAAAAUUAAGUUCACACUUUAUCCCAAAUAAGGUGUUGCACCUUUAAUUUAUGGAUGCUGGUUUGACGUGUGACCGAAAUAAUCAAAUUGUAGCCAUUAAUCAUUUUACAAGUAAUAAUAUGUAGUUUUUACUGUUUACGAUUCACACAACAAUCUGCUAGGAAGUAGAAAAUGCAGUACUUGUCCCUCUCACAGAAGUCAUGAAUAAUUAUCAAAUUCAAAGAUAAAGAAAAACCACACAAUUUACAAGAGGAAAGAAAAUGAAGGGAUAAAGAAAGUAAGAAAGGAAUACCUCUAUGGGAGGACUCUUAUUUGCUUCAGAUGCCUACAAUAUUCAUCAUAUAAACACUGAUUAAGUAGUCAUCGAAAACCAAAACAAAUGUCGAACAUAGGGUGAAAAACAGAAAGAAUAACCGCAGCUCAUCAUACCAAUAGAGAUAGAACUGCCCGAUGCCCAAGUAUGACUGAAAAAUGGCAAUCCAAACAUGGCGCCUUCUAGCUCAUCAAACUGUCAAAACCUAGGUUCCACCAAAAAGAUACAAGUCACCUAGUUACUUGUAAAAUAAAAAUCUGUUUCAAAAUAGUGGAAAAUAUUAUUAACAUUGUUCAAAGUCCACAUUGUUGUACCUACCAAGAAACAAGAAGGAUUGUAUCUUAUCAUGAAAAAGAACAUAGGUACCUUUUCAAUUGUAAUUGUACAAAAAUGAGAGACCACUUCCGAACUUCUCUUGGAACUUCAAUCAAUUUCUGCCCACUUUUAAAUGCCUUGACAUACUUAAGCCUAUUUCUUUGAGCUUCAGUUUUGGCUUCUGAUGCCUUUAAAUUUCUUAAAGAUUCUUACCAAGUUUUACAAACUCACUUCUAUACAACCAUUUGUCAGUAUACAUACCAUUUUCUUUGAGCUUCAGUCUUUGCAACACCAAAACCCCCCAAAUAGACCCGGAAUUUUGCAAUGUGCAGGGAAUAUACAAAAAAAACCCUCCUAUCCAUCUAAAACGAAAUCAGAACCCAAACCACAAUCAAAAUCCGUAAAAUUAAUUUAGCCAACCCUAAAUCUAAUAAUUCUAACAAAUAUUAUAGUAUCAAUUGAGAGAGAAUUUGAGAAGAUACCUAGAGAUGAAAGGAAGAGCGUUUCCUCUGAUAGGGGUUCCGUGAAAGCAUCUGUUGACCAGAAAAGAAAAGGCAAAAAACCCCAAAUUACAUAUCAAGCAAUUAUAGAUAGAUCGAACCUUGAAAAUUGAAAUUUCAAACAAGAGAAAGGUUAUAAACUUACAACGAUCUGGGUGUUGGUUACUGGGUUUGGAUUUGGGUUUCUGAUAAGAGAGAGAAUCGUAUGAGGAACCGAUAGAGGAACUGCACCGGCAACAGAGAGCAACUGAUAUGGUGGAGAAUAGAGAUGGGCAAAAUAUCCCGGUUAUCCGCCCAUUUAAAGUUCACAGUUACGGUUAUGGUAAUUGAACGGUUAUGGGUACUACCCGUGGUUAUAACGGGUAUCUAUUGGUUAUGGGUAUUAUCCGCGGUUAUAACAGGUAUUCAUUUACCCAUUUAAUUUCAUAUAUGUAAAAUUUAUAAUAUUUUUAACAGUUAUAACGCGUUUUUGUAUUUGUUGCCAAACUUUUCGUAUACAAAAAAUUUGAAGCACAAGAAGCCAACAAGGAGAAAGAUCAAAGAGCUUACUUGAAGCUUAUGAUCUAUCCUGCGGUUAAUAGAAAGUACUGGUAUUAGUGUAGAAAAAUGUUUGUUUUUAGAAGCUUUAUUUUGUAAUCAUAUGAAUUAUAAUUAAAGACUUGCUUGGGUGUAGUAAAAAAAUAUCGUUUGUAAACUAUUAUUUCAAUUAUUAGAAUUGUAUGAUGACCUAAAUGAUUAAAAUAGAGAAAUGCAUGCUAAAAUGUAUUUAUAACAGUGUUUAAUUGUCAGAUUUUUUUUUUUUUUGUAAUUUUCAAGUUGUUAAAAAAAACAUGCAGAGAGGUGAAAAAAGGGAUUAAAAAAUGAUAAACGGGUUCAAAACGGGUAAACGGGUAAAUGAUUAUGGUUAAAUAGGUAAACGGUUAUGGGUAAAUGGGUACACGGUUAUGGGUAUGAGUAUAACCGUUUAUGCAAUUACCCAACGGGUAAACGGCUAUGUGGGUAUGAACAUAAAUGGUUAUGAGUAAAUAACCGCGGUUACCCGCCCGCUAUAACCAUUGCACAUCCCUAAUAGAGAACAUACGAGAAUAGCCGCUUGGAUGGUCAAUCCAAGAAGAGAAAAUCUUGCCACAAUCACGGUACUUGAAAAAAAAAACAAUUUUAAAGGAGGGAAACAAUCGCGCCUUUUUUUUAAUAGACUCUGUCGACGAUAUUCUUGACAAAUAGUCGGGUGAGCUUAUUUUUCACAACAUUUUAUUUAGGACUAGGUUCGGUUGGCAAAUCGUGUCAAAUUUCUUGUGCCAUUUGCCAGCCACAUAUACAUAAUUACCAAAAAUCAGUUACCGUUCGCCAACCAUCUUCUUGCGGUUGCCAAAAAUCGGUUCAACCAAAAUGAUUGGCUGGUUCGGUUGGUAAAUGGCACAACCGGUGGUUUCCACUUCUUCCUCGCUAUCUUCUAGUUGCAAGGGCUCAAUUUGAUUUUCAGAUUGGGAUGCUUGUUCGGUUGCAUUGUGUGGUUCAUUUUGGGUUAAUCCAUGUUGUGCACUAGCAAUUAAUUGGCUAGACUCCAUCAUCCUAAACAUAAGCAACACAUAUACAUUCAAAAUCAUAUAUAUGUACGUGUAUAUAUAGUAUCAGUAAUCAUCAUGUUAUCAAUUUUGUUAACAAUAUUUUCUAUAUUGAUUAUGGCAUGAAUCAUAUACAUAUACAUAUAUUUUUUAAACCCUAAAACUAAGGAGUUAUUUAUUUUCUAAGCCCUAAAAUUGAGGAGUCAAGCAUGUAAAAAAAUACUUAAAAUAUCUAAAUAGAAAAAGAAAAAAAAAAAAAAAAAUAUAUAUAUAUAUAUAUAUAUAUAUCGGUAGGUAUGGCAUACCGCCGACAUACAAAAUCAAUUACCAAAGCCAUGCCAUUAAUUGUCGGUUCGGUAAAAUGCCAACCGAUUAUGAAAAAAUGCCAAAACUAUACCAUACCAUUUUGAGCCAACCGGUAUGGUUCGGUCGGUAAAUCGGCUUAUGGCAAAAUUUCUCACCCCUAAUUUUAUUUGUCGCCUUAAACCUAUUGGUUUCUAGCCUACAAUUUGGAUAUUUUGUUGGGGAAAGAUUUUUGUACCAAUAAAAUUUUGCUUUGUCAGCUUAGGAUUUGUCGGCAAAAUGACAUUUUCUAGUCGUUAUAAUAUUAGGUAGAUCAAAUUUGUAAACUAUGUGAUGUGUCACCAAUAGGAAAAAAAUUCAGUGUGCUGAAAAUACAGUCUAGAACACCAAGUGUCAUAAUAUAUACUUGGUUGGAAAUUUUUUAUUUUCAAGUUUCCAACUAAUUGUAUUGUAACAGUUGGUGUUCCAAGCUAUUUUCUCGAUGCGUUGGAAAAUCUCUUCACCAAUUAAAAAUAAACAUAUUAAUUAACACUUAAGUAAUAAUCAAAGUAUCAACAACUACGUCAUAAAAUUUACGAAAUAUGAUCUUAAUUAAUGAUCUCCAUGGCAUUACCCUUUAUCUUAGCGUAUACGUACGCCUUCACAUGUUUAUUUGCUGAUAUGCAGCUUGAGUAAAAAUUUCUUUUUAAGAACAUAUAUGUGAAUAUAAACAUAUAUAUCUAGUGAUCCAUGUUGCGUUAUUUAAAAAUAAACAAAUUAAUUAAUUAAUAAAUGAACUGUGUGCAUGUCUGUGUAGAGUAAUCCAUAUGCAUGCUUGAAUCCUGAUCACCACGAAACCAUAAUAUAAGCUACUCAAGGCCCGGAAGCUAGGAUUGAAGAGAAAAACACCCAGUCAGAUUAAGCCAAUAUAUCAAAGUUAAUACUUCGAAAUGUAAGCUUUAAGAUAGAAAAAUCACUUACUACCUUGAGCAGUCGAGCUUCUUCAAUGGCAUGAAGCUUUUAGCAUGAGAUUGACUGCAUCACAACUAAAAUUUUCUCUUGGAAACUACAUAAGGAAUAGCAUGUAUACCUAUAACGUUGAGAAAGUACGCCAAUUUUUUCCUUCUGCACAUUCAUGUUUAAAAGUAAUCCUCAAAUGAACUUGCCCACAAUGAAAUGCAAUUUGAGGUAGUCGAGUGUGUUCCAUUUCCAUUCCAUGGGAAUUACUACUAAACUUUGAGAUGGUAAAGGAUUCAUGAAAUUUUUUACUUUUGAGAUAGCCUCUUUAACAUUUCUCGACUAUAACAAUGAGGGAAUACUUCACCUUGUAUCAAACAAGGGAGAGCGAAAAUCAACUACUAAUAGCAUCACAGAGCCAGCAGAAGAUUGAGGAGGCCAUGAAGAGGAGAGAGAAAAUACACUCUUUUUUUUUGUAAGGACAGAGAUAAUACAUUCAGUAAGGGGUACUGAUGUUUAUAUGCAAUGCUGAUUAGGUUUAAAUAGUCCUAUUUAUUCUGUACAGUGCCAAUAUUACCACCCGUUAGUACACUUUCAAGACACUGUACUCCAGUGUGUGCGCUAUGCAGUACGUAGUACUCCUCAUUUUUUGGGGAAAUUCAUUAUUGGUCUUCAUAUCUUCUUUAUUUUCCUUUUCCUCAUUGUGCCACGUGUUUAAAUCACUAAUUGUAGGUAAUCUUUCAAUUUAAUUAAAUCUUAUGUAAAAAAAGAUAUUUAAAUAUCAUUUAGUAUUACAAGAUAGUGAUAUUCCUCUUUAGUAUAAAAUUUUUAUAAUUAAAAGCGUUCAGUUUUUUAAUCUUCAUUUGAAUACUAUCUAUAAAGAAAAAUUAUUCGAAUAAGAGAUCGUUUAUGCAUUCAAAUGUACAAAAUGCAUCGACAGUGUGAGAACGAAUUAAUAUAUUUUUGAUGAAGUACAAUUAUUGAAUACAUUUGAAUGAUCAAAUGAUAUAUGAUUCAAAAUACAUAUUAAGAUAAUAAAUAUAAGUGAAUUGUUAUUAGCACUCCAAGAAUCUUAUUAUACACUCUAAAUUUUCUAUAUUUUGAAUGAAAAAUAAAUUUAUGAAGAGUGUAGAAUGAGAUUUUUUAAUGCUAAUAACACUUCUCUAAAUAUAAUUAUGAAAUUAAUAAAGUAAAGAUACAUGACCUCGUGAAUGAUGUAUGUAUUAUUCAAAAAAUUAUUAAAAACAAAUUGAAAAAGGACGCUGUUGUUGCCACCACUUAUGCAAUGAUCGUCGCUGCCAUCACCAACCCCCAACACCCCAUUACAGCUCAUAAAAGCACAUCAUAAGCAAUUUAUGAAAUAAAUUUACUGGAAUACUAAUUUCCCCCUUAGUUUAGGUCACCAAUGUUUAAAUUUAGGGGUGUGAUAUGCACAUACCUUUUUUUGCUUCUCUCACACUUUUUUUGUUGUUGUCGAAUCAGAUGAAUUGAAGAAGAUCAAUUGACAGAAAUUAACAAGGGGUGUAUGAAAAGUAAAAAUGGAUGUGUAGAUAACACAUCCCUAAAUUUAUCACAACUUUCAUUCCAAAUUUAAUUUUUAUGCGUAGUUUUGUUUGUUCAAAUUUACUUUGACAUUUCAAUUAGUAUUAAAAUCUAAUUUAAAUUUUAGCGUUCAAGCUAGAAAAAGUGUUCCAUUUAAUAUUUAAUCUCAGUUUUUCUCUUUAUUCUUUUAUUCCGAUUUGGUUGCAUCGUAUCUCCAUUUUUCUCGGUGUUGUAUGUUCAUAAGGCCUGGGAAACGUUGGCACGGAGUGAAGGGUACUCACUUUUUGGCCCAAAAUGCAUAAGGCAUGUAGAUAUGUUAAUCAAAUUUUGUAAACUAAAGGAUAUAGAAGUUGAUACUUAGAUUAUAAUUUAAGAUAAUACUAAAGAGACUAAAUUUGCAAACUAAAUGAUGUGUCACCAAUAAAAAUAAGCACGUUUAUCAACGCUUAAGUAAUAAAUCAAUCAUCAACUUUCAUGUCCUUUAGUUUCCAAAAUUUAAUAUACAAAUUUAGUCUCCCAAGCAUUACUCUAUUACUUAAGUAUUGAUUAACAGACUUAUUUCUUAUGGUGACAUAUUAUUUAAUUUACAAAUUUAGUCAACCCAACAUUACUCUUUUGAAAUUGUCUUGUCCACUGAUAUAAUUCUAUUUUUCUUGUGAUCAAAACUUCAAAUGUUAGCAAGUCGCACGUAAAGUCACUUCUGAGAGAAUGUGCUCACAUUGUAGUUGAAAGAUUAUGUGGCUAGCAACAUUACAAAUUUAAUUUGGUAUAAUUUAAAAUAUAGAUUGAGGAAAAAAUGAUCACAUUAACUAGAAACUGAAAAGGUUUCAGCACAGUUUGUUCAAGCAAGAAACUCAAUUUUGAUGCUACCGAUCUUAACAGCCUGAGCGCCGUACCUGGGCACUAAAGUCACCACCACACUCUCAUCAUCUUCAGCACCCAAAUCCUCCAACAGGUCCGUUAACCCCAACCUUAAACAACUCUUGCUCUUUUCCUUCUGCUUAUGUGGAACACUCACAAAACUCCCAGCAAACUCGCUCUUGUCGGGUCCACUCGGUGCCGCAUCCUCAUCGUCCACGUCAUUCACAUACACAUCAAACUUCACAGCCACAUCUUUGUCAAGCUCAAUCCCCUGAAUCACCAGUAUCUCCUCCUCAUCCUCUUUCUCCUUCUUGCUCCUCUUCUUCGGCUUCGGCCUUGACACCACCGUACUUAUCUUUGUCUCCAAAUUUAUUGGAAAAUCUUUACCCGCCACCACCUUCCCCGAUGACGUCGUCUCAGCGGCCUUCGCCACUCCAGCCGCCUUUGCCUUUCUCGCAAGCUUUGUCCGACGUGGCGUCGGUCUAGACUUGAGCCAUGGAAUCUCAACAUCUUCAUACGUAUACCCUAGCUUUUUAUUAUCAAGAGUGUCCCUCACCGUGACCCUAACAAGCUCAGCAUUCUCGUCAUAAAACAAAAACCCCGUAUCCAACCAAUCCUUAUCGUUAAUAUCUUUAUUUUUAGUCCCUAUACUUUUCCAAAUAUUCCACAUUCGAUCUAUAUUCGAAUGGUGCGAAAAAAAUAUUGGAUCCCUUGCAGCGGAGUAAAAAUUCCCCAUGUCUUCAAAAUUAGGUUGCGUGUUAUCUCCGGUCCAUGUAUGAACCGGACCAUGUGGGGUCGUUUCGAUUGAACCGGCCCCUGGAUCUGGUUCGGUGCCAGCCCUGUAGGGCGAACCAAAGAACAACAGCGGUUUCUUGGAGUUGGAAACCAUCUGCCUAUACAUGAUUUUGAGGUUGGCGUCGAUUUGAGCAUCCUUGGACAUUGUUUCAUCCGUGCCGUUAAAGUCAAGAUCGAUGAGAGUCGGCGGCUGAUGGCUGGCAGCGCGGAGCUCGUCGUAAAGCGGAGAGUCCGGGUUAGCGAACAAGGCAGGGAGUUGCAUGCCAGCUGGCGCGUCCCAGUUCCAAAACGGCAACGCGAACGUCGGAUCGUCUAUGAGUUUGGCCAAGAUUCUUUCGUGGAAGUAUAGGUAGUAACGAUGGAAGGGGAAGAAAAGCCAGGAUUGAUGGAUUUGGAGCUCGAGGUUGGGGAAGCCGACUUGAUCGUACGCGCCGUCGCAAUAGGCACAGUGGAUAUCGGCUUGCUGGGUGAAGCUACGCGGAUCGUCGUCCGGGAGGGCUUUCAUGAGCUCGAUGGCUUUUGAAUAUUUUUCGAUGUAGGCUUUAUCCACGGUGUGAGCUGCCGGCCUGACGCGGAGUUUGGUAGGGGAGGGGAAUUUGAAGUCUACGAUUUUUUGGGACGUUGGCGGGCAACAGUUGGUCGGGACUGCUCCACUUGGAAAGUCCGCACCUCCGCAUUUGGCUAGGUCAGGCGGCGACACUGGCUUUGCAACAGCGAAGGGGUCGCUGCCAAGACCAGCCACUCCACCGUACAGGCUUCCGAGACCUAUAAGUACAUGUCUUCUGUCUAGGUUUACUGGAGAAAGGUUUUCAUGGUCGUGAUCGUUGGAGCUAGUGGAAGGGUUUUUGUUUUGGUCACUACUAUUAUUCGUGGCUUUGCAUGAGACGGCUUGUAAAUUGGAAUGCCUAGGGUUUUCAAAUAAGGAAAUUCGGUGAUACUUUUGGGAGAAAGGGAAGAGAGAAGUUGUGGGGAUGAUACUUGUGGUGGAGGUGACGAGUGGAGCUGACAUAGAAGCCAUGGUUACUUGACUCUGAAUACUACGUUGUAUAGGCUUUGCUUUUAUAAUGUGUUCUAGGUUUUACUUUUCUUUGCACAGGUGGCAGGCCGUACACAUUGGCGGUCCUUAAGGGUUUGACGAGGAAUACUACGUAGUCAUUUAGUACAGGGCAACCAUGCACUAUAGCACGUGGCAUGUAAUAUUUACGUAGUCUCAGAAGGUGAAGCGGUUUUGGGCUUCUUGUGUACCAAUAAUAUUUACGUACUCAUUAUUCCACUGGAUGGAUUGCGUGCACGUGAUCUUUAUUCAAACAAAUCACUAUUGACCAUAUAUUGCAAUUGGUUAAUGUUAGGCAAAUUAAAUUUUUACAUCAAAUAAUGUGGUUGCUGAUUAUUGAAUUAUUAUUUAAGUUUGAUUAAUGUGCUUAUUUUUUAUCGGUAAUACAUCAUUUGAUUUGCAAAUUUGAUUUACCUAAUAUUACCAGUUAUAAUUUGUAUAAAUGGACUGGUACCUAACAUUACCAAUUGUAAUUUGUAUAAAUGGACUCGUACCUAACAUUACCGGUUGUCCCAAGAGCACACGCUACUGCUCAAGAAGCAAAGUUCUUAUUUGCCCAAAAAAAAUCAUGGUUUUUUAAUUGAUGCUCUCAUUUUAAUUUACUAGCCCCUUACUUGGCCCUUUUUAUUUAUCAUUUUAUACAUAUUAAUAUUUUGUUUGUAAAAUAUAUUAGUGUUAGUUUUAUCAAAAUUAAAAAUAAAUAAAAAACUUAGCUUUAGUAUUUAGUUAUUGAAAUUGUAAAAAAAGUGAUAAAGUAUUGGGUGCUUUGUUUGAAAAUUUUCAAAAUGAUAUUGUUUUUACCACUGAACCCCUGUUAUAUACAGUGAUGGCUAAUUUGUCAAGUUCUACGAAGUUGGGAUACCCAGCGUUUUAGCAUAUAACAUAGCUUAGUAUUUCAAGCAUAAUUAAUUAACGAAAAAUUAGUAUCCGGUCCCUAGUUUUUACUGUUCAUUGACUAAGACCUUAUUAGUUCUCAAAUUUUGAUUCAAGUCCCUAGCAUUAAUGUGAUAAUGAAUUUACAUGUUUAUUAUAUAAUUUUUUAAUAUAAAAAUUAGUAAUUAAUUUAGGGUUUAAUACUCACACCUCUAUUAAACUUCUAAUUAAUUUUCAAUUCAGACAUUUCCAAAAUAAUAAAAAAUUAAAUUAAAUUAAGUUUGUACCUAUUAGUUUUUUUUUAUAUAUAAAAAGAUUCUCAAUUUUUAAUCUUAAAUGUACAUCUUAAAUGUACCCAUUCUCAAAUAUAUCAAUUUGUUAUAUGUAAAAUGUACCCUUUUUUAAUAUAAAAUCCAUUCAAAAUUUUUAAUCCAUGUUUAAACUUAUAUGGGUACAUUCUUUUUCGUUGAUUUGAGAAUGUAUCCAUGUUUUGGUACAAUAAAUUUUUUGUUAAUUUUGGUUAAUGUACCCAUACAUAUAUGUACACACACACACACACACACACACACAAUAUAAUAGAGAGUAUAAUUUAUAUUUUAUUAUUUUUAAUCCCAUAAAUGAUGGGUUUUAUUUAAAAUCUCAUUAAUAUAAACAAUUAUAAAUUUCAAUUUUUAAUUUUUAAUUUAAAAAAUAUAGUAACUUACAUUAUUACAUUAAUGUCAGGGACCUCAAUAAAAAACUAAAAACUAACAAGGUUUCAAUCAAAGAAUAUUGAUAGCUAGGGACCACAUCCAAAGUGUCCCUUAAUUAAAGGGUAAAUUACAUAGUAACCCCUCAGGUUUGAUGUCUAUUACAACCCCAUACAACAUCUUUAAAACAUUUCACUUUCAUACCUCAAGUACUAUUUUAUUUCAAUAUAAUACAUCUGUUAGAUUUUCCAUCCAUUAAUCCGUUAAAUGCUGACAUGGAUACCACAUUUGUGCCACGUGGCUGCCAAAUGCGUGUCAUGUGGCAAAAAUAAUAAUUUUUAAAUUUAAAAAAAAAUGAAUCUUCAACCCAAAAAAAAAAAAAAAAAAAAAACCCCAAACCCAGAUCCCAUCAACCCCCCCCAAACGAUUAUCCCUUCCCCAUAUCCCCCAUCCCACCCCCCAACCCCCCCUCUGCGACCAACCUUACCAUAGCGCCCCCCAACCUCGCGACCCACCUCACUCAAGGCCCUAAUCCACACUACCUACAACCCAGAAACGAAAAAAAAAAACAAAAAACAAAAAACUCAUCUCCCUUUCCCUGCAACCCAAAUCCCAUCUUCCCUAAUGGGUAUGGAUUUAAGAAGUGGGGUGUGUAGAGGAGGGAAGAGGGUGGGUGCGGAGGAUGGGUAUGGUGGGUUGCAAGGAAGGGGGGUCGGGUAAGAUGAAGAUGGGUUUUUUUUUUCUCUCUCUCUUCUUCUUCUUCUGGGUUGCAAGUUGUAGGUUGGGGUUUUUUUUUGGGGGGGGGGGGGAGGGAGGGAGGGAAGACGACGUGGGGUUUGGUUUUUUUUUUUUAAUUUAUUUAGAAGAUUUAGGUUUUUUGAAAAAAAAAAAAAAAUUCCACGUGGCACAAAUGUGGCAGCCACGUCAGCAUUUAACAGAUUAAUAGAUGGAAAAUCUAACGGAUGUAUUAUAUUGAAAUAAAAUAGUACUUGAGGUUAGAAAGUGAAAUGUGUUGAUGCACAAAACCGAAGGUCUUUGAACAACGUAAAUCCGAUCGUGAAUAUGCAAGUAAUGUAAAUAACACAAGAUGUAUCGUGGUUCACUCCAAUGUUUGGGCUACGUCCACACUGAUUAUUGUAUUUCUCUGAGAGGUGAGGGGGAGAGCUUUGAGAAAGCUUAGAGCUUAGGGGAUGUGAGAAGGCUUAAGAAUUGGCCUCCCUUAUUUGUGAGGGUGAUGAGUCCUUUUAUAGAAUAAGGGAUCCUCACUUAUUACAUAUUUGCCCAUUCCUUUAUUACAUAAUUACAUUUAAGUCCCCUGAGUACUUGUACAAGGUCUAAAUACGGAGGCCCUAAGUAUGGUACAAACAGUAGUCCCCCAAGUCUUCAGUCAAGAGAGUCUUUUGGCUAGAGACUUGAAAUUCUGUCCAUGUGUGAGCCGAAAUAACUAGAUGUCGUCUAGAACUGAUAUUUGAUAUGCGGCAGUGCCCAUUUUGAAAUAAUGCUCAACUAGAAGUAGCACAUGCUGCGAGGCUGCUCUGCUUGUGUUGCCUUGGUUGGCUCGACUUGUGGCGUUGAAGGUGAGAGAGUCCCUUUUAUAGAAUAAGGGCUCGCUCCUCAUUACAAAGAUGAUGGGUUAGUUGGUGCUUGCGGUGAGGCGGAUGCUCAGCUGGCGGCGAUGCUCUCUAAUGAUAGUGAGGGAGUCCAUUUUAUAGAAUAAGGGAUCGCUCCUCAAUACAUAAAUAAUAGGUGCUCUCUAAUGAAAGUAAGGGAGUCCCUUUUAUAGAAUAAGGGCUCACUCUUCAAUACAUAAAUAAUGGGCUAAGUCCCCUAAGUAUUUUUUAUGAGGCCUAAUUGAGGCCCAAUAUAUGGUACAUAAUGUAGUCCCCCAAGUCUUCGGUCAAUAGAGUCUGUUGGCUGGAGACUUCAAAUUGAAUCCAUGUAUGGGCCGAAGUGGCGGUUGUUCGGAAGCGGUAUUUGUAUACCCUGCACUGAAGCUUUAUAGGUGAAGCUUUGCAAGUGAAGCUUUGAAGCUGGAGCUCAGUAAAUGAAGCUUUUGAAGCUAGAGCUUUUGUAAAUGAAACUUUUGAAGCUGGAGCUCUAUAAAGGAAGCUUUUGUAAAUGAAGCUUUUGAAGCUGAUUCACAUGAGUGAUGCUCAUGAAUGUUUAUGUUGAUUGAUAUGAGUGAUGCUUAUGGAUGUUGACAUGAGUGAUGCUCAUGGAUGUUGACGUGAUGCUCAUGAAUGUUAACAUGAGUGAUGCUCAUGAAUGUUUAUGUAUGAUUGAUAUGAGUAAUGUUCAUGAAUGUUUAUGUAUGAUUGACAUGAGUAAUGCUCAUGUAUAAUUUGAAGUACUGGGCAUACUUUUGAUUACCUGGUUGGCGAUAAUAGCGGCAGGGUGCCGAAUAAUUUUUUGUAGUACUGGGCGUACUUUUGGUCACCUGGUUGGUGAUAAUAGCAGCAGGGUGCCGAAUAAUUUUUUGUAAUACUGGUCGUCCUUUUGGUCACCUGGUUGGUGCUAUUUUGAGCUUAUGGGCCUUCGCCCUCUACACAACAUUCCAGCCUAUUUAUUUUGGGCUUUACCGUUUUUUUUAAUUACCCUAUGAUGGGGUUUAUACAGAUGUCUCCGAAAGAUAUGAAAAAUAAAUUACAUCAUUCAAAAAUAAAUCCGACCCUCUGCUCAAUGGGUCACGCCAAUAAUUCUUUUUUUUUAUGCAUGCCAUCACCACCGCAAUUAUGUCUGCUUCUUUUUAUCUUCUUUUGCUUUCUGCUUUUGCUUUUACUUUAUCUUUCUCUUUUGGCAUAUGGCAGACAACGCCAAAACGGAAUAAUGAAUUAUUAUGAGAACAUGAAUCUUAUCUUUUGCCUGGUUUUCCACUAGUGCUCGUGGUAUUCUCAGGAGAUUGGAUCUGGGGGUAGGCGACUACCCCAGCACCUUGCCCUGAUACGUAAUAGCCUGAUGUCCCACUGCCAUCUCCAUACUGGAAGGUGUACGAACAAUGGUUAUUCUGUGUGGAACAAAUAGAAUCCGAUUGAGAUUCAAGACUGCACCUUCGAUCUGAGCAAGAAAUGAAUUGUGACGUUGAUGAACUUCUAGGAGGAGAAGCAGAGGAUCUUUGACUAUGAUGAUCUUUGAAUUCCAGAUGAAACUGAAUAAAAUGCAGGUUGUGGAGCUUGAUGUGGGCCCAGAUCUGCUUGACAGCUUUGGGGCGGGAGGAUUCCUUGACACUGAGGAAGAUUCCCAGAGCUGGAGGGAUGAGAAUCGACUUCAUAAUCCCGAUGGUGGGUUUGUGCUUGGUCGAAAGAUCAUUUCUGGCAGGGGAAAACAUGUACCAUACCUAUUGCAAAUCUUGCAAAUUCUCUGCUUCUCCAUGGAAGAUGAAGAGCAUCGAAUCUCUGUUUUCUCUCUCUCUCUCUAAAACGUUUUCGUUAUAGAGUGCCCCAAUAGAAGUGGACGGGCAGUGAGCAUGCCAUUUAGUGCCUCCUCCAAGACAGUAACUGAUACGGUGGUCUUUAUUGGCACUCCAAGUUUACUAAAAAGGGCAGCAAAAAUAGUAUUUACAGCACCCAAACUUGAAAGAUCUAGCUCCAACUAGUGGCUUUCUGUUUCAACAGCCUGAAAGCCGGCAGUGUCAUACCGACGCCGUUUGUCUGGAUCAAAUAAUAUAUUAUAAGAAAACAUGACCUUCUUGAAGAUAUCAGCUGUUUUAGAGUCAUUAGCAUUUUUGUCAGGAUGGUACUUGAGAGCCAUUUUCCGGUAAGCACUUUUGAUUUCCUGGUUGGUGGAAUUCCUAUUGAGGCCGAGGACCGCAUAAGGGUUUUGUCGGAGCUGCUUCUUAGCUUCUUGCUUCUCCGAUUUUGAUCGGCUGCCCUGCAUUUUUGAAAUUGACGGUCAAUUUCUUCACAAAACCCUAGAAAUUGCCUCUCGAUUACCUCCGAAACACAUAAUUCACGACUCUUGGUUGAAAUUUUUUUUUUUCAUUUCAAAGAAGUGGCGGAGGUAAAUCAGUUGUCACAUAGCACCGGAGCAUGAGGAAAACCUAGAAAACCAAGAGGCAGAGAGACUCCAUGCACAUCUAACCUGGAACCUUGCAGGAGAGAGCAGAGAGAAAGAGACAAGAAAGAUUGAGGGAGAAGCGAUCUUGGUGCAUCGUCUGUGAUUCCUUGGUGAUUUGCUCGAUCGGGACUCUGAAUUCGUGCAAGUCAUUGCUGUUAAGCAAGAAUCGCGAGGAGUCGGAGAGCUUGGAAAUCGAGAAGGAGAGAGGGCCUUUAGUCAGGGCUUGGAGGGUGUCGGACUCCGUCGGCCAAGAUUGGUGCACGGUCACGGCGUCUGGGCCCAUGGCGGUUGUGUAAAUGGGGGAGGUUCUAGGAGUCCAAGAAAGAAGAAGAAGCAGCGACCAUAGAUCUGGGAGUCCAUGGCGCUUGAAAGAUACGGCGAACAAGUCGGACUUGCUGCUGGGCAGCUGGCGGUGAUAAUGUUGGUGCAUGGGUUUUGGAGUGGGAGUGUUUGGAAUGGGUUUUUUGUUUAGUUUCUAUGUGUUUUUUCACAGAGAGAGAGAGAGAGAAGUGAUGGUGUUUAAGGGAUGAGUUUUGGAGCUUAGUGAAUGCUUUUUCUGGAAAAGCCCAGUGAGGUUUGUGGGUUUUUGCAGAUUUUGCAGAUUCGCGGUGGAGGUGAAAGAAUGAAAGAGAACCGACACAACUUUUCGUAUUGAUUCCCACAUACGGCGCCAAAUGUUGAUGCACAAAACCGGAGGUCUUGGAACAACGCAAAUCCGACCGUGAAUCUGCAAGUAAUGUAAAUAACACAAGAUGUAUCGUGGUUCACCCCAAUGUUUAGGCUAUGUCCACACUGAUUAUUGUAUUUCUCUGAGAGGUGAGGGAGAGCUUUGAGAGAGCUUAGAGCUUAGGGGAUGUGAGAAGGCUUAGGAAUUGGCCUCCCUUAUUUGUGAGGGUGAGAAGUCCUUUUAUAGAAUAAGGGUUCCUCACUUAUUACAUAUUUGCCCAUUCCUUUAUUACAUAAUUACAUUUAAGUCCCCCGAGUAUUUGUACGAGGUCUAAAUACGGAGGCCCUAAGUAUGGUACAAACAAAAUGUUUUAAAGAUGUUGUAUGGGGUUGUAAUAGACCUCAAACUUGAGGGGUUACUAUGUAAUUUACCCUUAAUUAAAAUAAGGGCAAAUGAAGAGGAUGGUUGAACUUGUUAAGUUUCUUAAGUGUGUCUAAUUUAAGUGUGUUGUUAAUAAACAUUUAUUAUGGAGGCAAAGAGAGGGAAGGUGCGGCAUAGAAAGAGAAGAGAGAGAUAUGUAAUUGUGAGUUGUGUUUUAUUCCAUCCCAUUGUGCAUUUAUUUAUAUUAGUUGGGAAAGUUAAUUCUUUAACCUUUUAGGAUUACAACUCUAAUAGGAAAAUAUAUAAUCUAAAAGAUAUGGUAGAAUCCCAUAAGAAUAUCCUAGAUAUGUUAGGAUUUACACAAUCAUAUUCCUAUUCCAAUAGGACUGCAAAACAUUUGUAUUUUUUUAUAAUUUUUUUGAUAAUUUGUUGGCAUUUUCAAUUUUUGUUAACAUUGAAAAUAUAACGGUUCAGAUGAAAAACCUUUGGAAAUCCAACAUUGAAAAUAUAACAGUUUGACGUUGGGCUGUGGUGAAGGAGGCUGGGCUGUCACGUGGGUGGGGCCCUCCCUCUCCCACUUGGUGAUUCAAAGGGCGCAGGCCCGUGCAACAAUUGAGGCAGCCCAUAGAGAUCCUGCGUUUCACCCAUUUGCCAUUUUUUCCACCGCUGGAGCACCAAAAUUCGGUCCAAAGGCAGGGGUUCCAAUUGCAUGGGCAAUUUGGUUUCCGCUGGAGGUGCUCUUUGUCGACUUUGUUUAUUCUUUCUUUUUAGCUUUGCAGUAAUAUUGAAGUAAUCACUCCAAUUGUAUCCGAACUUUUGUUGUCCAUCAAUUUGUAUCAAAACUAUUGGUUAAUUUACAUAUUCAGACUAACCUUCUCAUUAUUUUUAGUAUUUUUAUCAUAAAUAAUAUCUAAAAUAAUCACAUUUUAUUCAACAACCACUCAAUUAAAAAUUAAUUAAUGUUGUUUCUAAACCAUUACAUCGAGCUUUUGUAAAUACACAUCAAUAUUGCAGCGAUCCGAGGCAUUGUUUUCUACGCCUUGGAUUUGGCGAAUUGGAAAAGAGAAGAGUUACGAGUAAAAGUCCCUCACAUUAAGAGGGCUCCUCCUCGGGGAGAUGAAGAUGAUGAUCUUUUGUUUUUGUUUCUUAAUGAUUAAUCCACGCAGCAACAUAUAAUUAGAUUGUUGGGAUCUACUCAAGUUCCAUAUCACGCACUAAUAUAAAGUUUGACAAACGAAACGAAAUAUGUGCUCUCGAAAGCAAAAUGAGGGCACUGCUCCAAGAACAGGAAGGGCUCCUUGUCGAGGUUGCCAUCCGCCAUGAGGGAAAACCGGAAGAAGUUAGACAACAAUGAUGACAUCGAUUUGCAACACCCAUAUUGGGACAUCAAACUGUGAAAUAAAUACUCAAAACUCCUGGAAAGUCCUCGGGACAACAAACUUUUAUCUCCUUCAAAUAUUUCAUUUUACCAAGUUUUAUGUUUGAAGGGAGGGAAAAAAAGAGAUGAGAGAAUCCUACUCCUUAUUCUUGAAUAUAUUCAGGAAUAACUAUUGAAUAAAGAGAGAAUGGAAGGGGAUCGAAAGAGGAGGGAAGAUAAUUCUAGUCCCAAACAUAAAAAGGACCACAACUUUUAAAUUAUCAGCACGAUCAUCAUCUGAUUGAAGAGACCAUUCAUUGUGAAACAUAUCGUCAAUCAAUAUGUCUAUAUCUAUUUAUAUACCACAUUUUUGGAGUAGGAUUCUCCCCCCUCCUAUUACCAUCCCCUUCCAUCCCCUUCCAUCCCCUCCUUUCAUACUUUUUUUUUUCUUAUUCUCUAUAUAAAAAAUUCAAAACAAGAUGUAGAUGUGUCGUAAUCGCAAUAGUUUAAAUAAAAGGAGAUGGAAGGAGAGAUAAAUUACGAGGGGAGAGAAUCUUACUCCCACAUUUUUCUUCUUCAUAAACAAAAGAGAGGUUCUAGAUUACUUGACUCUAUGCCUCAUUUUUUUCAUCAAGUAUUUGUGCUAAACGGGUUCAGUUUCAAGUAUUUUAGUUUUUUGUCAAAAUUGAGAAAACUGAAAAUCAAACAUUAAUAUGCAAAAUUAAAAAAUCAACACAUAAUUAUUUAGAAAUCGCAAUAGAAAAGAAAAAAUGGAGGUUUGUGAUGAAAAAUCUUUUAUACUAAGUAAUUUAGUAUCCUUAUGCAUGAAGAUAAUCAAUUCGUUCGUUAUGGUCAGACUCUUUUUGAAUUUUUGAACACAUUCUCCAUAGGGCCUUCUUAUUUGUUCCUUCUCCGAGUUGGGGUUAUGGAAGAAGUAAAAGAAGGAACCAAGAAGAAAGUAUUGGCAACAACCGAUUUCGUUACGGGACAACUCUUGAUAUUCAUAUCGAUCUAUUAUGUACCUUUGCAUCUAGCAUUAGACAAUAACUGUCAUAGCUUUACCAUAUUUUUUUGUUUCAUUUCUUCUGAAACAAUAACACACACUUUUUUAUUAUGUGUCUAAUACUAGGAAUUCAAUACAUAAUCUUAGCAUUCAAUAGUUAUUCCUGAAUAAUUUCAUUUUUCAAUUGAUCAACCAUUUCAUUUUUCCAAGUUCAAUCAAUGUUAGUCACAUUAGUCAACAUUUAUAUAUUUUGAUGCAACAACAAUAUGUUAUUUGUAACAAGUGAUUUUGCUAGUUGGUUAAUUGGUCACAAGUUAAUGUUCGGUUCAGUUCAGCUUUUCUCUCGAUUUUUUGCGAUUCGGUUUUUUCGAUUCUCUUUAGAUUCGGUUCGAUUUUGUUUUUUUAUUUAUACUUAAUUUUUUUUAAUCUGAAAACACCAAGAACAACACAAGCAUACUCAAUCAAACAACUAUCCUUCUCCACAAAUCACAGUAAUAAUUACAUUCAUUUAGCUAAAAUGCAAAUAACUAACAAACUCACAAAAAUCGAAUAAAAACUACAAAUUGCUUACUCUUUUUCUUUGGGUUUCACUCGAAAAGUGUCGGUAAAAUUUAGGGUUUGCAAGAACGCAACCGAAAUCCAAAACGGAGGCUCUGUGGCUUGUGGGCUGCUAUUGAGUUCCAGUACGGAAAACCUUGCUUACUCUCUAUCACGGUACAAAGUAUCAGUACCUUUAGCACUGUAUUUGGUAGAACCAAAUUAAAAGCUAACAUCAAUAACAACUACCAGAGACAUAAGCUCUUAUCAAUGCUUUGGAAACAGUCAUGUAUCUCCAAGUGUAAUGAUAUAAUUAGUAAGAAAUUUAAAAGAAAAAUGGUGAUUUCAUAUAAAAUCAAUAAAAAGUUACAAUAUUGACAAUAUAUCAACAAUUUUUAUGGGGUAAAUUACAUAGGACCCCCUCAGGUUUGAGGUCUAUUACAACCCCAUACAACAUCUUUAAAAUAUUUCACUUUCAUACCUCACCUACUAUUUUAUUUCAAUAUAGUACCUCCAUUACAUUUUCCAUCAAUUGAUCCAUUAAGAGCUGAAUUGGUUGCCACAUUUGACACGCCCCGAUCCCGAUAUCCUCGGGAUAUCAGGAUGGUCACGUGCUGGCCGACACCCGAGGGUGACGAAAGCCAUUUAUUGAGUGCAAUUGCUGAAAAUAAAGGAUAGAUAAAACUUAUAAAUGUAAAAGAAUAAGGAAUAUGCAUUUAAGGAACGUGUUCAGAGCAUACAACUAACUAGAACACUAAAAGAAUGAUAUAAAAUGGAAUGAAUAAAAGAAUGAGUCUUACACCAAGAGGACUCGAAGAUGCCGAUGCGGAAGUACCUUGAUUGUCGGGAUUGUACGCCUCGAUCCUAAAUCCUGAAGGGGGCGCAAAACAAACAUGAGUGGACCAAGUUGAUAUAUAUAUAAUAAAACAGUUAUCAAUAUACUAACCCCCAGGUUUAUGAAAACAAAUAUAUAAUGAUGAACAUAGGUUUUCCGAAACCUAGCAUGAUGUGCAGUAUCUCAAAUCAUAACUCAUAUAUAAUAAUCACUAGUGAAUUGUCCGAUAACCUGCAGGCCCCAUGCCGGCUCCCCGUCUCUGAGCAGACAGUCAGAGGAAAAUACACUUCAGGCCCCAUGCCGGCUCCCCGUCCCUGUGCUAAAUAGCCAGAGGAAACACACUCCAGGCCCUAUGCCAACACCAAACCGUCGCCCGGGACGGACCGGAAUCUAUUCCUACGUCCCGUAGCGGAAAUGACCACUAGGUAAGUACAAAACCAUUGAACAUACAUAUAUUGAAAAACAACUUCAUAGUAUAAAGUCAUCCAUCAUCUAUACUAUAAAGAGGUGUUCGAAACAUGUUCUAAAUAUCAUAUCGUCAUCCAUCAGAUAUUCUAUAAGAACACGGGUUAUAGGAAAAAUAGUAAUAAUUCAAGGUAGCCUCAGUAAGCAUGUUAUCUCAAAACGUUUCAUAAAACGUAAUCAUUAAAUCAUGCAUUUCAUGUAUGCAUUUCUACUAUUAAAACAUGCUUUUGAAGGGGUCCACUCACAGUACUUAGCCGCCGAAGAGCCACGCAAACUAACGUCACCAAUAUUGCCCCUAAGCACAUAAAUGGUCCAAUUAAUAAAACUAUAUAAUAGCAAUUGGAUUUGGGAAAACGGACGUUGGAAACGGAUUCAGAACGUCGAAUUACCCUAAGAAGGGUCCCGGACGAAAACCCGAAAAGUCAACUCUAAAGUCAAUGUUGACCGGAGGUCAACGGUCAAAUUAGGUCUAACGGGUUUUAGGCUUGAAAUCCGGAUUAGGGUUUAGGUUAAAUAGGAUUAGGAUUUAUUGGGUUUUGGAAUUCUAAGGUUUUUGGGUUAAAAGGGUUUAGGGUGAAAAUGGGUGGUUUGGGCUUAAUCCCAAACUCACACACAACACACACACACACUACACAAACCCUAAAACACACACACACACACGGGCUGCACUAGGGCAGCCCUCACAACACUUCACAAAGGCCCUAAGGCCUUAUUAAAGGACAGGGCUUUAAGCCCUUUAAAGGAUACUGGCCCAAGGCCCGUCAAAAUAAGGCCCGAGGCCUUUGGGUUUUAAAAAGAACAAGAACAAAUUUAAAAGAAAAGGGGCUGGGGUCUACUGGGCUAAGAUAUAACGGGCUUAAGGCCCGUGGGGUUUUCUAAAGGGCCUGAGAGGCCUGGGUUUGUCGAAGGAGAAGGCCGGAAUUUCGGCCGGAAAACCACCCAACUUUAAAUGGCCAUAACUUUGUCAAUACUCAACGAAAUCAAGCAAGACAAAAAUGAAAGUUGUAGCCCUUGAAGCGACGAAGAGAAUGGUUCCUCACACGACGUCUAACUCGCCGUGGUUUGGCCGGAAAAUGCCUCGAAAUCCGUCGGACUCGCCGGAAACUGGGUAAGAUUCAAAUGAGUAUAACUUCUUCAAUACUCAACGAAAUUAAGUGAAACAAAAAGGAAAGUUGUAUUACUCGACGAGACGAAGAGAUUGAUACCUUACACGCCGGCCAACUCGCUGUGGUUUGGCCGGAAAUGGCCUCGAAAGGGGCGGUGCUCGCCGGAGCUUACUCCGUGCCGUCGAACUCGCAGGGUAGGGUCCGGGGUUCGUUGCAAGCCUCUCUUCGAUGGUGACUCGGUCCUAGUGAGUCCAGGGGAAGAGAGAGAUGCGAAAGGUUGAGGGAGAGAGAGACGGGAGAGCUGAGAAAGAGAGAGCUACGGGAGGGAGAAACGAAGAAGAAGAAGAGAGAGAUCAGAAAACAUAAAAAAAAUAAACAAGGUGGGCCCCACGGGCUCACCAAUUAAGGCUUUAAAACAAUUUUAAAAUAUAAAAGAGGGUUGGGGUGUUUCAACAUUUGUACCACGUGGCAAAAAAAAAACCUAAAUCUUCUAUACAAAAAAACUAAAAAAACCAAAAAAAGCAAAAUCGAACACUCCACCCCGCAAAAAUCCUAGCAUCUUCCUUUUAUUCCCCACAACCCCAAAUUCCCCCCCAAAACCCCUAAAACCCAAACCCUAAUUCCUCCCCCACAUGAAGAAAAUCCCAGUCCAAUUCAAUCCCAAUUACCUCAAAUCCCACCAUAGAAACCCUAAAUUUUGGUUCCUCAAUCCCUAGAUUUCCCACGCCUCUGUUGCCUACACCUUAUCAAUCUUUAGCUUUCUCCCUCAUCCCCUCCAUGAACGACACUUUCUCUCAUCCGCUGUUCCCCAGCAACGGCACCGAUACCUACGAGGCCUGGUACGGCAACAUCCAGUACCUUCUCAACAUCUCCGCCAUCGGCUCAUUCUUAUGUGUCUUCUUUUUCACCUUGGUCAAGCUUUGAAGCGAUCGCCGCCGCAUGCCCGGCUCGUCCUCCCUCGUUGCUAAGCUCUUCGCAGUGUGGUAUGCUACCUGUCGAGAGAUUAUGCUCCCAUGUGGCGCUGAGGCCAUAAUACUCACGCACCCAUCUACACACCCACACCACCACUACCGUGGACUCUCUCUCACUCUCCCUCGUCUUUGUAGAGCUAGGUGAAGCCUAGAAACCGAGAACUAGCUCCAGCAAACCCCGUGAGUUUCGAGCCAGAUCCCUGCCGACUCCGACCAUCCCAUGACCAAUCUAAGGUACAAAACAUUUCCCCUUGACUCUAUGCUCUUUUUCGUAUGUAGAUCGUAGGGAAAAGCCCACAGAAUGAGAGAGAAUAGUGACCUGAGAGAGUCCACGGUGAUGGUGGUGUGUAGAUGAGUGCGUGCGUGGGUGUACUGUCGGGGAUAGAGUCUGAGAGAGAUAGAGAGUGAAAGAGUCUGAGAGAAGAGUGACUUGCGAGAGUGAGAGAUUCGAGAGAGACUCGGGAAAAGAUUUAUGGGUUUGGGUUUUUCUGGUUUUUUAUUUUUAUAAUAAUAGGGUUAAUAUUAUAAUAUUUUUAAUGUAUAAAAAUUUCUUUUUUGCCACGUGGCAGCCACAUCAGCACAAAUGUGGUAGUUGUAGAUGCAAAUUUCUUCCUCUUGAUCUUGGACAAUUUUGCACCUACAAAACAAUUAACACCUUAGGUUAAGGCCAAAAGCCUCACACACCCACAAUGAAUGGGGGGCUUUGGCCGAAGAACCUCUGUUGCCAAAGUUAGAAUUUAGAGAGAAAGAGUCUUUACAGAAUUUUGGGAUUUUUGCCAAAGUGUUGGAAUGGCUUUCUGGUGAGAACGGGAUCACUUUUAUAAGGAUAGGAAGUGGUCGGCCUAGCUAGGGUUUUUGGGUUUAAUUUAGGUUUAAUUCUUCAAUUUAUUUGGCUAAUUAAACCCUAAAGAAUAAAUUGGUGGUUACAAAAUUGAUUAUUUGUAUAAAUGGGGUAAUAAAAUGGAGAAAAGUGAAAAAGGUUAGGAAAAGGGAGGUAGCUAGCUUCUUAGUAGUUUUAGGUGUGAGUGGGUGUUUUAAUUGAUAAUUAAGGGAUUGAUUAGGUAAUUAAUCCCUUAAUUAAACAAUUUUUAGGGAAUAUGAAAGGAAAUUAUUAUUUAGCUAAUUGAUUAGCUAAAUAAUGGAAUACAAAAUAUAUAGAAUAAAUUAGGCUUUAGGUAUUACCUUAUAGAAAUGAUUUGAUGAAAUAGGCUUUAAAUUGUUAACUAUUUUGGGCACUUUUGACUUGGUUGAGGAUGAUUGUCUGCCGCUCGCACGUAGGAAUCUCGAUAUGCCUUAAGGGUAUUUUUGUCCUCUUUUACCCAAAAAUCCACGUGUCGCCUUGUGAUUAUUUUUGGCUCCACAAAUGCCCCCACACCUGUUGGGCUGCUCGCAGAAAAUGGCAGCAGGUGUAGAGAUCAUCUUGCUUUAGGAAACGUAGGACUACUUCCUCUUUAGAUGUAGAUUCUCUCUUUAAUAGGAAAUUAGGUUCUUCUAGGAAAGGGAAAUAAAUUUCUGUUAAAGCCUAUUUAAGUCUACCUUAAGUGGGUUAUUAAAUCAACUUUGGAGAGCGAUUUCUUAUACCCUACAAGAGAGAGGGAGCUUAGAGAAUAUUUGUUCCCCCUCUUCUAGCAAUCUUCUACAUCUUUCCCGUGCAAAGGAUCGUCUUUCGUUGAUUUCUUCGUCUUCUCCGUGCCGCACCGAUGUAAGAAAAAUUUAAUUUUUUGCUUAUCUUCUUCUUGGAUAGUACUAUUACAGGGCAACCGUUAAGGUAGUGCGGCACGUCUACUGGCAGGGGCUAGGAGUUGGCUCGGCAUCGGUCGAUGAGGCAUUAUGGCAGGGGCCACUGCUUAGGCUGUUUGGCUUGGCUAGAGCCAAUGGCAGCUUGUGCGGCUGGGGUCGCGGAUUGUGGCGUUGGGGCGCAAUGCUAGGCGAGCCACAUGGUUAAUGUCCUUUAGGCUCUUAGACCUUACUCGGGCCAGGCUAGCGACUGAAAGAAAUGAGGAGGUCGUGGGCCUCAUGGGUUGUUGGAAUGUUGGGCAUGCAGGCCUCCUGUCUGCUAGAAUGCUAGGUUGAGCUCCUCUGCUGAGUACCGUGAAUGGCGUUGGCUGCUUAGUUCUUUUUACAGAGAGAAAGGUGGGCUGCUCCCGAAAGAGGAAGUAAAGAGGAUCAAGGUGGAUGCAUUGGCUCGUCUAAUCGCUGUCGUGGAACCUCCUAUGAAUGAAGAUGGAAAUAAGAGAUCUUCCCUGCCUACUCAAGAGAUGCCGAUCGAGAAAAAUUGAAGACUUUCUCCACUGCUGCUCAUGAUGAUUUGUCUGCUGUCGAUAGGCCUGUGAUUGGCAUGACUUCUUCCAAUGGGAAGAAAAAUGAGGCUGCUAGAUCUGAUCAUGUGGUGCCUUCCAUGUUGAGAAUUGCUAGUACAAUUGUUGAUAAGAUUGCUUAGCGCAAAGGUUUUAUCAUGCCCCCAGUACCGAAGUCUGUACCAGGACUUUCGUUUGGAGCAAAGUCUGGUUCACCUUUGGAGAUACUUGCUAUUAUGAAAAGUGGUAAGGUGGACUCUGCUGCUAAAGUGGCGUCAAGGCCCACUCCCUUUGUUGCUGAGACUGAUUCGCCUGCUAGGAAGGAAGAUACUACUUGUAUGGGCAGCUGUGAGAAAUCCACUAAACUUGCUUCUGGGGAGGCUGCUGAGAUCAUUGUGCUUUUGAAACUAUAUCUGCUUGAAGACAUGGACGCUUGUGCCAAGUUUGUUGAUGGCGGUAGAAAGGUUGUUUACCUAAGUUCCUUUGCGAAACAUACGACCCAAUAUAAAAUGACUGCUCUGCUUACUAGGAUGCAUAAAUAGCAAGGUUGUCAAGGAGGUGGCGAAGAUUAUGGCAGCUAAAGCUUAUUCCUCAGUCGAGGAGAUCAAAAGGUUGAAUUAUGAGCUUGUUGCUUUGAAAGAAAUGGAAGAACUGCAACACGUUCGUGUUAGUCUGUUUGAGAAGAAUGAGCAGCUAAACGGUAAGAAUGAUGGGCUUGAGGUUUCUCUAUUUUUCCGGAAGACUUGCUUACUUUUACUUUUGAGGCUUCCAUUGGUGAAGUAGUUGGAGACGUUAGUGCCCAGGCUUAGGCAACCGGGGGUGAAGCACCGGAUGAUGCCGCUGCUAAGAACGUUACGGCUGCUGAAGGUGUGGAGACCAAGUAGUCGUGGGAUGUCCAAGCUGCUGUAGUGUAGUAUUUUAGGUAGCUUUUAUGAUUUUCUUUGUUUUUCCUUGUAGCUCUUGUUUUGCUUGAACUUCUUCGGCCUUUGCUAGUUGUAUAAACAUGUUUUCCUUCGCUUUUCUUCAUCUUCGCUUCUUUUGUUCAUGCCCUAACCUUUAGACUUGAUAGACCAAUGGCAGGCAUGCUACUUUUUUAUAAGCAGACAAGCUCGCGUAGCCUAUGCAGCCGUAAAUGUUGGUGUAGAACUUUGCAAAGUUGUUAGCCAUUAGGUUGGUAACCAGAUACCUUACUUACAGAAGUAGACAAGUCCGCAUAACCACUAGGCUAUUAACCUUGACUUUCUCCAAUUCUGUAGGUUGCGUAGCAAGUAUCACAACACUUUAGGAAUUGGUAUAGGUUGCUCCGCACUUGGCAGAGGUGAAGCCUAUCGACUACGUAGCAUGUCGGCAGUGGAUAAAACUUCCAUAUAUGCGCGCUAGCUUGUUUAACCUUUCACAAGAAUGUGCGGUUGUAUAAGUCUAGCACGGUUUUACUGCUUGAAGGGCAAGCCGUAGGCAGUCUUCCGGAAUCCGUAGGCUACCUUAAUGUACUCGGUAGCAGCUUUAGGGUUCCAGGGCAGCCGUCUAUAGAGCGUACUGCGUAAUGUGCCCCAUCCGUCUCUAGCUCCCGGUUCCCCACAGAUUAGACCAAGAGACCCAAAAUCCUUCAGUUAGUUAAGCCUUGAAAAAGACCAUUGUGGCUACUUCUAGGAAUCCCGGCUCAAGCCAUCGUACAUCUAGUUAUACUAGGGUAGCCAGGCUCAUCAGCGUCUGGAUAUUCGGAGUGUAAAGUUUAUCCUCCCGUCUUAGAGAGCUGACCCAUAUGAGUGUCGGGGAAUUGGUUUACCCUCUCACACUAGAGAGUAAUUAAUUUACCCUCUCGCACUGGAGAGCAAUUAGUUUACCCUCUCGCACUGGAGAGCAUGGUUGGUCCAUCGGGGGGCGCAAUUCCUGCGAUGAGUCCCUAAGAAGGGCGCAGUCUUCUUUUGAAGUGCAGGAAUGAUUAGUUGUUAUAAGCAUGUGAUCGAGUCAAGUUGUGAUUACUUCUAAAUUCCUCAUUGAAAAACGAGUGAAACGAACGAGAACUUAGCCGUAAGGUAGGAACUGCAUAACAACUGGAUAGUCCUCAACUUGUGUGGUGGUACCCAUCGAGCUUCUUGAGUCUUCGGGCUUUGAUGUAGUGGGAGGUUACACAUGGCACCUUUUCAGAUUGUAGGCGCUCUACUGCUUUUCGAACUUUUUUUUUGUUGUGUAAUUGCUCUUGCUGCCUACUCGGCUAAUCUUAUACAGACUUUCUCGGAUGAGAUUCAUCUUUUUGGAGCUUCUCUGCUGGCAGUGAUGAAGGCUUUUCUUAGGACUAGAUCUCUGGGCUGGAACUGCCAGAUUUUGGCCUUUUUGUUGUGGCUGGAAAAGAACCACUGCUGGUAAGUUGUAAUGCAGAUGAUAGUCUGCUCGCACUUCUCCUCUGCCAAAUUUAAGCUUGUGGCCAUCUCCUUUCGGUUGCUCGUCUUUUGGUGUUGCGAUGUGCCCAUAGACAUCCAGGGAGUUUGUCUGGCCAUUUUCUUUUCUUAUUGGUAGGGGAUUUCUUGUGGCAGUCGAGGAUCAUCUUAGUGGAUGUUUUGGCCAGCCUAUUGCCUUGAGGAUAUCUUGGCGUAGACAUGUGCUGCUUGAUGCCAUAUUUUUAGAAGAAUUUCGCCAAAUCUUUGCCCACGAAUUACGGGCCGUUGUUGGUGACGAUGGAUUAAGGUAUGCCAAAUCGGCAAAUGAUGCUCUUUCAUAUGAAGCGCUCUAUGUCCGUUUGAAUUGUGAUCGUCAUGGGCUCUGCUUCUACCUAUUUGGUGAAAUAGUUGGUUGCCACGAUCAUCAUGCAUUUGCCCUUAGUAGUCUGGCUGGUGAUUAGCUGGGAAUCAGAAUGAAUUGAAAGCUUUUUCACCACCAAGUCUUUUGUCACUCGAAGGCCUGCUAGUGGGGCUUUGUACUCUGCUUCGUUGUUAGGUGCUUUGACGCUUAGAGUGAUCGCUUACUCGAGCAUUGAACCGUCUGGGGUGGCAAGAACCACGGUUACUUAUAAGCCUUUGUAGUUGGAUGCGCCGUCGACAUGCAAAUGCCAGAAAUUUCCAUUGAGGGAGUAGGUAUGGCUAAAGUGUGCUCGGCUACCUUCGAAGCGUCGUUGGGCCGCUUUGUUACAUUGUCAAGGCUAGGUUUGAAGGCGCGGUAGAGAGUCGUGGAGCUGGGGCCAUGUUACAUGUAGCAGGAGAUGCUCAACUUCCGGUAUUAGGCCACUCUAGAGCUGAAUAAUGGAGCAAAGGUCGGCUAGGGUCGUAUGACGCGCAGCAGAAGGUAGUGCUCGACUGCUAGUACAUGUUGCUCUUACGUAGAAUCUUCUGAGGCGACGAGGACAAAACUUGCUUUUAAGUGUUCCUUCUAGUGUUCGUCUGCCCUUGGCGUGUCUUUUGGGCUGAGUUGUUGCGUUCGUCAGAAAACUUUGCAUCUGCCAGGGUUUACGUCUUUAUCAUCACGGGUUUGGAUUAGGCGGAAUAGUGCGUCAUGAUGAUGACUGCGUACAUUUGAAGGUAAAACUUAAGCUUUUGGGUUACAACAACUAUCACCAAAGUUAGCUUUUGAAUUUUUAAUAGCAUCGAGGAGAGCUUUUGAACUAUAAAAUACAUGUAGUUGGGCCCCCAACUCUUCUCGCAUGACGGUACAGCUUAUUUCUACUUUAGAUACCGUCAAACAUGCGAAUAAGUCCUCUGCUGCUUCUAGGGAGGUGAUGUUGGGUACUUCUUCAAGCCCUUGAAUGUGCAUUGGCGAGCCUCAUCCCAAAGUGCAUGCUUCUCUGCCAAAGAAAAAGAGUCUACCAGAGUUAGAUAUUCUUUCAUGAUCAAUUUUCUAAAUAGCGGUGGUCUGCUGGAAGGCCUUUUUGGAAGGCUGCUCUAGCUAUUGAGUCGCUGCAUCCGACUAUCAUUGCCUUCUCUGUUUUGAAUCUCUUCACAUAGUCACGAAGUGACUCCUUUGGGUUCUUUUUUACGUCAAACAAAUGGUCGGACUUCUUUUUGAUCGAGCAAUAAGAUGAAUAUUCUUUGGUGAAAACCAAAGAAAGUUCGUAGAAAUUCUAGAUAGAUUGUGGCGGCAGGGUGUAGAACCAAUCUUGUGCCUCGCCUUCAUAGUGGUGGCGAAUAUCUUGCACAUGAGAUCAUCGUUGUUUCGAUAAAGGAUCAUUGUGCUUCGGUAGCGCUUUAAGUGUCUCUUCGGGUCUUCAUCCCCUUUGAAAGAUAUGAAAUGUUGCAUACUGAACUCGCAUGGAGGCUCUGCCAGCUCGAUCUCAUCCGUGAAGGGUGACCUGCUUAUGUUGGUCAUGUUCCGUCGUAGUGCCUCGUCGGUGACCUUGUUGCGUUAGAAAUCAUGCAAUCGCUUGAUUAAAAGUCUCUCUACUUCUUCCUGAAUUUUCAUUUGUUAGGGUAGCAGAGCUCUCGGCUGCCCCUAGCCAUAACUUACUGGUCUAGGAUGCUCUUCCAUGUGUUUGGCUCGUAUACCGUGGAUGCAGUGUAUGUGGUGCGGUCCUAGUAGGUGAGCGAGUUCUUCGCAGGCUGCUAGUUGAACUUGAGCUGGAUUGAGUGACUACUUCUCUCCGUCCGUCGUGCUGCCUACUCCAAUGUGAGGUGAAAGAUGCUCCUUGCAGGCUUAGCCACGAAUGAACACUUUACCUGGAAGGUUGCUCAUGUUGACUAUCAGAGUAUGACCCUAACCGUGAAUGUAUAUUCACCCGUGGGCUUAGUCGAGAGUGCACGCUCCUCCGCGCGCUAAGACGAGAGUAUACGUUAUCUCGGGAGCCCAAUUGGGAGUGUACACUGCCCGAACGCUCGGCUCGUGGCUGGUCGAGUGGCUGCUUGCCGAAACGCUGCGGGAAAGGUUCGUCUGCCCUUGUCCUACUUCGGGAUACCUUGUUUGGGGCACGUUGGAUUCUGGUGCAUUGCAAAAGUUGAUUCACCAAGGUUGUCUGUUGUGCAAGGGUGCUCGUAAACGCUACGACUUGUCGAGACAAGUGUUGUUCGUCAUUUGGAUUGGAAUAGCUUGGAAGGAAUGUGCCUUCUUGGGCAGUGGAAGGGUGGUAGACUCCGGGCUCGAGAUUUGAGUUGGGAAAUGUCAAAUCUACGAAAAAAUGUGGUGAGAAUGCCCCCGGCUCGAUGGUAGGUCCGGAUGGUUGAGAUAGUCUUGGGCCGACUUGGGCUGCUUGGAAAGCCACGGGAGCAGGCUGGGCCACGAGAGUGAGCUGCUCGGCAGGAGUAGGCUGGGCUACGAGAGUGGGCUGCUCGGCAGGAGCAAACUGCUUGGAGUGUGAUGCACAUGGGUGCGAGGCUUGGGCUCGGCUUGGUAACACAUUGAGUUCGGGUUUGGCUUGGAGUGACAUGACUUGGGCCGUGGCCUUGGUGUCGUGAGCCUUGGAUGGCACGGCUCGGGCAGUGGUAGCUGUGCCAUGGACCUCGCCGCGGGUAGUGGUGACCGUGAUGGCCACCGCGGUGGUUGCCAUGGUGGAGCCCCGUAGUGAUGGUGCCGCUCCUAUGAUCACAUUUAGCCUCGUGGAUCGUCGUGGUCCCAUUUCUUGAAUAUUAGAAUUUUCACUUAUGGAAUUUUCUAAAUUUCUAGCCAUUAUAUUUUUCUUAUACGUUUUAUCAAAGAACCUUUGCAAAUAAAAAAUUCUAAUAAUAAGAACGUAUGAAAAAAUAUUCAAAUGGACUAGAAAAUAGAGAAAAACCUUUUUAUGCGAGAGUCUUCUACGAGUAUAGAUCUCAACUCUCAAUGAAAGCACCAAUUUGUGGAUGCAAAUUUCUUCCUCCUUGAUCCUAGACAAUUUUGCACCUACAAAACAAUUAACACCUUAGGUUAAGGCCAAGAGCCUCACACGCCCACGAUGAAUGGGGGGGCUUUGGCCGAAGAACCUCUGAUGCCAAAGUUAGAAUUUAGAGAGAUAGAGUGUUCAGAGAAUUUUGAGAUUUUUGCCAAAGUGUUGGAAUGGAUUUUUGGUGAGAAUGGGAUCACUUUUAUAGGGAUAGGAAGUGGCCGGCCUAGCUAGGGUUUUUGGGUUUAAUUUAGGUUUAAUUAGUCAAUUUAUUUGGCUAAUUAAACCCUAAAGAAUAAAUUGGUGGUUACAAAAUUGAUUAUUUGUAUAAAUGGGGUAAUAAAAUGGAGAAAGGUGAAAAAGGUUAGGAAAAGGGAGGUGGCCGGCUUCUUAGUGGUUUUAGGUGUGAGUGGGUGUUUUAAUUGAUAAUUAAGGGAUUCAUUAGGUAAUUAAUCAAUUUUUAGGGAAUAUGAAAGGAAAAUAUUAUUUAGCUAAUUGAUUAGCUAAAUAAUGGAAUACAAAAUAUAUAGAACAAAUUAGGUAUUAGGAAUUACCUUAUAGAAAGGAUUUGAUGAAAUAAGCUUUAAAUUGUUACCUAUUUUGGGCACUUUUGACUUGGUUGAGGAUGAUUGUCUGCCGCUCACGCGUAGGAAUCUCGAUAUGCCUCAAGGGUAUUUUUGUUCUCUUUUACCCAAAAAUCCACGUGUCGCCUUGUGAUUAUUUUGGCUCCACAACAACCACGUCAGCAUUUAACAGACCAAUGGAUGGAAAAUCUAACGGAGGUAUUAUUUUGAAAUAAAAUAACAAGUGAGGUAUGAAAGUGAAAUGUUUUAAAGAUGUUGUAUGGGGUUGUAAUAGACCUCAAACUUGAGGGUCCUAUGUAAUUUACCUAUUUUUAUGUUAAUUAUGAAUAGGUCAAUCAUGUAGAACCAAAUUAAAAGCUAACAUCAAUAACAACUACCAGAGACAAAAGCUCUAAUCAAUGCUUCGGAAACAUAGUCUUGUAUCUCUAGGUGUAAUGAUAUAAUUUGUUGGAAACUUAAAAGAAAAUUGGUGAUUUUGUAUAUAAUCGAUAAAAAGUUAUAAUAGUGACAAUAUAUCAGUAAUAUUUAUGUUAAUUAGGAAUAGGUCAAUCAUGUAUUUAAUACUUACAUGCAUUUAAAAUAAACACCUUAUCAAUGUUUUUUUAACUGUGCUCAGUUUUUCUCCUUCGCUUUGGUUUUGUUCUAUUGGAUUUUUCAACUAUCAUUAAUUGUGAACAUAACUGAUCAUUGAGACACAAACAUCCAAGGGAGAGUACCGUGGAACAAAAUGUGGAUAUCUUUAUACAUUGUAUGGUAGUAAACCAUCAUAAACACCAUAAUAAUGUAGAAACGCUCUUGGGGUACCUUUGGAUGAUAACUCAUGUAUUUGUUGCCCUACGUAAAGAUGGCUAAUGAUAAUGGAAGUCUAAUUUUCUCAUCCCAAUCUCUCCUGUCUCUCUUGUUCUCUUUUCUCUAUAGUUUAUUUCCAACAAGUUGUGUUAUUUUUUUUUUUUAGUAUUGUUAAGCAACCAAUAGAUUUUAAUUAGCAGUCUUUGUUUUUUUCUUUUAUAUUUUUAAUCAAUUUCAGUUGCUUAUCCGUUCUAGCAAAUUGAGCUCUUUUACAGCAAUUUUUUUCUUUAAAUGAAAUUAUUAUUAUUAAAAGAGUGAGAAAAUUCGAAAUUAUUACAACAAUUUAAAAAAAAGAAGUUUCGAAUCAUAAACACAGAGGGAGUUUACAACAUUUUAAUUAAGAAAUUAGGCUUCAGCUCAACUCAUCUUUGCAACGUCGGUUCCACUUCACAUCAACAUGCAAUGUUUCAGAAGGUCACGCGGUUUUGGGGUUGUUGUGUACCAAUAAUAUUAUAUAUAUAUAAAUUAGGAUUGAAGGAUACACGCAUUUUGUAGAGCUUAUUUUGUUAUGUAUUUUAAUGAUUUAAAUGCUUACGUUUUUCUUCACUACAAAUGAGUGAAUUAAUGAUUUUAGAAUUUGUCUAAUUUUUUACAUUGAUUAUUUAUGAAUAUUGAAUUGAAAUAUAGACGAUUCAAAAAUCGUUGAUAUACAUUACAAAAUGAACUCCACAAAAUAAGCGUCAAAAUAUGUAUAUAAAAUGGACAGCGUGAAAGGCUUGGAAAUUGGAAUAGGUUUGAAAAUUGUGCUUUUUGUAGCAAAUUGUAGCAAAGUUUGCUUGGACUUUCACAACCGUAUAAAUUAUGCCGCAGCACUCUCUAUUUUCUCUCUCGCUCUAUAUCGUGGUCCCUCUCUCUCGCCGUCCUCGAUUGCUCGAACUCACUAUCCUUUAUUGCUCGAACUCACCGUCCUCAAUUGCUCGAACCCACUGUCCUUUAUUGCUCGAACUCACUGUCUCCAACUUCCUCUGUUUGGUUCCCGAUGAAGAUGGUAAAACAGUAGGGGCAAGAAAUUAUGACAAUGUUAGAUUUGCAUAUUAAUCUGGUAGGGCUACAAUUCUCCAAUCCACACCCCUUCCAUCUAUGCUAGUGUUUGUACCCAAUAUUAGAUAUCCGGUCUGUGCAAUCGAGAUCGUUGAAUGAGAAAAAUUCUAAGCCGUGGGAUCAAAUAUAAUGAUGUGGAUUAAAUAAGAAAAAUUUAAAUGUUUAUCUUGGUUGAAUUACCAUGAUAAUAUUGUGGAAUUAUCUUCUGCAUAACGGGAUAGCGAGAAAAGUCCAAGGGUGUAGGGAAGUUGUGUGGCUGACUACCGCUUUUUUUUAUGGUGUCAUUAGUAGAGUAAUAUCACACUUAACAUUUAUUUGUACCAUCUCUCUAAUAAAGAUAAAGACCAUCAAUGCAUAAAUAAUGAUACAAAUAUAUAAUAAGAGUAUCAUAUUUGUAACUAGAAUAGGAGAAGAAAGACUUCAAGAUGGGGUCAGCCAAAUAAUUAGCGUCAGGAUAAAAAUAUGAGUAAUGAUAUUUGUAAACAUCGAAAUUUCGGUAAAUAAAUGUUGACCGAUAAAUCAAAGUUUCAACGCUCAUGUAUUACAUAAAUUUUACACGUAGCGUAUGUCUAAACAAAAAAUCGAAAUAAGUUGGAAAAGUCAUCAAACAGGACACAUGUCAACACCUGGCAGAAACGACUUAUUUCAUCUGGAAUAUUAUAUUCAAAAUUAGGCAUUGGAAAAUUCUAUAAAUAGAAGCCAAUUUCAUUCAUUUGAAGGAACCAAAAUCAUUAGGCAAAAUUCUUGAAGCUCUGAAGCUCUGAAACUCCGAAACUCUCAAGCAUCCAGGUUCCCGAAGAAUCAAGAAAGCUCUCUUCGUUCUUCGUUCUUCGUUCAUCGUUCAUCCUAAGAUCAAGCUCCAACGGCCCUUUAGAUCAACAAUCAUCCACUAAUUCAAGAUCAAGCCCCGACGGCCCUUGAAGAAAGUGUUCUUCAUUCUUCGUUCAUCGUUCUUCCAAGAUCAAGCCCCAACGGCCCUUUGGAUUAACAAUCAUCCACCAAUUCAAGAUCAAGCCCCAACGGCCCUUGAAGAAAGUGUUCUUCGUUCUUCGUUCAUCGUUCUUCCAAGAUCAAGCCCCAACGGCCCUUUGGAUUAACAAUCAUCCACCAAUUCAAGAUCAAGCCCCAACGGCCCUUGAAGAAAGUGUUCUUCGUUCUUCGUUCAUCGUUCUUCCAAGAUCAAGCCCCGACGGCCCUUGGAUCAACAAUCCACCAAUUCAAGAUCAAGCCCCAAAGACCCUUGAAGAACUUCUACCAAUUCAAGAUCAAGCCCUGACGGCCCUUGAAGAAAGUGUUCAUUGUUCAUCAUCCGUUCAUCCCGAAGAAUCAAGAAAGCCUUAUUCGUUCUUCGUUCAUCGUUCUUCCAAGAUCAAGCCCCGACGGCCCUUGGGUCAACAUCAUCAACAAAUCCACACAUCCAACCGUUCUUCAAGAUCAAGCCCAAAAGCCCUUGAAGAUCCGUUCAUCACCGUUAUUCAAGAUCAAGCCUUAACGGCCCUUGAAGAAACACUCAUCCUCAAGAUCAAGCCCCAACGGCUCCUUGAAGAUCCGCUCAAAUCCACCUUCAAAGAUCAAGCCCACGGCCCCUUGAAGAAACAUCCAACAGUUCAUCCAAGAUCAAGCCUCGACGGCCCUUGGAUCAACGAAACAUCUACAAAUCAACACCUUACGGAGAUCGAAUCAGAUGAUCAAAUUAGAGAGAGAUUGUAACCCUAAAUCAUCAAAAUACAAAUAUUAUUUUGUGCACGUUGUUCUUAUCUCUUUCGUUUCAGGAAAUUUUCGUGUUCACAAUAUUCUUACCAUCUAAAUAUACUAUAAUUUUAUACCAUCUUAUGUGGCAAUUGAGAUGGACUUCCACAUAAGUUUUAAAAAAAUCUCAUGUCAGCUAAGGUGGAUAUUUACGAUUUUACGAUUUUACUCAAUGAUUUUUAUUAAUAAAAUAAUUAAAAAAUAAUAAUGAAACCUACUUGCUCCCGUUUUCAAGCCUCAUCGCUGGGCCUCCUCCCUCUUCGCUCUCCAAUUUCACCUUCCUUCACCAACGAUCGAUGGUGCUCGACCCCCUUCAUCAUUGCCAACUGGCCGAAUAUCUUGAUGGUGCUCCCAGUGAUUGUUUUGCUCUGCCACCAAAUCAAGUUUGCAAUUUUAAUGGUUUAUGCCUUCUGGCCAAGUGUUGGAUUUGAUAGGUUUUUAAUUCCAGCAACAUUGAACAAAAAUAUGAAAAGGAUUGGAUACGAUAUUUUCCUCUGUUCUACUGCUGAGGAUUUUCCGAAUAGAAGAAGAUUUGGAAGACAACCUCUUUUCUUUUUUCUUCAUGGACUUUUGGUUAGCACCAAAAUCUUUUCCUAAUCCUCUAUAGGAAUGAAAAUUUCAUUCCAUGUUAUAUCCCGAUGUUGUCCAAGGUUUUGGCUUGAAUUUUCAUUGGAAUUAUCAUAUGUUGGAUCAGAUCAGGUGGAGAGAUGAAACGUAUCUAACAAGGAAGUUGAACGGGUAGGGUUUGAGCAAAAAUAAACAGAAAUUCCACCUAGGUUGACACCUAAGCUUCCACAUCAUGUGGUAUACUAAAUGUGGUAUAAUAAGAUGGUAAGAAUAGCAUUAUUGAAUGGGUAAUGUUAAGAGAAAUUUUUAGUUGUGACGGGAACACGGAUGGUACACCAUGCGUUUUUAUGUAAAUGGUGGAAAAUUUUAAUUUUUAAAUUAUUAACCUUUUAGCACACAUAUCCCACCAUUUAUAUGAAAACACGUGAUGUAUCACCUCGUGUGAUAGUCACAUUGAAAAAUCUCUCGUAAUGUUAGGAAAACUAAAUUUAUAAACAAAAGUUACAAAUUAAAUGAUGGGUUACCAAUAAGAAUGAUUACGUUUAUCAAUGCUUAAAUAAUAAAUCAUUCAUCAACUUCCAGUCCUUUAGUUUUUAAAAUUUUGUCUAACAUUACCCUUUCAAAACUCAUGAAAAUAAUUUUCAAUUUUUUUAACUGAAAAGUGAAAGUUACUAAACAAGAUUUCAGUUUUUAGCUUUCAAAAAAAUAAAAACAAAAGCUAAAAAUAAAAUGGUUAUCAAACAUCCCUAGAAGUCAUUCUUAGUGAUAGUAAGGUCAUCUCCAACCGAAAGAUCCAGGGGGCUAGAGGGCCGAAAAUAGUCUGAAAACCAUUUCCAAUCAAAGGCCAUGCCAAAGGGGUCGUGGACCCCAUUAGACAAAAAAGGGCCAAAGGGCCAACUGGCUGGCCCCAGUUCCAACAAUAACUAGAUGACGUCAGUUAACCGUUAUUUUUGAAUUUUUUUUUUAACAAAUUUUAACUUUCUAAGCCAUUAAACAACAUUAAAUUAAGUAAAAAAGAAAAUUCCUAUAACUUCCUAAGUCAUUAAACAAUAUUAAAUUAAGUAACAUGAAACAACAUUAAACAAUAUUAAACAAAAUUAAACAAUAUUAAACAACAUUAAAUAACAUUUAACAACAUAAAAAUUAUACAACAUAAAAAAAAACAUUUAAGAACAUAAAAUUUAAAUGCCUACUUCAUGCUUCUUUUGGCCCAAAGAUGUGCAACAAGAUCCUAAUGUAGGUACUUGUUUGUGGCACGAGAGCGUAUCAUCCUAACCGUUAGAUUUGAUUUUUUUUUGUUUUCGGCCAAAUUUUUUUAAAUUUAAAAAUAAAUUAUGUUUGACCUUUUGGCCCUCGAUUGGAGAUAGUUUUUUUUGUGACAUGACUAUGUUUAGCCCUAUGACCCUUUGGCCCUCAGUUAGAGAUGGUAAGAAAUAUGACCCAACAAUGUUCAUUAAAAUAUUAAUUUCUUGAAGAGCCAGAGGGCUAAAACGAGCCAUCCUUCGGUUGGAGAUGGCCUAAGAAGAGACUAGAGAUAGAGAGAUUCCUAUACUUAGCUGUGAGAGUUUCCUAUAUAUGAUUUUCAUUAACAAGAUUGAACUGAUUACAUAGAGAAGAAGAUCAAGUAUGGUUAUUUUUAUUUGGGAGACUUUGGAUGUGGUCCUUAGUUAUGAAUAUUAUUUGAUUGAAAUCUUGUUGGUUUUUAAUUUUUUAUCAAGAUCCCUGAAAUUAAUGUGAUAAUUUAUUUCUAUGUAAGUUACUAUAUUUUUUUAAUUAGAAAUUAGAAAUUUUAGUUGUUUAUAUAAAUGAGAUUUUAAAUUAAAAAAACCAUAAUUUGUGGGAUUAAAAAUAUUAAAAUAUAAAUAUACUAUUGUGUGUGUGUGUGUGUGUGUGUGUGUAUAAAUAUGGGUACAUUCAUCAAAAUUAACCAAAAAAUUUAUUGUAUCAAAACAUGGGUACAUUCUUCAAAAUCACAAAAAAAGAAAGAUAUUAGGCUUAAUAACAUUAGUAAAUUUCUUCGAUUAAACUUGACAUGGAUACAUUUUAAAAUCAAAGAAAAAAAAUGUACCCAUAUAAGUUUAAAAAUGGAUUAGAAAAAAAAAUUGAAUAGAUUUUAUACAAAAAAAGGGUACGUUUUACAUAUAACAAAUUGGUAUAUUUAAGAAUGAGUACAUUUUAAGAUUAAAAAGUUUUACAUGAAUGGGUUCAUAUAAUUAGCAUGGGUACAUUUAGCAAAAUAAAAAGUACAAAUACAAAAAAAUAUAUGUGUACAAAUACAAAUAAACUUUAAAAAAUAUGGGCACAAAAAGAAAUUAAUAUAUGGGUACAAAUUAAAACCGAAAAGAAAAUUGGUACAAGUUAAAAAAGAAUUACAAAUUAAAAAUGGGUACAAACUAAAACUAAAAAUAUAUGAUAAAAAAUUUAGUCAUAAAUAUAAAUAUACUAAUUGUAACAUUUUUAACAUUAAAUGAAUAUAUUUAGACAUAAAAAAUAUAUUUUAUUAUUGAAAUAAUUAAUGAUGUUAUUAAUACCCAAGGACCUUGAUAAAAAAUUGAAAAGAAAUAGAAUUUUAAUCAAUGGAGUAGCAAAAGAAAAGAUGAGAACCUAAUUUCUCCUUUGUAUUGUGUAGACAUUAUAACUAUACAUUCAUAAUAACAUGAGUAAUGUUAUAUUUAUCACAUUUGUACUCUUUCUCCAAUAAAGAUAGGGUCCAUCAACACAUGUGGGUUCUAUUUGCCCAUCAACACAUGCGAAUCUCAUUUUUAUUAGAAAAAUAGUACAAAUAUGAUAUGGAAAUUAUGAUAAGAUCGCAAUUUUGUAAUAACAUAUAUACUCAACUAUUUAUAUACCAACUCAUCUCCCUUUAGUGUAGUUAAUAUUGUUUGUUCAACCAAAAAAAAAAAAACUGAACUUGUCAUAAUCAUUGAAUCCAUUUACCAUGAACAAACGGCAGUUUACUAAACUUGCCCUCAGAGUAUAUAUAAAAGGUGAAUCACAAUCUAUUGCAUUAAUAUAAGGAAACAAUUUAUAGGGUUUGACGGGUGACUUAAUAUGCUAUAUGGCACAAUGAAAAUUAAGUUCACACUUUAUCCCAAAUAAGGUGUUGCACCUUUAAUUUAUGGAUGCUGGUUUGACGUGUGACCGAAAUAAUCAAAUUGUAGCCAUUAAUCAUUUUACAAGUAAUAAUAUGUGGUUUUAUUGUUUACGAUUCACACAACAAUCUGCUAGGAAGUAGAAAAUGCAGUACUUGUCCCUCUCACAGAAGUCAUGAAUAAUUAUCAAAUUCAAAGAUAAAGAAAAACCACACAAUUUACAAGAGGAAAGAAAAUGAAGGGAUAAAGAAAGUAAGAAAGGAAUACCUCUAUGGGAGGACUCUUAUUUGCUUCAGAUGCCUACAAUAUUCAUCAUAUAAACACUGAUUAAGUAGUCAUCGAAAACCAAAACAAAUGUCGAACAUAGGGUGAAAAACAGAAAGAAUAACCGCAGCUCAUCAUACCAAUAGAGAUAGAACUGCCCGAUGCCCAAGUAUGACUGAAAAAUGGCAAUCCAAACAUGGCGCCUUCUAGCUCAUCAAACUGUCAAAACCUAGGUUCCACCAAAAAGAUACAAGUCACCUAGUUACUUGUAAAAUAAAAAUCUGUUUCAAAAUAGUGGAAAAUAUUAUUAACAUUGUUCAAAGUCCACAUUGUUGUACCUACCAAGAAACAAGAAGGAUUGUAUCUUAUCAUGAAAAAGAACAUAGGUACCUUUUCAAUUGUAAUUGUACAAAAAUGAGAGACCACUUCCGAACUUCUCUUGGAACUUCAAUCAAUUUCUGCCCACUUUUAAAUGCCUUGACAUACUUAAGCCUAUUUCUUUGAGCUUCAGUUUUGGCUUCUGAUGCCUUUAAAUUUCUUAAAGAUUCUUACCAAGUUUUACAAACUCACUUCUAUACAACCAUUUGUCAGUAUACAUACCAUUUUCUUUGAGCUUCAGUCUUUGCAACACCAAAACCCCCCAAAUAGACCCGGAAUUUUGCAAUGUGCAGGGAAUAUACAAAAAAAACCCUCCUAUCCAUCUAAAACGAAAUCAGAACGCAAACCACAAUCAAAAUCCGUAAAAUUAAUUUAGCCAACCCCUAAAUCUAAUAAUUCUAACAAAUAUUAUAGUAUCAAUUGAGAGAGAAUUUGAGAAGAUACCUAGAGAUGAAAGGAAGAGCGUUUCCUCUGAUAGGGGUUCCGUGAAAGCAUCUGUUGACCAGAAAAGAAAAGGCAAAAAACCCCAAAUUACAUAUCAAGCAAUUAUAGAUAGAUCGAACCUUGAAAAUUGAAAUUUCAAACAAGAGAAAGGUUAUAAACUUACAACGAUCUGGGUGUUGGUAACUGGGUUUGGAUUUGGGUUUCUGAUAAGAGAGAGAAUCGUAUGAGGAACCGAUAGAGGAACUGCACCGGCAACAGAGAGCAAUUGAUAUGGUGGAGAACAGACGAGAAUAGCUGCUUGGAUGGUCAAUCCAAGAAGAGAAAAUCUUGCCACAAUCGCGGUACUUGAAAAAAAAAAAAACAAGUUUAAAGGAGGGAAACAAUCGCGCCUUUUUCUAAUAGACUCUGUCGACGAUAUUCUUGACAAAUAGAUGCUUCGUCGGGUGAGCUUAUUUUUCACAACAUUUUAUUUAGGAUUGGGUUCGGUUGGUAAACCGUGUCAAAUUUCUUGUGCCACUUGCCAGCCACAUAUACAUAAUUACCGAAAAUCAGUUACCGUUAGCCAACCGUCUUCUUGCGGUUGCCAAAAAUCGGUUCAGCCAAAAUGAUUGGCUGGUUCGGUUGGUAAAUGGCACAACCGGUGGUUUCCACUUCUUCCUCGCUAUCUUCCAGUUCCAAGGGCUCAAUUUGAUUUUCAGAUUGGGAUGCUUGUUCGGUUGCAUUGUGUGGUUCAUUUUGGGUUAAUCCAUGUUGUGCACUAGUAGUUGAUUGGCUAGACUCCAUUAUCCUAAACAUAAGCAACAAAUAUACAUUCAAAAUAAUAUAUAUGUACGUGUAUAUAUAGUAUCAGUAAUCAUCAUGCUAUCAAUUUUGUUAACAAUAUUUUCUAUAUAUUGAUUUUGGCAUGAAUCAUAUACACAUACAUAUAUUUUUAAAACCCUAAAACUAAGGAGUCAUUUAUUUUCUAAACUCUAAAAUUGAGGAGUCAAGCAUGUAAAAAAAUACUUAAAAUAUCUAAAUAGAAAAAGAAAAAGAAAAAAAAAUAAAUAUAUAUAUAUAUCGGUAGGUAUGGCAUACCGCCGGCAUACAAAAUCAAUUACCAAAGCCAUGCCAUUAAUUGUCGGUUCGGUAAAAUGCCAACCGAUUAUGAAAAAAUGUCAAAACUAUACCAUACCAUUUUGAGCCAACCAGUAUGGUUUGGUCAGUAAAUCGGUUUAUGGCAAAAUUUCUCACCCCUAAUUUUAUUUGUCACCUUAAACCUAUUGGUUUCUAGCCUACAAUUCGGAUAUUUUGUUGGGGAAAGAUUUUUGUACCAAUAAAAUUUUGCUUUGUCGGCAAAAUGACAUUUUCUAGUAGUUAUAAUAUUAGGUAGAUCAAAUUUGUAAACUAUGUGAUGUGUCACUAAUAGGAAAAAAUUUCAGUGUGCUGAAAAUACGGUCUAGAACACCAAGUGUCAUAAUAUAUACUUGGUUGGAAAUCUUUUAUUUUCAAGUUUCCAACUAGUUGUAUUGUAACAGUUGGUGUUCCAAGCUAUUUUCUCCAUGCGCUGGAAAAUCUCUUCACUAAUUAAAAAUAAACAUAUUAAUUAACACUUAAGUAAUAAUCAAAGCAUCAACAACUACGUCAUAGAAUUUACGAAAUAUGAUCUUAAUUAAUGAUCUCCAUUACCCUUUAUCUUAGCGUAUACGUACGCCUUCACAUGUUUAUUUGCUGAUAUGCAGCUUGAGUAAAAAUUUCUUUUUAAGAACAUAUAUGUGAAUAUAAACAUAUAUAUCUAGUGAUCCAUGUUGCGUUAUUUAAAAAUAAACAAAUUAAUUAAUUAAUGAACUGUGUACCUGUCUGUGUAGAGUAAUCCAUAUGCAUGCUUGAAUCCUGAUCACCACGAAACCAUAAUAUAAGCUACUCAAGGCCCGGAAGCUAGGAUUGAAGAGAAAAACACCCAGUCAGAUUAAGCCAAUACAUCAAAGUUAAUACUUCCAAAUGUAAGCUUUAAGAUAGAAAAAUCACUUACUUCCUUGAGCAGUCGAGCUUCUUCAAUGGCAUGAAGCUUUUAGCAUGAGAUUGACUGCAUCACAACUAAAAUUUUCUCUUGGAAACUACAUAAGGAAUAGCAUGUAUACCUAUAACGUUGAGAAAGUACGCCAAUUUUUUCCUUCUGCACAUUCAUGUUUAAAAGUAAUCCUCAAAUGAACUUGCCCACAAUGAAAUGCAAUUUGAGGUAGUCGAGUGUGUUCCAUUUCCAUCCCAUCGGAAUUACUACUAAACUUUGAGAUGGUAGAGGAUUCAUGAAAUUUUUUACUUUUGAAAUAGUCUCCUUAGCAUUUCUCGACUAUAACAAUGAGGAAAUACUUCACCUUGUAUCAAACAAGGGAGACCGAAAAUCAACUACUAAUAGCAUCACAGAGCCAGCAGAAGAUUGAGGAGGCCAUGAAAAGGAAAGAGAAAAUACACUCUUUUUUUGUAAGGACAGAGAUAAUACAUUCAAUAAAGGGUACUGAUGUUUAUAUGCAAAGCUGAUUAGGUUUAAAUAGUCGUAUUUAUUCUGUACAGUGCCAAUAUUACCACCCGUUAGUACACUUUCAAGACACUGUAAUCCAGUGUAUGCACUAUGCAGUACGUAGUACUCCUCAUUUUUUUGGGGAAAUUCAUUAUUGGUCUUCAUAUCUUCUUUAUUUUCCUUGUCCUCAUUGUGCCACGUGUUUAAAUCACUAAUUAUAGGUAAUCUUUCAAUUUAAUUAAAUCUUAUGUAAAAAAAGAUAAUUAAAUAUCAUUUAGUAUUACAAUAUAGUGAUAUUCCUCUUUAGUAUAAAAUUUUUAUAAUUAAAAGCGUUCAGCUUUUUAAUCUUCAUUGGAAUAUUAUCUAUAAAGAAAAAUUAUUCGAAUCAGAGAUCAUUUAUGCAUUCAAAUGUAUAAAAUACAUCGACAGUGUGAGAACCAACUAAUAUAUUUUUGAUGAAGUACAAUUAUUGAAUACAUUUGAACGAUCAAAUGAUAUAUGAUUCAAAAUACAUAUUAAGAUAAUAAAUAUAAAAGAAUUGUUAUUUGCACUUCAAGAAUCUCAUUCUACACUCUAAAUUUUCUAUAUAUUAAAAGAAAAAUAAAUUUGUGAAAAGUGUAGAAUGAGGUUUUUUUAAAUGCUAAUAACACUUCUCUAAAUACAAUUAUGAAAUUAAUUAAGUAAAGAUACAUGACCUCGUGAAUGAUGAAUGUAUUAUUCAAAAAAAUAUUAAAAACAAAUUGAAAAAGGACGCUGUUGUUGCCACCACUUAUGCAAUGAUCGUCGCUGCCAUCACCAACCCCCAACACCCCAUUACAGCUCAUAAAAGCACAUCAUAAGCAAUUUAUGAAAUAAAUUUACUGGAAUACUAAUUUCCCCCUUAGUUUAGGUCACCAAUGUUUAAAUUUAGGGAUCGUGAUAUCCACACACAUUUUUUACUUCUUUCACACUUUUUUUUUCGGUUGUCGGAUCAGAUGAAUUGAAGAAAAUCAAUGAACAGAAAUUAACAAGGGGUGUGUGAGAAGUAAAAAUGAAUGUGUGGAUAACACACCCCUAAAUUUAUCACAACUUUCAUUCCAAAUUUAAUUUUUAUCCGUAGUUUUGUUUGUUCAAAUUUACUUUGACAUUUCCAUUAGUAUUAAAAUCUAAUUUAAAUUUUAGUGUUCAAGCUAGAAAAAGUGUUCCAUUUAAUAUUUAAUCUCAGUUUUUCUCUUUAUUCUUUUAUUGGGAUUUGGUUGCAUCGUAUCUCCAUUUUUCUCGGUGUUGUAUGUUCAUAAGGCCUGUGAAACGUUGGCACGGAGUGAAGGGUACUCACUUUUUGGCCCAAAAUGCAUAAGGCAUGUAGAUAUGUUAAUCAAAUUUUGUAAACUAAAGGAUAUAGAAGUUGAUAAUUAGAUUAUAAUUUAAGAUAAUACUAAGGAGACUAAAUUUGCAAACUAAAUGAUGUGUCACCAAUAAAAAUAAGCACGUUUAUCAACAAUUAAGUAAUAAAUCAAUCAUCAACUUUCAUGUCCUUUAGUUUCCAAGAUUUAAUAUACAAAUUUAGUCUCCCAAGCAUUACUCUAUUACUUAAGUAUUGAUUAACAGACUUAUUUCUUAUGGUGACACAUUAUUUAGUUUACAAUUUUAGUCUACCCAACAUUACUCUUUUGAAAUUGUCUUGUCCACUGAUAUAAUUCUAUUUUUCUUGUGAUCAAAACUUCAAAUGUUAGCAAGUCGCACGUAAAGUCGCUUAUGAGAGAAUGUGCUCACAUUGUAGUUGAAAGAUUAUGUGGCUAGCAACAUUACAAAUUUAAUUUGGUAUAAUUCUAAAAUAUAGAUUGAGGAAAAAAUGAUCACAUUAACUAGAAACUGAAAAGGUUUCAGCACAGUUUGUUCAAGCAAGAAAUUCAAUUUUGAUGCUACCGAUCUUAACAGCCUGAGCGCCGUACCUGGGCACCAAAGUCACCACCACACUCUCAUCAUCUUCAGCACCCAAAUCCUCCAACAGGUCCGUUAACCCCAACCUUAAACAACUCUUGCUCUUUUCCUUCUGCUUAUGUGGCACACUCACAAAACUCCCAGCAAACUCGCUCUUGUCGGGUCCACUCGGUGCCGCAUCCUCAUCGUCCACGUCAUUCACAUACACACAUCAAACUUCACAGCCACAUCUUUGUCAAGCUCAAUCCCCUGAAUCACCAAUAUCUCCUCCUCAUCCUCUUUCUCCUUCUUGCUCCUCUUCUUCGGCUUCGGCCUUGACACCACCGUACUUAUCUUCGUCUCCAAAUUUAUUGGAAAAUCUUUACCCGCCACCACCUUCCCUGAUGACGUCGUCUCAGUGGCCUUCGCCACUCCAGCCGCCUUUGCCUUUCUCGCAAGCUUUGUCCGACGUGGCGUCGGUCUAGACUUGAGCCAUGGAAUCUCAACAUCUUCAUACGUAUACCCUAGCUUUUUAUUAUCAAGAGUGUCCCUCACCGUGACCCUAACAAGCUCAGCAUUCUCGUCAUAAAACAAAAACCCCGUAUCCAACCAAUCCUUAUCGUUAAUAUCGUUAUUUUUAGUCCCUAUACUUUUCCAAAUAUUCCACAUUCGAUCUAUAUUCGAAUGGUGCGAAAAAAAUAUUGGAUCCCUUGCAGCGGAGUAAAAAUUCCCCAUGUCUUCAAAAUUAGGCUGCGUGUUAUCUCCGGUCCAUAAAUGAACCGGACCAUGUGGGGUCGUUUCGAUUGAACCGCCCCCUGGAUCUGGUUCAGUGUCAGCCCUGUAGGGCGAACCAAAGAACAACAGCGGUUUCUUGGAGUUGGAAACCAUCUGCCUAUACAUGAUUUUGAGGUUGGCGUCGAUUUGAGCAUCCUUGGACAUUGUUUCAUCCGUGCCGUUGAAGUCAAGAUCGAUGAGAGUCGGCGGCUGAUGGCUGGCAGCGCGGAGCUCGUCGUAAAGCGGAGAGUCCGGGUUAGCGAACAAGGCAGGGAGUUGCAUGCCAGCUGGCGCGUCCCAGUUCCAAAACGGCAACGCGAACGUCGGAUCGUCUAUGAGUUUGGCCAAGAUUCUUUCGUAGAAGUAUACGUAGUAACGAUGGAAGGGGAAGAAAAGCCAGCAUUGAUGGAUUUGGAGCUCGAGGUUGGGGAAGCCGACUUGGUCGUACGCGCCGUCGCAAUAGGCACAGUGGAGAUCGGCUUGCUGGGUGAAGCUACGCGGAUCGUCGUCCGGGAGGGCUUUCAUGAGCUCGAUGGCUUUUGAAUAUUUUUCGAUGUAGGCUUUAUCCACGGUGUGAGCUGCCGGCCUGACGCGGAGUUUGGUAGGGGAGGGGAAUUUGAAGUCUACGAUUUUUUGGGACGUUGGCGGGCAACAGUUGAUCGGGACUGCUCCACUUGGAAAGUCCGCAGCUCCGCAUUUGGCUAGGUCAGGCGGCAACACUGGCUUUGCAACAGCGAAGGGGUCGCUGCCAAGACCAGCCACUCCGGCUUUGCAACAGCGAAGGGGUCGCUGCCAAGACCAGCCACUCCACCGUAGAGGCUUCCGAGACCUAUAAGAAGAUAGAAUUCAGUUCUUGGCAGUAGAGGACUCUAUUGCAGGGAAAAACUGAUUUGAAUUAGGAAGGCUUAAGUAGUUUUCCAUAAGGAUUUUAAUAGGGAAUCCAUAUUCUAAUAUGAGAAGGAUAUGUGUGUACAUAUAUAUAUAUAUAUAUGGCAAUCUCUUCUCUCACAGGUGUGUGCUCUUUUGGAACUAAGCCCUAUUCUUAGUUUGAGUGAUAAAUACCCUGACAGAGAGAAGAAGAAUUGAUGUGCUUUUCAGGUUGAUCGAGAUCCACCAUGACUGCAUCAAACGGGAGUUCUACAGGUUAGUAUAAUUAGGUUUUAUUUGGAUUGAUGUUUUGUGUCUACUUGGUUGUAGUUUAAGUAACUGAAUCUUGCAGCUAGAUUUUGGUUUACAUGUGGUAUCAGAGCCAUAGAUUCAUGUUCUUAAAUUCAAUCGAUAAAAUUGAUUGAAUCCAAAAUAAAAUUCCGAUCUUCAGACUUCGAAACAGGUUCUGGUAGUUAAAAUUAGGAAAAGAAGAAACGGUGCGUUUUGAUUAAAAUAUGAUGAUUAAUACUUGACCGUUAAGAGCUAAUAAACUAUCUUCUCUUCCGAAUUGGGAAUACAAAUCGACAUCUAUCGAUUUCGAUUUCGGGGUUUGAAAAACUGGGUUAUAUGACAUCUAUCGAUUUCGAUUUCGAGGUUUGAAAAACUGGGUUAUAUGAAUUGUUAUUGAGUAUCCACAAUUUAUAUUAAUUGCUUCCGCUGCUGGGUGUUGAUGCUCAUAGAACAAACGGGUAUGUCUCCUGAACAUUGAAUUGAAAUUUGUUUUUUAAUCAAUCUUAUCUUGAAUUUCAUUAUGUUCUACAGCAUGAUUCGAAUAGUGAGCAUAAAAAUAUGCUUAUUUAUGCUGAUUAGUCCUAUGUUUAUGCGUUUUUCUCUAACCAUCUAUGGAAGGGAGUUCUUCGAUAAGAACCUCUGCAGAUUUCACUUGUUUUAUGCAGAAAGUUUUAUGAAGAACUGUUCAUUUGAUAAAGAUCUGCUAAAACUGUGUUCUUAAAUGGAAAAAUCUUUUAUUCUAUAUGUGCUUAUCAAUUCUUCAUUGUUAAGAUUAUAUAUAUGGAUAAAAGGUUUUGAUGAUAUGAUGUACAAAGGAUUGUGAGAUGAAAUCUGGAACUCUAAACGUUCUUCUGUGAUUCAUUGUGAUUUCAUUGUGCUACAGUGUCUGCAAUAUCAAUGAAGACUCUGAAUUUGGCUAACAUCCCAAUUCUUACUGGUGGGGGAAAUUACAAGAAGUGGAGAAGGGAAAUCAGUUUGCUGUUGACUCUAAACGAGUUUGAUAUAGCAAUCGAGAAUCCCAAACCCGUGGUCAAUGAUCAGAGCAGCACAAGGGCUGAAAAGGCAGAUUUUGAGAGAUGGACAAGGGCUAAUAAGGUAGCAUUGUCCAUCCUUGAGAGUGGCAUGACUGAUACAAUCAGAUGAGGAAUUAAGAAGCACGAUUUGGCUGCUGAUUACCUAAAAGCUAUUGAAAAGAAAUUUCAAGAAUCUGAAAAAGCUGAAGUGAGUCAGUAUAUGUCUUUAUUAACUACUUACAAGAUGGAGGGUACAAGCUCUAUAAGGGAUCACAUAAUGAAGAUGACAUAUGCUGCAGAAAGACUCAAUGCAAUGGAUAUAAACAUAGGUGAAAAGCAGUUAGUAUUCAUGAUUCUUCAAGCACUUCCCAGUAAAUAUAGUCAGUUGAAGAUCUCCUACAAUACUCAAGACAAAAACUGGGAUAUUGAUCAGUUGAUUGCACAGUGUGUGCAAGAAGAAACUCGUCAAAAACAAGAAAGAGGCAAAGAAGUUGAGGACAUCAACUUUGUGCAAACUAUAAAUGACAAAAAGCAGUUCAACAACAGAAGCUUUUCUGGUUCUGGUAAGAGUUCUAAGCCUUUUAAAACUUCUAAUAAGUUCAGUAAUUCUGCUAAAGUAGUUGACUCCCCUAGAAAAUCUAUCAAGUUUAAAGCUAAACCUAAAGAUGUGUCUAAAUUAAAAAUGUUUUUGGUGCAAAACUAAGGGCCAUUUAAAAGUUAACUGUGAAAUUUUCAAAGAUUAUGUAAAGAGCAAAGAAAAGGAACAAGUACUUGUCUGUAUUGAAUCAAAUUUGUGAAGUAUACCUGUUGAUUCUUGGUGGUUUUGAUAUACCGGAUGCUCAGUGCAUAUAACUAAUUCUUUAAAUGGUUUUCAAAAACAAAAGGAAUUUGGAAAUGCUACAUAUAAUGUUUUUGUUGGGGAAGGAACUAAAGUUGCAGUAGAGUCAAUUGGGAUAGUCAAAUUAGUCUUAUGUUCUGGUUAUGUUUUAGAGUUGAAAGAUGUGUGCUAUAUGUGCCUAAGAUGAGAAGAAACUUAAUUUCUGCCCUCUAAAAUUGUAAAAGAUGGUUUUUCUUUUCUUGGUGAUGAUGAGUGCCUCAAAAAUUUUCAAGAAAAACUGUCCUUGUCCUAACACUAUUUUAGGGACUGCUUUUUUGUCUGAUAAUUUAUGGAAUCUAAAUUGCACUGUUAAGGCACUCAAUCACACGAUUUUCAGCAUUAGUACUAAGAGAAUGAUAGGUCAGGAUACUUCAUACAUUUUAUGGCACAAAAGACUAGGACACAUCUCUAAAGAAAGGAUAAUUAAGCUGUAAAAAACUGACUUGAUUCCAAAAUUAGAUCUUUCUACUGCAACUGAAUGUGUUGACUGCCUAAAGGGUAAAAUGACCAAUUUUAGAAAAACAGAUGCCAAAAUGAGCCAGGGGUUACUUGAAAUCAUACACACUGAUAUCUGUGGUCCUUUUCCAGUUAAGACAAUAUGUGGAAACAAGUAUUUCAUUAAUUUCAUAGAUGAUUUUUCAAGGCUGGGAUAUACCUUUCUGAUUAAUGAAAAAGCUGAUGCCCUUAAGUGUUUUAUAAUUUACAAAACUGAGGUUGAAAAACAGUUAGGCAAGGUUAUUAAAAUUGUUAGAUCGGAUAGGGGAGGUGAAUACUUUGGCAGGUACACUGAAUCCGGGCAGCAAAAGGGACCAUUUGCUCUCUAUCUCGAGAAGAAUGGUAUUGUGGCGCAGUACACCACACCUGGAACGCCUCAACAGAAUGGUGUUUUUGAAAGAAGAAACAGGACUCUUAUUGGUAUGGUUAGAAGCAUGAUGUCCAGAUCAAAAUUGCCAGGAUUCUUGUGGGGAGAAGCUUUGAAAACAGCUAAUCAUAUAUUGAAUCGAGUUCCAAGCAAGGCAGUAUCUACCACACCCUAUGAGUUAUGGCAUGGGAGAGUUCCUAGUUUUACUUAUUUCCAUGUUUGGGGUUGUAAAGCAGAAGCUAAGUUAUAUAAUCCUAAUGAAAGAAAGCUGGAUUCAAGGACUCAGUCAUGUUAUUUUAUUGGCUAUCCUGAGAAAUCAAAAGGAUACAGGUUCUAUAUCCCUCAAGGUCACACUCGGAUCCAAGAGACACACAAUGCAGUUUUCCUAGAAGAUGAAGAUGUCUCUCAUUUGUCAAGGGAAAAUUUCAUAUUUGAAGAGAUGCAUUCAGAUGGUGGGGACCAUGUGACAAUGGAUUAUAAUAUCGGUCUCAUUGUUUCCCAAUCAAUCAUCAAUUGCCAUUGAAGAUAUGAGUGAAGAUUUAGGAGUUCCUGAUGACAACUCUGUAGGAGUUGAUUCCACAACAUAAGCUGCAACAAUUCCUUUUGCAGAAGCAUGUGAACCAGUUGCUGUUCCACCUCCAGUUGAAAUCAGAAGGUCACAAAGAGCUCGGAAAACCACUGCAAGCAAUGACUAUGUGUACUUAUAAGAGACUGAGUUCGAUAUUGGUGACAUUUGAUGAUCCUCUUACAUAUACUCAGGCAACUGAAAGUCCUCAAGCAGUUCUUUGGAACAAUGCAAUGAAGGAUGAGUUAGAUUCAAUGUCCAAAAACCAGGUUUGGACAUUGGUGGAAUCCAACUCUGAAAUUAGGCCAAUAGGCUGCAAGUGGGUAUAUAAAACCAAAAGGGAUGCUGCUGGAAGAAUUGAAAGAUAUAAAGCAAGGUUGGUUGCUAAGGGGUUUACUCAAACGGAGGGGAUCGACUAUAAUGAUACUUUCUCUCCAGUUUCCUCCAAAGACUCCAUGCGAGUUAUCAUGUCUUUAGCUGCCUACUUCGAUCUUGAAUUACAUCAAAUGGAUGUAAAAACCGCUUUUCUUAACGGAGACUUACAAGAGGCUAUAUACAUGAAACAACCUGUUGGAUUUGUUGAAAAGGGGAAAGAGAAUUUAGUAUGCAAGCUCAAUAAGUCCAUAUACGGCUUGAAACAAGCAUCAAGGCAAUGGUACCUAAAGUUUGAUCAAAUUGUCUCUGCAUAAGGUUUUGUAGAAAACAAACUGGAUGAUUGUAUAUACAUUAAGUUCUCAGGUUCCGAGUUCAUCUUCUUAGUACUUUAUGUUGAUGCCAUUCUCCUAGCUAGUUCAUGUCCCCAAUUGCUUCAUAGCAUUAAGAGAAUGCUAAGUGAUAACUUUGAGAUGAAAGAUCUUGGAGAAGCACAUUAUGUACUAGGAAUAGAGAUUGUUCGAGAUAGGAAAAUGAGGCUCCUUGGUUUAUCUCAAAAGGGGUACAUUGACAGAGUGUUGGAGAAAUUUCAUAUGGCAAAUUGCAAUUGUGGUCAGGUUCCAGUCAAUAAAGGUGACAAGUUUUCGAAGAUUCAAUGUCCAAGAUCUGAUUUGGAGGUGAAGAAAAUGCAAGCUAAGCCUUAUGCCUCGUUGAUUGGAAGUCUUAUGUAUGCAACUAUCUGUACAAGGCCUGAUAUUGCCUUCAUAGUUGGUAUGCUAAGACGAUUUCAAGCAAAUCCUGAGAAGCACAUUGGGGGUGGCAGCCAAGAAGGUUCUUCGAUACUUGCAGAGAACCAAAACUCACAUGUUAGUAUAAUGGCCGAACUGAUUCUUUGGAGCUCAGGGGGUAUAUACUCGGAUUUAGCUGGAGAUGUGGAUGACAGGAAGUCCACAGGGGUUAUAUCUUCAUACUCAAUGGAGGGGCAGUUUCGUGGAAAAAUGCAAAGCAAACUAUUAUAGCCACAUCAACUAUGGAAGCUGAGUUUGUAGCCUGUUUUGAAGGCAUGAAACAGGCAGCAUGGUUGAAGAAUUUUUUGACAGAUUUAAAGAUUGUGAAUUCGGUUCAGAAACCAGUAACAAUGUUCUGUGAUAAACAACUCGGCUGUGUUUUUUGCUAAGAAUAAUAAAAGGACUUCAGCAUCUAGAUUUGGAUGGACGAAGUUUCUUAAGGUCAGAGAACAAGUCAAGAAAGGAGUUAUUGAAGUACAGCACAUUAGCACUACUAUGAUGAUUGCUGAUCCCUUGACUAAGGCACUGCCAAUUGGAGAAUUCAAGAAACAUGUUUCUUCAAUAGGAGUACUAGAAGGUUUUGAUCAGUGGGAGUAAUCACGUGUGUGUUAAAGGCUUGGGAUUGCAGAAGCAGAAGUAUAUAUGUGUUUCAAGAACUGUAUGUGCAAUUCUGACAAGCUGAACUAAGGAUGCUUUAUGUUUUAACUUGCUUUAGUUAGUUUGUUAAGGUUGUUUGUGUUUUAAUAAGUGUCCUUGUCUGCUACUCAAUACUUUGGCUUUCAGGUGUUGAGGUACGGAUACUGGACUGAGUUAGAAUUUAGUUUCAUUAGUAACUUUGAAAGAACAGUUUGUCUGUUUUUUAAGUUUGUGGUUAAUGAUGUUAUAUAGUCAAUUACUAUGUUGCUUUUCUGUGAAGAUUAAUGUGUGUUGUGAUCUUUUGAAAAGUGGGAGCAUAAUGUUUGACGGUUUAUGUUAGUCAUGAGUCAUAUUUACAAAUUGAAUAUAUGUGAGCCUUGAAUUAAUACUACAAUUUGGUUGUGGUCUGAGAUUCUUGGUUUCUAUAUUUUGAGAUGUAAUGGGACAGUGGUCAUGAUGGUUAAAUCUUAGAUGAGGUUAUGUGAUCACUUCUUAUGAUUGGUGACGGCAAGGUUUGAUCUUUGUCUCAUGUUCAAGUGGGAGAAUGUAAGAAUGUGAACAUGAGAUAAGAUGAUCGGAUAUUAGUUGUUUGAGUCCAAUCCGAAUAAGAAAGCCUCUAAGAAGAUGGAAUUCAGUUCUUGGCAGUAGAGGACUCUAUUGCAGGGAAAAACUGAUUUGAAUUAGGAAGGCUUAAGUAGUUUUCCAUAAGGAUUUUAAUAGGGAAUCCAUAUUCUAAUAUGAGAAGGAUAUGUGUGUACAUAUAUAUAUAUAUAUGGCAAUCUCUUCUCUCACAGGUGUGUGCUCUUUUGGAACUAAGCCCUAUUCUUAGUUUGAGUGAUAAAUACCCUGACAGAGAGAAGAAGAAUUGUUGUGCUUUUCAGGUUGAUCGAGAUCCACCAUGACUGCAUCAAACGGGAGUUCUACAGGUUAGUAUAAUUAGGUUUAUUUGGAUUGAUGUUUUGUGUCUACUUGGUUGUAGUUUAAGUAACUGAAUCUUGCAGCUAGAUUUUGGUUUACAUAUUUUUCGAUGUAGGCUUUAUCCACGGUGUGAGCUGCCGGCCUGACGCGGAGUUUGGUAGGGGAGGGGAAUUUGAAGUCUACGAUUUUUUGGGACGUUGGCGGGCAACAGUUGGUCGGGACUGCUCCACUUGGAAAGUCCGCAGCUCCGCAUUUGGCUAGGUCAGGCGGCAACACUGGCUUUGCAACAGCGAAGGGGUCGCUGCCAAGACCAACCACUCCGGCUUUGCAACAGCGAAGGGGUCGCUGCCAAGACCAGCCACUCCACCGUAGAGGCUUCCGAGACCUAUAAGUACAUUUCUUCUGUCUAGGUUUACUAGAGAAGGGUUUUCAUGGUCGUGAUCGUUGGAGCUAGUGGAAGGGUUUUUGUUUUGGUCACUACUAUUAUUUGUGGCUUUGCACGAGACAGCUUGUAAAUUGGAAUGCCUAGGGUUUCCAAAUGAGGAUAUUCGGUGAUACUUUUGGGAGAAAGGGGAGAGAGAAGUUGUGGGGAUGAUACUUGUGGCGGAGGUGACGAGUGGAGCUGACAUAGAAGCCAUGGUACUUGACUCUGAAUAAUACGUUGUAUUGGCUUUGCUUUUAUAAUGUGUUCUAGGUUUUACGUUUCUUUGCACGGGUGGCAGGCCGUACACACGUGGUCGGUCCUUAAGGGUUUGACGAGGAAUACUACGCAGUCAUUUAGUACAUGACAACCAUACACUAUAGCACGUGGCAUGUAUUUAGAGAUCGAGAGAGAAUUGGGUAAGGUUCACGAGGGAUUGUAGUUUCAGAAGGUGAAUUGGUUUUGGUCUUCUUGUGUACCAAUAAUUUUUACUUAGUCAUUUAGUGCAGGACAACCAUGCACUAUAGCACGUGGCAUGUAUUCAGAGAUCGAGAGAGAAUUGGUUGGGUAAGGUUCACGAGGGAUUGUAGUUUCAGAAGUUCAAGCGGUUUUGGGCUUGUUGUGUACGGCUGUGGGUCUGCUGUCACGGACUCUCUGUCUCAUUUGUGUCUUAUUUUUUAUUUUUUGACACGUUUUAACGUCAAAUCAUUAUAGCAAUGUUAUGCAAUUGGGAGCUAAAUGACCGAUGCUCUUAUUUUUUAGUUUGCUUUUUUUCCAGAUCUGAUCAAAUCAUGAUAGCAAUGUUAUGCAAUUUUCAAGAGGGAGAGAUGCACCUGGGAGAGAAACGGUACGGUGACUUCUAAAUCACCGUCCAACAGAACAAUUCUCAGUAGAGACUACUAGAGAGAGAUGCACCUCACCAAUGAAAAAUUUAACUGCAAAAAUUCUGGGUAUCGGGAGUUGUGGGGUGGGUCUUGGCAGUUUUCUUAUUUCUUUGAAUUUUUUAUAAUUUAUUUUAUAAAAGUAACAGUGUUUUGUGGGGGUUAAAUUGUAAAACACGUGUCAUCAAACUAAAUAAAGAGACACCAAAGAGACAUGGAAUUCGGGACAACAGACCCACAGCCGUUGUGUACGGAGGCAGACUCUCUGCUCUCCUACUUUCUGUGUCCUCCUGUUUUGUGUAGUCACGAUUAAAUCACGUCAAUAUUUUAUAUUAUUAUUUUAUAGAUAUAAUAAGACAAAAAAGAAUAGUAAUUUAAAAUAUUAACGUGACUUAACUGUGACCACACGAAUAGGAAGGCAUGAGAAGUGGGAAGGCAAAGAAUAUGCCUCCGUUGUGUACCAAUAAUAUUAUAUAUAUAUAUAUAUAUAUAUAUAUAAUUAGGAUUGAAGGAUGUAGAGCUUAUUUUGUUAUGUAUUCUAACAAUUUAAGUGCUUAUCUUUUAGGUUUUCUCUUAAACAGCAUGCCUAUAAAAAAUCACCAAAAUUCAAACCAUAUGACCAUUAGAUCCAUAGUCAUUUUAGUGUUAAAUGAACUUCACAAAAUAAGUCUCAAAAUAUGUAUAAAAAAUGGACAGCGUGAAUGGUUUGGAAAUUGGAAUAGGUUUGGAAAUUGUGCUUUUUGUAGCAAAUUGCAGCAAAGUUUGCUUGGACUUUCACAACCGUAUAAAUUAAACUGUUCGCUUUGUUGGGAAAAACAAGUUUGCCGCUGGUCUUGGGUUCCAAGAUCGGCCAAUUUGACGGCACACUUUUUGGCGUUGAGAAGCAGUACGGAGAUGUGCAGAUUAACUUGGAUUGAUACUCCUCCAUCUUCGUUGGUUCGUGUAUUGAACAAAGAUGGCCUUCCUUGCCCUCCUUAAUAUUUUUUGUUCUUCCUGCAGUGGAGGCGGUGACGCCUUGCUCUUGGUGCAGCGUCUAGUGUUCUGUACCCUCCUCUUCUGCAUAUGUUUGUAUUUCCCCUCGUUGCCCCUUCUAAGUGGGCUUCCUAUUGUUUUGGCUUCGGCCCUGGUUAUGAAAUAUUUCCAAUCUUACCCAAAAAAAAAAAAAAAAAGAAGAAGAAGAAGAAGUCAAGCACGGUGGGAGACUGGUCAUAGUUUCUAGAUUGAUGCUCUAAUUCUAAUGUUAUACAACGCGUACGCUAAAAUAUUUUUAUCAAAAUAUUAGUUUUAGUGUUAUCAAAACAAUAAUGUUAUUCUUACCAUGUUUUUGUAUCACAAUUAUAUACCACCUUAGAUGGCAUAUGAUGUAGAUAGCCACAUCAUUUAAAUUAAUAAGCAUUUAAUUUCAAAUGUUAAUCAAUAAUUAAUAAAAUGAUUGUUAAUUAAAUGAUGAUUAUGGUAUACAAGGAGUCUCCUUCUUCCUUCCCCUUUCCAUUCUGCUUUUUCUUCCUACCACUUUCUGUUUUUUUUUUCAUGCCAGUUUUUGUAUUGAUUUCUAUUGAUUUCCAUGAUUAUGGUCAAUCUUUAUAGAAUUUACUCGUAUACCACAACCACCAUUGAUUUCUAUCUCUAGACUCAUGCCCCGUAGCCCUAAUCCUCAUUCCCCUUCAAGUAUUUCUGUCUCCAAUCUUCUUUGGUACUCCAUGGUUGUUCAUCUCGUGAUUUUUUUUUAUUAUUUCAUUAAGUAACGCCUAUUAGCUUUCAUGCGAAUUAGGAGUCAAAAUCAAAUUUGUCUAUCGGAUUAGGGUUCAUGCCCAAUUAAGUUACUAACGCAAGAGAGAUUUUGAAGUCUACAAUUUUCCUUAUUUAAGUGUUUUAAUUAAUAAGAAAAUUGAAAUUAAACGAUUUAGCUUGUCCAACUCAUCUGCCACCUAAGAUGGUAAAUAAAUGUGGUAAGAAUAGCAUUACUCUUAUCGAAAUUACAAAAAAAAAAAAAAAAAAAAAAAAAAGCUGAUUCAAUAUUUAGUUAUUAAAAAAAAUAUAAAAAAAGUGAUCAAGUAACUAUCCAAUACCCAUGUAUUGGGUGCUUUGUUUGAAAAUUUUCAAAAUGAUAUUGGGCUCGUUUGGAUAUGUUUUUAAAAUGACUGAAAGCGUUUUUAGAGAAAAUAUUUUUUUGAUUCCAAAAGCACUUAAAGUGUUUUCUGCAAAAAGCACUUAAAGUGCUUUCUGCAAAAAGCACCAGUUAUGUGCUUCUUCCUAGAAGCACUUUAAGUGUUUUUCAAGCAUUUACUUGCUUUUUUACUAAGGAUUGGUUCCAAAAACAUUUUCACAAAAAGUGUUUUCAGUCAUUUUAAAAGUACAUUCAAACGAGCUCAUUGUUUUUCCUAUUUUAAUCAAGUGCGUCGUCCCCUGUUGAGAAUGAAUCUCAUAUUAUGGGGAGAGGGGUCUUGCAUGGAUGAGAGGAGGGACCUUGCAUGAGCUUAUAAGUAAGUUGGGUUACUCUCUAUAUUGCCAAGAGAAAUUUUAUUUGGACCUACUUUUCCUCUCUCUAAACCCAACUUUAAUAUUUUGUUACCUAAACUCUCUAGUUUACCCUCAUAAAUUAUAAACAUAAAUAAACUGGAAAAAGAAAAACUCAUCAAACCUAUUUCCCAACUGUUCUGGCGUCUCUUCCCUGUAUUUGUUGGGUCUAUCUCCCUCCCGACUGUUUUUUUUCCCUGAUAUUCUCUGUGUGUUCCCCCACCUCUCCCACACCCACCGAUUCUUUGUGGUGGCUAUUCCACCCAACGUCCAGUGAAUCUUUCCAUUUUUCUUCUAUUGCGCGUGAUAGGGCCUUGCUGUUAAUAGGCAAAACUAAGCGGCAUCGUCGACUCUGUAAGCGACUUGUUGCAGAAGUCCAAAAUGGAGUCAAAAGGAUUUUGUAUUGGGUCGGGUUGUUGAAGGCGAUGGCUGAUUUAGCAAUCUCGCCUAACUACUUCUAUAUGCAGGAGAAGGAAGAGGGAGGAAGGUCUAAAGUGGUGGUUGAGUGGUGGCGAUGUAUGUGGGUUCUAUCUCGGUUGAAUGGGUGUAGAAAGAUAUUUAAUUUUCAGUUUCUUAUUUUAUUUUGUAUAAGGGAUAAUAUCGGAAUUACAUAAAAAGUUUUUUUUAUAGCUGGGUGUAGAAAUAGUAUUGUUGGGUCUAAAUAAAAUUACCCUAUUGCCAAACAUAGUAUUGUUGGGUCUAAAUAAAAUUACCCUAUUGCCAAUUAGCUUUGUUUGAAAAUUUUCAAAAUGAUAUUGUUUUUACCAUUGAACCCUUGUUAUAUACAGUGAUGGCUAAUUUGUCAAGUUCUACGAAGUUGGGAUACCCAGCGUUUUAGCAUAUAACAUAACUUAGUAUUACAAGCAUAAUUAAUUAAAAUAAAGGAAAAUGAAGAGGAUAGCUUAGUAUUACAAGCAUAAUUAAUUAAAAUAAAGGCAAAAGUAACAGCCUGUCCCUAAAAAUGACGAUUUUAUAAUCUUAACACGUGAGUUUAUGAAGAUGCCCUUCGAGGCAAAGUGUUGACUUGUGUUGACUACCGCAUCGUGUCAUGUGAGACUCAUCUUCUUGGCGUAUUCUCGUUUUACUUGUCACUACGGACGCAUGGGCGCAAACGGGACAUGAUUUGGAGCUAUAACGAAUGAGUUAUUAACAUUUAAAGUUAAGGACAUUUUAGUAAAUUAAUUAAUUUCAGAUUAUGUUGAGGGGAAAAUCUGGAGUGCCGGUGGGUGGCCCAGAUUAAAGGAAAUGAAGAAUGGAUGGUGGAGGUGUAAAGGAAAGAAGAUAAAAGAAAAAUGAGAGGAAGUGUGUGACUAAUAGGGAGAUGAGAGAGUUAGGAUGGCCCAAUCAGAAACAAACGAAAGGAGGAAAAAGGAGAGAAGAGGGGAGCGGGGGAUCCCUUCGACCCGGUUCCAUUUUCCGACCCGACCCGAUCCUUUUCAUCUUCUUUGAUGGUUUUUCGUCGGUUUUUUCCGACGAACCACGUUAUCUAACCCCUUGGAAAAUGUUCCACAACCUUCCCUCAACUAUUACAAUCCAAAAUUGUAGAAAUUUAGCCAUGAAAGUAUGAAAACCACACCGGUGGGUGCGGGAAACCCUUGUCGUCGAUUCUCCCAUUAUUGCAACGAUUUUCACCAAUUACCACCACCUACAACAUCCUCUUGAGGUCUGGAAUAAAGCCCAAACAAGUUUUGCACUACUACAAUAUUAGCUUUAGAUGGCAGAUGAUGGUGGCGGAUUUAGAAAAAUAUUGUCGGAUAAAUUAUAUCUGACACAUUAUUUAAUUAGUGGUGAAUAUAAGAAAAAUCAUGUCGGUUAUAACCGACAUAAAUUCGUGGCAGAUACUAGCAGAUAUUAAAAAACUCAUGUCGGUUAUAACCGACAUAAAUUCCUAGCGAAUAAUUACUGACAGAUAUUAUAAAACUUCUGUCGGUUAUAACCGACAAUAUUUUUGAAUUGGGGGAAUUUAAAAUUUUGGGAGGGAAUUUAAAAUUUUGGGAGGGAAUUUAAAAUUUUGGAGGAAAUUUUGGGGGGAUUUUUACCCAUAUUAAUUCAUGGCGGAUAAUUACUGACGAAUAUUAUAAAGCUCAUGUCGGUUAUAACCAACAAUAAUGAAAAUGUUUAUGUCGAUUUUUAUUAAAAAAAUGUUUCUGUCAGUUUUAACCGACAUUAAUGAAAAUAUUCCACAGUAAAACCCCUACUUCUUCUCCUUGUGCUGGUGCCUUCUCCCUUCCCCCUUCUUUCCCCCUUUUCUCUUCUCCUCAUUUCCUUUUCCUUUGUAUUUUUGAUUUUGACAAGGUCUCUCCUUUAUUUGAUUCUUUGUUGUUCAUCUCUCACAAAUGUAGAGAGAGUAAAGGAGAUGCUUAGAGCGCUUUCUUUGUUCCUUUUUUUUUUCUUUUCAUUUUUUCCCUUUUCAAACUCCGACUAUGUCUUACAUGGCCGGUCCCAAGCCCGGAUAAAGGAGGAGGGGGAGGGCGUCAGGUAGUCGACAGCCGGCACUCCAUGAUCACGUCGAAUCCUUAUGAAAAUGAAUCCAGAACAAAAUCGCGCUAAAGCUAGGGCGCCACCCGUAAGUGGCGCGCUGUGUGGCCCGAGCACAGUGAUAAGUGAGCAAGGGUCGCUGUAUCUCCAUCGGCACUCGGAUGCAGUGUUAAAUGAGCAAGGGGGCCAUAGAAACUUCUUUUCGAACGACUCCACUCAAAGUUGUUUGGGAGCAUAUGCUCCUAUCAACUUUACCCGGGACACACAAAAGAAGUACUUUGAUCCUAUUAGACGGGGGAGGGUGAAGAAGCUAGGACAGAAGGGUAGAGUUCAAGAGAGCAAAAUGCGUUUAGGAACGUGGAAUAUAGGAACCUUAACGGGAAAAUCUAUGGAAGUAGUGGAAGUUAUGGUGAGGAGAAGGAUAAAUAUUAUGUGCCUACAAGAAACUAAGUGGGUUGGUAGUAAGGCAAAGGAUCUAGAAAACUCAGGGUUUAAACUUUGGUAUUCGGGCACAAAUAGAACGAGAAACGGUGUUGGCAUCAUCGUGGACAAGACCUUGGUACAAGAUGUUGUAGAUGUCAAGAGUGUAGGAGAUAGAAUCAUGGCAAUCAAGAUUGUAAUAGGACAAGAACUUAUCAAUGUGAUUAAUGCGUACGCACCUCAAGUAGGGUUGGAUACGAGUUCGAAGGAGAAAUUUUGGGAAGAUCUUGGAGACUUGGUGCAAGGAAUUGCUCAGACGGAGAAGUUAUUUAUAGGAGGAGAUUUAAAUGGACACGUGGGCAGGGAGACAGGCAACUAUGGAGGUUUUCAUGGUGGCCAUGGUUUUGGGGAGAGAAACGAGGAUGGGGAAGCUAUCUUGGAUUUUACAAUGGCAUAUGAUCUCUUCUUAGCCAACACCUUCUUUAAGAAGAGAGAAGAACAUGUGAUCACCUACAAGAGUGGGUCGUCAAAAACACAAAUAGAUUUUCUUCUAAUGAGGAAAGGGGAUCGUAUAACUUGUAAGGAUUGCAAAGUUAUACCAGGAGAGAGCGUGGCUAAUCAACAUCGCUUGUUGGUGAUGGAUGUACAUAUCAAAAGAGUAAGACAAAAGAACAAGACUUGGAAGUGCCCAAGGACUAGAUGGUGGAAUCUAAAAGAAGAAAAACAAGUCAUUUUCAAAGAGAAGGUAAUCACCCAAUGUGUGUGGGAUAGAGAGGGGGAAGCUAGCCAAAUGUGGGAUUUCAUGGCUAGUUGUAUCCGAAAAGUAGCAAAAGAGGUAUUAGGAGAGUCUAAGGGCUUUGCCCCACACUAAAAGGAAUCUUGGUGGUGGAAUGAGGAGGUACAAACAAAGGUGAAGGCUAAGAAGGAAUGUUGUAAAGCCUUAUACAAGGAGAGGACCGAUGAAAAUGGUGAAAGGUAUAGAAAAAAAGCGAAGCAAGAGGCGAAGAAAGCUGUCAGAGAAGCUAAGUUAGCGGCUUACGACGAUAUGUAUAAACGACUAGAUACCAAAGAAGGAGAGUUGGAUAUCUAUAAACUAUCUAGAGCAAAGGAAAAGAAGACAAGGGACCUAAACCAAGUGAGGUGCAUCAAGGAUGAGGAUGGAAAGGUUCUUGCUACAGAGAACGCGGUUAAAGACAGAUGGAGAGGUUAUUUUCAUAAUCUUUUCAAUGAAGGACAUGAAAUGAGUGCUUCUUUAGGGGAGUUGAGUAACUCAGAAGAGUGUAGAAACUACUCUUUUUAUCGUCGAAUCCGGAAGGAAGAAGUGGUUGUAGCUUUGAAGAAGAUGAAGCAUAAAAAAGCAAUAGGCCCAGACAAUAUACCAAUCGAAGUGUGGAAACUUUUGGGAGAGACAGGUAUAACAUGGCUCACUGACCUUUUCAAUAGGAUUUUGAAAACGAAAAAGAUGCCAAAUGAGUGGCGAACGAGCACUUUGGUGCCUAUCUACAAGAAUAAGGGCGACGUACAAAAUUGCAUGAACUAUAGGGGUAUUAAGCUAAUGAGUCAUACAAUGAAGCUCUGGGAGAGAGUCAUUGAGCAUAGAUUGAGGCAAGAGACACGGGUUUCGGACAACCAAUUCGGGUUCAUGCCAGGGCGCUCAACCAUGGAGGCAAUCUAUCUCUUACGAAGAUUGAUGGAAAGAUAUAGAGAUGGGAAAAAUGAUUUACACAUGGUCUUUAUAGAUUUGGAAAAAGCGUAUGAUAGGGUCCCAAGAGACAUUCUUUGGAGGAUUUUAAAGAAGAAAGGAGUACGAGUAGCAUAUAUCCAAGCUAUAAAGGACAUGUAUGAAGAAGCAAAGACUGCCGUAAGAACUCAUGAAGGACAAACCGAAAGCUUUCCCAUAACUGUAGGAUUACAUCAAGGCUCAUCCUUAAGUCCUUACCUUUUUGCGUUGGUAAUGGAUGAGUUAACAGGACAUAUUCAAGAUGAUAUUCCUUGGUGUAUGCUUUUCGCAGACGAUAUAGUGUUGAUAGAUGAAACUCAGGAAGGGGUAAAUGCAAAGCUUAACCUUUGGAGAGAAGUGUUGGAAUCUAAAGGUCUUCGCCUAAGCCGAUCAAAGACAGAAUAUAUGGAGUGCAAGUUCAGUGCAAAUGGAGGCCAAAACGAGUUAGGGGUGAGGAUCGGAGAUCAAGAAAUACCAAAGAGUGACCGUUUUCGUUACCUAGGAUCUAUCUUGCAAAAGAACGGAGAAUUAGAUGGAGAUCUCAACCAUAGAAUACAAGCUGGAUGGAUGAAGUGGAAGAGUGCAUCUGACGUGUUGUGUGACCGUCGUAUGCCACUGAAGCUCAAAGGAAAAUUUUAUAGGACGGCAAUAAGGUCGGCGAUGAUUCAACUUGGCGGGUUCGAGCAAAUAGGCGUUGGGCCAUAUUAGACACAGAACCUGCACACUGAACACUGAGAGCUAGCGAAUCCUUAACAGCUAACUCAUCAGACCGUUUGGAAAGUAGUCUGUUAUCUUUGGGAGUGAGAAGGUUCCUGGCCACCACCGCAGCGGUCAUAUCAUUCUUCAUCACGGAAUCCCCAACGGUAAGAGGACCAGUAGGGGAGACAAAGGAUGGGCGCCAUAUGUUGUCUGGAGAAGGCGGGGCUGCCUCUUCAACAAGGUUCAAGUCAAAAAACGACGGUCGGAGGGCCAGACAUUUUCAAAGGUGUUGAAGAGAGAAGAGGUCGGACACAAAUCAAGAUCUUAGAAGUGCAAGAAUGAAGCUUCUACUGGUGGAGAUUCAAGUGUGCUUUGGAACUUAAUGCCAGCCCCUAUAAAAAUCUGCACUCGACGGAGCUUCAGAAAUCGAAGAGGCGUUUGCUUUCUCAAAAGCUGGGCUGCUUAGAGAUCACGAGGGUUGAUCUCAGGAAUCGAAGAGGCGUUUGCUUUCUCAAAAGUUGGGCUGCUCAAAGACCACGAAGGCCGAUCUCAGAAAUCGAAGAGGCGCUCACUUUCUCAAAAACUGGGCUCCCCAGAGACCACGAGGGCCGAUCUCAAAAAUCGAAGAGGCACCUACUUUUCCAGCCUUGUCAGCACCUGUCACACGCACACUCAGCUUUGCGGAAAUUAUGGGCAUUCUGUCGAAGACUUCUGGGGAAGUAGAAAACACAUGAAUCUUACUGUUCAAUCACCCACUUCCCACACGCAAUAAUAGCUCAUGGGUACCACAGAUAACUUUGCCAAAGUUCUCUGCCAAAGUUGAGCACGUGAAGCUUGCAGCUCCCACUACAUCGCUCUGACCAAGAAGGGUAAAAAGAAUAGCAAAGAAACAGCACUAACAAAGUUUAGACCCAUAAAUUUUGAAGGUCUAGCUACCAUAUUAUUACCCACAAGGGUAAAGGAACAGUACCACUGCUGGAUAAUUGGAAAGUCCCUAUGUGUCAACCUCUGUGCUUCGUGGCAAGGUAGACUAGCAAACAUGCCCAACCUUUACUCACAUUCGAGAAAACACUCCCAAUAAGAUUGCUUGCUCCAAAAUCGAAGAGGCACCGUCCUCCGAAUCUCGAGAGCCAGACUCCCAACAUGACUACUUUCUUAAAAAUCGAAGAGAGGGUAAAGGAACAGUACCAUUGCUGGAUAAUUGGAAAGUCCAUGUGUGUCAACCUCUGUGCUUCGUGGCAAGGUAGACUAGCAAACAUGCCCAACCUUUACUCACAUUCGAGAAAACACUCCCAACAAGAUUGCUUGCUCCAAAAUCGAAGAGGCACCGCCCUCCGAAUCUCGAGAGCCAGACUCCCAACAUGAUUACUUUCUCAAAAAUCGAAAGAGACACUGCUCCCCGAAUCUUCGAGAGCCAGACCCCCAGCAUGAUUGCUUUCUCAAAAAUCGAUGAGGCAUCGUUCUCCGAAUCAAUCGAAGAGGCGCUCGCUUUCUCAAAAGCUGGGCUGCUCAGAGACCACGAGGGCCGAUCUCAGAAAUCGAAGAGGCACUUACUUUUCUAGCCUUGUCAGCACCUGUCACACGCACACUCAGCUUUGCAGAAAUUAUGGGCAUUCUGUCGAAGACUUCUGGUGAAGUAGAAAGCACAUUAAUCCUACUGUUCAAUCACCCACUUCCCACACGCAACAAUAGCUCAUGGGUACCACAGAUAACUUUGCCAAAGUUCUCUGCCAAAGUUGAGCACGUGAAGCUUGCAGCUCCCACUACAUCGCUCUGACCAAGAAAGGUAAAAGAAUAGCAAAGAAACAGCACUAACAAAGUUUAGACACAUAAAUUUUGAAGGUCUAGCUACCAUAUUAUUACCCACAAGGGUAAAGGAACAGUACCACUGCUGGAUAAUUGGAAAGUCCCUGUGUGUCAACCUAUGUGCUUCGUGGCAAGGUAGACUAGCAAACAUGCCCAACCUUUACUCACAUUCGAGAAAACACUCCCAACAAGAUUGCUUGCUCCAAAAUCGAAGAGGCACUGUCCUCCGAAUCUCGAGAGCCAGACUCCCAACAUGACUACUUUCUCAAAAGCGAAGAGAGGGUAAAGGAACAGUACCAUUGCUGGAUAAUUGGAAAGUCCCUGUGUGUCAACCUUUGUGCUUCAUGGCAAGGUAGACUAGCAAACAUGCCCAACCUUUACUCACAUUCGAGACAACACUCCCAACAGGAUUGCUUGCUCCAAAAUCAAGAGGCACCGCCCUCCGAAUCUCGAGAGCCAAACUCCCAACAUGAUUACUUCCUCAAAAAUCGAAGAGACACUGCUCUCCGAAUCUCGAGAGCCAGACCCCCAGCAUGAUUGCUUUCUCAAAAAUCGAAAAGGCAUCGUUCUCCGAAUCUCGAGAGCCAGAUACCACAGACCACUUUUUCAAAGUGCUCUGACAGAGUUAAAACAUGUGAAACUGGCAGCUCCCACUACCGUGCUAUGACCAAGCAGGGUAAAGGAAUAGCAUUACUACUUGUUGUUAGGGAGACUCCUAUAUAUGUCGACCUCCAUCCCCAACGGACAGGCAGACCUGCAAAAAUGCUCAACCCUUCAUCAUAUCUGAGUGGGCACUCCCAACGAAGCCUUUCGAAAUAUUCAGCUUUCUUUCCCCCCGAUAAUACCUCUGCAAACAAGCUAUACUAGAGCAAGAAUAUCUCAUAUCAUCAGGGUUAAAAGCAAGAGUAUCCCAUAUCAUGCUUUUUCCCUGUCUUUUCCUUUGGCCUUGUUUUUACCUGCAAGACAAGGAGAAAGAGAGCAAUCAGUCAGCACUUGGAAUCAAGCUUCCAACCAGGAAAUGACUGCCUGGAACCCCUUACUUGGCAUUGCUCUCGAGUACUCAUCUUCAACAUCUUAUGUUUCCAGGGAAGAUUCUGCAUCUGCUUGAGGAACAGAUAGGGCAAGUGCGAAGGAUACAAGGAAGCAUGCGGAGACAAGCGUAACAGCACACGUGCCGAUACAUCCAUUACUCUGUCAAAAGCAAAAGUAUCCCAUAUCAGCAGGGUGGAACGUACUCUAGAUUUGAUGGACUUGUUUUGACCCUCAAAUUCUUCAGUCGGCCUUAUAUUCUGGAGGAAACCAGAAAACCCUCCAGCUCAGUUCAAGAAUAAGCCUGUGGAAAGUUACUUCUUCAAAAGCAAAAGUAUCUCAUAUCAUCUCUUCUCAUUUUUCUUCUCUCUUUAUCCUUCAUGCUGCUGCAAGAUGGGGAGAAGGUGAACAAUCAGUCGGAGCUCUGAUUGCUUACCUUGUCUGUCACCUCUUUCAGCAGACCCCCUAGCUCGGCGACUUGGGGGACUCCUACUAAAUGGUUUGUAUCGCGCUUGACCAAGCCUGAAACUACAAGUAAGCUUCAAGUGAAAUUGAUACAUUACCUUGUGCAUCUCCACCAGUUAAAGAUACCACCCCUGGAUGGAGGAAGAGUACUUCCAGAGAAGAUGCCACAUCUACCUAUGAGACAGAUAAGGCAAGUCAAGACGACACCACACUCCGAUACUUAGAAGUUUCGUGAUUAUGAGAUCAUUCUCCCACAAUAUUUCCUAAUGUCAUUUGUACUAAAUCAUUCACUUGUACUCACUAAAGGAGAGCUUGAACCUAUGUACUUGUGUAAACCCUUCACAAUUAAUGAGAACUCUUCUAUUCCGUGGACGUAGCCAAUCUGGGUGAACCACGUACAUCUUGUGUUUGCUUUCCUAUCUCUAUCCAUUUAUAUACUUAUCCACACUAAUGACCGGAGCAAUCUAGCGAAGAUCACAAAAAGCGACCGUUUUCGCUACCUAGGAUCUAUCUUGCAAGAGAACGGAGAAUUAGAUGGAGAUCUCAACCAUAGAAUACGAGCUGGAUGGAUGAAGUGUAAGAGUGCAUCCGGCGUGUUGUGUGACUAUCGUAGGCCACUGAAGCUCAAAGGAAAAUUUUAUAGGACGGCAAUAAGGCCAGCGAUGUUGUAUGGCACAGAAUGUUGGGCGGUGAAGCAUCAACACGUACACAAAAUGGGUGUAGCGGAGAUGAGGAUGCUUCGUGGGAUGUGUGGGCACACGAGAAAGGAUAAGAUUGGGAAUGAGGAUAUCCGAGGUAAAGUAGGAGUAGCCGAAAUUGUAGGAAAGAUGAGAGAAAAUCGGCUCCGGUGAUUUGGACAUGUGCAAAGAAGGCCGACUGACGCUCCGAUUCGAAGAUGUGACUACGGGACAGAGGUUCAGGGCCGAAGGGGUAGAGGAAGACCUAGGAAAACUUUGGAAGAGACUCUAAGAAAAGACUUAGAGUACUUGGAUCUAACGGAGGACAUGACACAAAACCGAGCGCAAUGGCGUUCUAGGAUUCAUAUAGCCGACCCCACUUAGUGGGAAAAGGCUUUGUUGUUGUUGUUGUUGUUGUAUUUUUUCCCUUUUCAAAAUCGAAAUGUUCUAAAUUAUUUCACUAAUCCUUGCUAGUUUGAACUGCAGGAGUCUGUCUCUGGAUUUGAAAGAUUAUCUGGACUUACAGUUUUGAAGAAUUGGGAUUCUAGUGUUACACAUAUUAUUGCAUCGACAGAUGAAAAUGAAGCAUGCAGAAGAACCCUUAAAAUUUUGAUGGGUAUCUUGGAGGGGAAGUGGAUUCUGAGUGUGGAGUGAGUUUUACUGUUUUCGUUUUAAUUGUUCUUCCUCAAGUGCUUGGACUUUACAAUUGUAAUGAGUACAGAAGCCGAAAUGAGAUAUUGAUAUACAUGUUCACAUUGCUGAUAAUUCGUUAUCCGUCUGUUUGUGUAGGAAUUAAUGCUUGCACAUAAGUAAUGAAACUAGUUAAUGAGGAGCCUUAUGAAAUCAACGUUGACAUUUAUGGAAUCAGGGAUGGUCCUCGACUUGGUAGACUAAGGCUGCAGAACAAGGUUAGCUUUUCCUCGAGUUUAACUAUCAUCACGAAAACUUUAGAUUUUCAUGGAUUCACCAUAGGCAUUGUUAAUCUUGUUCAGUCCAUAAAUAGGUUACACACUUAUCUUAACAAAGGUGAGACCUUCUCAAUUCCUCAUCGAGAUGAAUCAAGAGCAUAAUUGUAGCAGUGAUCAAGAGCAAUUUUUUUAUGUUUCUUCCAAAUUGUUGAGAUGAAUCAUCUGUGUUUUGUUCUAAUAAUCUUACAAAUUUGUUGAGCAAUUUUUGUAAAGUCAGAAUCUUUGGUUUCGGUUGUGAGGUAUCUGAUUUGGGUAUAUGUGUUUUGCAGGGCACGGUGGUUGUGGCGGAGGAAGAUUAGGAUUGACGACAGAGCUCUGGCCAUGAACUAUCAGCUCUGUCUUUCUCUCUCUAACUAUGAAUUGAAUACAAAAGUCUGUGUUGAUAUGGAAAAUGUAGCUCAAAAUUAUUACACAAAUGGCAAAAAAAAAAAGUUCGAGUGUGGAGUUUCACUUACUGAUACAGGGCUUUUGAAACAGGGUUGUCUAGACUGUAGAAGAAAUCCAUGGCUUUUGGAAGAGGGGAUGUUCCAAAUCUAUCUUUUCUCCCUCUCUAAUGUUCUUCGAGGGGUUCUUGUGAUGCAAAAAGUGGUUUAUAUAUAUUUUUUAUUAUUAAUAAAUUUUCUGUCGGUUUUAUCAGACAAUAAUUCUUUUAUUUAUUCUUAUUAAUAAUUUCUCUGUCGGUUAUAUCUGACACAAUUUCUGUCGAUUUUAGAGUAUUUUCUAUCGAAAAUUUCAUUUCCUGACGCAUCAAUUAUGUCGCUUAUUAUAUCCGCCACUGCACUCAUUUCAUGUCGGAUUUUGCUUAAUUUCCAACAGUAUUAUACAUUUCUUGUCGGUUUUUAAACCGACACUAAUGGGUACUUUUGUAGUAAUGUUGGGGCGUCGGAGUUCGUUUAAGGUCGAAUUGAGCACACCCAAAUUCAAGGGUUCCGUACGGUUCAUGGUAAUUUGAGGUAUUUCUCAGCCAAAUUGUCCUUAGUCACAGAUAUGAAAGUUGCUCCACUCGUUGAGAUCUUCAUUUAUGUCAAAUUUGAGAAUUUUUAGAAAUAAUUGGAUUUUCCAGCGAAUCGGGGCGGCGGACCACCACCGGACAGCGCAUGGCUAGUGGGCCCCCAAUGUCAUUUUACGUUAAAUUGGUAUCUUGAUUUUAGGUUUGAUGUCUAUAUGUUAUGACUUGAUAUGUGAACCUAGUUUAAUUAAGGUGCGUUAAUUGGUAAAAAUAUGAAACGACGAUCCGACCGUGGGAUCGUCACCAAUCUUUAUUAUGUUAUAGUACAUUAUAUUUGAGAAUCAUAGGGACUGACGGAUAGGAAAUCCGAUAUACGGAUCUUCCUGAAAUGGAAUUGUAAGUUCGAAGAAUAAACGUUAACCGCCACUUUGUUUUGACUAUUGGUGAAGAUCCAACCGUUGGAUCAUAAUGAAAUUUUAGGAUGAUGUUUUAGAAGCAUAAUGUGGAUCUUUGGAAGUUAUUGAUUGGAAAUCCGAGGAGCGAAUCUUCCGGAUUGAAUUACGUAAGGUUGUGGACCCUACCGUCGAUCGUUGACUGACGAUCGACUUUUGGUCAAUGGGGCUUAAAUCACUCUAAAAUGUUUUUAGGGAUGUGUUUUACGUAAAUUACAUUAUCUAUGGAUAAGAAUUCUGAGAUGUGGUUUGAUAAUUGUCCUGGGCGCCGAUCGUUAGGAACGCUUCGAUGGUUGUGCUAGGAAAUUGUAGCAUAGACUCCAGGUGAGUGAAUCUUUUCCUUCUUAUAUAUAUAUAUAUAUAUAUAUGAUUGACAAUUCCACAAACGUUUAUAAAUUGAUUAUUGCAUAUAACUACUGUAAAUACUUUGAAGUACUUAUGCGAACUACGAAUGGCUUGAUCCCUAUUUAGGGUACGUAUGCAGUCUAACAAGACAUUAAAUGCAGUCAUACAAUAAUUGAGAUUAAACAAUUGAGACAAAGCCUUGUAUGGGGAACUGGGCAAGGUGAACGAAUUUGGUAAAAAUGUGAGAUUUAACCUUCUGAAUUGGUGAUUAAAUGUUGGUCAUAAAUCAAUGUGUAAAGAAUCAAGAAUUUGAAGUAAGGAAACGUAAGUAAUGAUAAUUAAUUAAACUAGUGUCUAGUUGGGCUUGUCACCUAUAAUUAUCCCCAAAAAUGAAUAAUUCGGGAGUAGGGCGUUAUAGCUUCUGCAUUUUUAUGCCACAUUAUAUAUAUAUAUAUAUGUGUGUGUGUGUGUGUGUGUGUGUGUGUGUGUAUAAUUGGAAAUGCUAUAACGUGGUUGAGUAUCAGAUUUCAUCAUGGUUUAUCUAUAUGUAUAUUACCUGCACACAAUUAUUAUGAACACUUUGAAGUGCAAAGGUGAACGCAAGACACCCAGGAAAGUUCAGGUGAGUUUAUGGUAUUAGUUGAAAUGAUGGGGUUAUGGUAACUACAUGUAUGUUUAGGUUGCAAUGAUAGGCAACUCCGACACUGUCGUACAAGUUGCCCAUGAAUUGUAUAUGUUACAAUAGAUAGAGUUAGAGGUCAUAAACCUGCACCCCGGUGUUAGUGCUCCCACCCGUGGCUAGGGCACAGUCUUUCACGAGAUGUUCACCUCUCGCAUCUUACGCUCACCUUGGAUCCAAGGUAGGUGCACAGUCAUGUCAUAAAGACCACUAUAGGUGGUUCCGACUAGUAGAUGACCCGUGAUUAUUCGCACAGUCUUCACGUGAUUGUAGCACUUGAGCGUAUUUAUUUACACCCAGUCCUGUCGUACAGACCACUUUAGGUGGUUCCGACUCGUAUGCAGGUAUACUUAUUGAGCUAUGGAUAAGUCGUACAGGUCACUAAAGGUGACUCCAACUUAUGAGCUAGCAUAUGUGAUGAAAUAUGUGAUGAGCUAGCAUAUGUAAUGAGAUAAGUGAUGAGCUAGCAUAUGUGAUGAGAUAUGUGAUGAGUUAGCAUACGUUAUGAGAUAUGUGAUGAGUGAUAUAAUCAUAAUUGCAUACAUUUUCAUGCCCUUUUAGUUUAGAUUUUUGUUAUCCUUUUGAGUGAAUUUAGUUUGUUUCACUUAGUUUUAUGUUUUUCUUAGAUUUGAAGUGUGAAGAUGAAGAAAGAAGAAAAAAGAGCAUUUUUAGCGAUUGAAAUGAGUUUGGCAUGCUGGAAGCAGAGGCUAUUUGUGCGGAUCAGCCAACUUUACGGAUUAAACUGUACUUCCUUAGAAUGCCAGCUGUUGAGUCUUAUACCAUUGGAAAGAUAUGAAAGUUAGCUUUCAGAGGAAUUUUACGAUUCGUGAUUCCGAGUUUCCUAGAAGACGUUAUAGUGGUUUUUCUACCAGAUGUCUGCCAGCAAGGUUUUACGCGGGAUUUGCAAAGAGAUUCCAGAUUUACAAAGUUUAAUUAAAGGAAACAAGCAGAGAAAAAAGAAGAGGAAGCUUUUAGAAAAGUUCAGGACUAUUCUAAACGGUGCAUAGUUAAUAUAUUUAAUAGUUUAGUGUGCCACAUCAUCAAUAAACUAAUCUAAGUCAGAAGAGAAAUUCAAGAGUCCCAUUCAAGUAAGUAUUCCAGCAGUUUUAUUCAGGAAUAAAGGAGGGCAGACCGUCGGACUUUAGGAGCGGACAGAGAGAGUUUUUGGGUUUUCGAAGGUGCAGAGAAGAGGUCGCAGCAAGGAGUGAAACAGAGUCGCCGAUCAUCUGGGCAAUCCAUCACCAUCGUGUGGAAGUAUUUUAUGUUUUUCAGAUUUUUAAUUAUGUUUUCAGAUUUUAUGAGUAACUAAACUCUUUUUCUAAGGUUAGGAUGAUGCCCUAGCAUGGAUGUUUAUGGUUUGUAAUGUUAUUCAUUGGAUUUCCAGUUUCUUUUAGAUGAAUGCUUAAUCACUGUUUGAAUUGUUACUGUUUGUUUGAGUUCUUUGAUUGAUCACCUUAGGACUUUGCAUCUAGUAAGAUUGGAAGAUGAAUUUGAGACUGAACUAACAAUAUAAUUCAAUUAGCUUCUUGUGGUUAAGUGUGGUAAAUUACAUUAUUGCUUGAAAAAGAAUAAUGGUUUGUUUGGGUCCCUUGUUUUCUAGAGGGUAAAGAGUCCUACUUGUUAAAUUUAUGCCUUAACUAGGAUAGACUGCUUGUUAGGAUAUACGACCUCUGCCUAAACUAGGAGAGAAUCAUUCACAUAAGGAAAACUAUGGUCUAAUAUGCCUGACAAGGACUUAGAUACGGGAAUUAUCAUCUAAAGAAUUGAAAGAUCCAUUGAAUGCAUUGAAACCUAAACUAGAUUGCUUGUGGUUGAUUCCGAAUCCCUAGAUUUUCAUCACUUGCCUUAAAACACAACCGUUUCUUUUCUUUAAUUUCAGUUUUUACUUAAGGUUCUGUUUUUGUUCAUUUAUAAAAUCAUCACAACAAAUUUUUUACAUCUUUGAUUGACUUAUUAAUUAAGAUCGAGUCUAGUUCGUUGUUUGGGUUUGUGUGUCUUUAAUAUAAUUAGAUUUGGUUUAGUUUAUCAAAUUGGAGAUUGAAUUAGAAUCCUCGUGGGAACGAUACUUGGACUUGCAAAACGUUAUAUUACGACUAUCUUGUGCACUUGUAAGUUUACACCAAGUUUUUGGCGCCGUUGCCGGGGACUCUAAUUGAGUCCCCCAAUUUGAUAUCAUAUUCCAUAUCUAAUAAGUAGUUUAUUGUAGAUUAUUCAAUUUGAUUUUGUUUUGUUCUCUAGUUUCGAGUAAGAGUCAUAACUAUUAAGAUAAGUAAAAGUAAUUUUCGUCACUGUUUUAUUUCAGUUUUGUAUCACUGUUUCGACACAGUUUUGGACUAAACUAUUCGAUUUUUUACCAGGAAUAUUGUGUAUCGUUGGAAAGCCCCAGAAGUCUAGUUUUCAACCCAAAAAACAGAUCAAUGAUUGGAUUUUUGAGCUGCAAGAAAUGUACAAAAUACUGAGCAGUGGUCAAACAAGGAGCACAGUCUGGUCGUAUAUGCAAGGUAGACGUUCGUUGCAAUUUGAGUUGAUUCAUAUAGACCAAGAACUUGUGCGUACUUUAAGAGAACAGUGGAGGCAGCGAGUGUGUCAAGAACCAGCCAUGGAGGAAGUAGUUAAUAAUGGUGGAAAUAAUCCUCCACCAUUGCUACCACCACAACCAAGGCUCAUGCGUGAUUAUACAAAGCCAACGGAGUACAACGCACCGUCAUGCAUUGUUUUGGCUCCAAUUGCGCAGCGAUUUGAGAUUCGUCCACAAAUCUUUCAGUUGCUGCCUAUAUUUCUUGGGAAGGAGGAAGAAAAUCCAUACCAUCAUAUCAAGGCGUUUUUCAAGCUAUGUUCCACAUUCACAUUCACCAAUGUUACUGAAGAGCAAAUUCGACUUCGGUUAUUCCCAUUCUCUUUGAGGGAUAAAGCAAGCAGUUGGUUGGAUUCUCUUCCCGAAGCAUCUAUCGACACAUGGACAAAAUUAUCGAAGAAGUUUUUGUCCAAGUUCUUCCCCGCUCGAAGAACCAAUGCUCUGAUCAAUGAAAUCAUGAGCUUUCGACAACAAGAAGGUGAACAGUUUCAUGAAAGUUGGGAGCGCUAUAAGGACUUGUUUCUUCAAUGUCCUCAUCAUGGUUUCAACACUUGGCAAAAGGUUCAUUAUUUUUACAAAGGUUUGAACUCUCAAUGUAGGAGUUUGGUUGAUUCAACGGUUGGUGGAACCUUGAUAGACAAAACUCCAGAAGAUGCCAUACAUGCCUUUGAAACUAUAUGUGAAAAUUCUGAGCAUUGGGAUUUUCCUACAAAAGAUUUGAGAGUUCCAACUGCAUCGUCAACAAAAAAAGGAGGCAUUUAUGAAGUUAAUACAAGGACGGGCUUAGAGGCACAAGUGGCAGCCCUCACCAAGCUUCUCACACCACUUGUAAGCAAGAUAGCCACGCAGCCAUGUACUUUAUGUGCGAGCAUCGCCCAUGACAUGGAAAAUUGUCCAACAAAUGCUAAUCUAGAAGGCAUCCAAGAGGUCAAUGCAUUUAGUGGGAGGCCCCGGAAUGAUCCAUAUUCUAAUAAUUAUAACCCGGGAUGGAGAGAACAUCCAAAUUUUUCUUAGAGAGAUUCACAAAAUAGCAUGGGAUCAUUCACUUCAACAAAGCAAUAUCAGCAACCUUAUCAAGCUCCUCCAAUUCAACAAAAAGACUCGUCUAUCAAGGAUAUGUUAUCUCAACUCUUAAAGAAAACUGAUCGGUAUGAACAUGAAGUUGUGUCGCUUAGACAAAGUCAGACGGUGUUGGAAAAGGCUCGAUCUAAUUUUGAGACUCAGUUGGGACAGAUAGCUACUACUUUGAACAAGCUGGAGUGAGCACAAGGGCAAUUUCCAAGCCAAACUGAAACAAAUCCUAGGAAUCAAAAGCAUGUUCAAGCUGUCACCACUUUGAGGAGUGGAAAGACGAUUGGUAAUAAUGUGGAAAGUUCAAAAAUUAAUAAGGAAGAAGAUGAAGGGGUCAGCACAUAUCGGGCAGCAGCUUGACAAGACAAGCUAAAAAAGAGAAGUAUAUGGGAGAUAUUUUAGAGCAAUUUAGAAAGGUGCAGAUUAAUAUUCCUUUUCUCGAUGCCAUCAAACAAAUUCAAUCAUAUGCGAAGUUUUUGAAGGAACUUUGUACUAACAAGAGACGGUAUGAAGAACAUGAGGAGGUGAAGUUAUCAGACACGGUUAGUGCGGUUCUUCAAAGAAAAUUGCCACCAAAACUUCAAGAUCCUGGUAGCUUUACAGUCCCAUGUGUCAUUGGAGAAAGAAAAUUCGAAAAAGCUUUGCUUGACUUGGGAGCCAGUGUGAAUUUGAUGCCCUAUUCUGCUUAUAAACACCUCAAAUUAGGCGAACUAAAGCACAUAUCCAUUUCUCUACAAUGCACUGAUCGUUCUGUGAAAUAUCCAAGAGGGAUUGUUGAAAAUGUACUUGUGUGUGUUGAUCAAUUUAUUCUUCCUGCUGACUUCAUCAUUUUGGACAUGGAAGAAGCCGAAAUUCCUGGUCGUGACUUGCCUCUCAUUCUUGGCAGACCUUUCAUGGCUACUGCAGGUACGAAGAUUGAUGUUAAAUCGGGAUUAUUAACUAUGACUGUGCAAGGUAUUACUGUAGAAUUUCAGGUCUUCGAAGCAUUGAAGAAGCCCAUGGAUCUUUAUGACUGCUUUCGUGUUGAGGUAGUGGAUCCAAUUAUAAAAAAAAACAUUCAUUGAAUCAAGCAUCUCAGAUCCUCUGGAAGUUUGUAUCUCUCAACAUGGGAUGAGUUUUGAAAAGGCUACCAUCAUUGAAGCAGAACGAGAUCUCAAUGCCGUAACGUCCUACUCUCUUAGAUGCCAGCCCAAAUUUGAAGCGUUGCCACUCACAAGCCAAAAUUGUACCAUCCAUUAUACAACCUCCAAAGCUUGAAUUGAAGCCUCUUCCAGAGACUUUAAAGUAUGCAUAUUUGGUGAUUCAGAGACUCUUCCUGUGAUUAUAGCUGCUGAUCUUAACCAAACAGAAGAGGAAAAGUUGAUGCAAAUGUUGAGGGAGCAUAAAACAGCAUUGGGAUGGAGUAUUGCAGACAUAAAAGGAAUUAGUCCUCAAUUUGCAUGCAUCGGAUAUAUCUUGAGGACAAGUCAAAGCCUUCUAGAGAGGCACAGCGACGUCUAAAUCCACAUAUGCAAGAAGUGGUUCGGGCAGAAGUUCUUAAAUUACUGAAUGUCGGCAUUAUUUAUCCUAUAUCUAACAGCAAAUGGGUAAGUCCACUGCAGGUUGUACCACAGAGAUCUGGAAUUACAGUUGUCAAGAAUGAAAAUAAUGAGCUUAUACCCCAGAGGACUGUCACGGGUUGGAGAAUGUGUACAGAUUACAGAAAGAUCAAUAAUUCAACUCGAAAAUAUCAUUUUCCACUCCCUUUCCUUGAUCUCAUGCUUGAGAGACUUGCAGGCCAUAGUUAUUAUUGUUUUCUUGAUGGCUAUUCCAGAUAUAAUCAAAUUCCCAUAGCUCCGGAAGAUCAAGAAAAGACUACUUUCACAUGUCCAUUUGGAACUUUUGCCUAUCGACGAAUGCCUUUUGGGUUAUGUAAUGCUCCCGCAACAUUCCAAAGAUGCAUGAUGAGCAUUUUCUCAAACUUGGUGGAAAGGUGUAUCGAAGUGUUCGUGGAUGAUUUUUCCGUGUUUGGGUCAUCGUUUGAUCAAUGUCUUCAUCAUCUUUCAUUGGUGCUCUAACGGUGUCAAGAAACCAACUUGAUUUUAAAUUGGGAAAAAUGUCAGUUUAUGGUGAAAAGUGGUAUUGUUCUUGGUCAUGUAAUUUUAGCUGACGGAAUUGAAGUUGAUAAAGCUAAGGUGGAGCUGAUUUCGAAGCUUCCUCCUCCCACUUCUGUAAAAGAAGUUCGAUCCUUUCUCGAGCAUCCAAGUUUUUAUCGCCGAUUUAUUAAAGAUUUCUCGAAAAUCACCAAGCCACUUUGUGAUCUGCUUGCUAAAGAUUCUGUGUUUAAUUUAAAUGGUGAGUGCUUACAAGCUUUUGAGACCCUCAAGAAAGAAUUAACACAAGCCCCAAUCAUAAAAGCUCCAGAGUGGUCUCUUCCUUUUGAAAUCAUGUGUGACGCCUCUGAGUAUGCAAUAGGUGUUGUGUUAGGGCAGCGAGUUAACAAACUUCCUCAUGUUAUAUUUUAUGCUAGCCGAAUUCUCACUUAACAACUUUCAUAUCCCUUAGUUUCCAAAAUUUAAUAUACAAAUUUAGUCUCCCAAGCAUUGCUAUAUUACUUAAGUAUUGAUUAAUAGACUUAUUUCUUAUGGUGACACAUUAUUUAGUUUACAAAUUUAGUCUAUCUAACAUUACUCUUUUGACAUUGUCUUGUCCACUGAUAUAAUUCUAUUUUUCUUGUGAUCAAAACUUCAAAUGUUAGCAAGUCGCACGUAAAGUCGCUUCUGAGAGAAUGUGCUCACAUUGUAGUUGAAAGAUUAUGUGGCUAGCAACAUUACAAAUUUAAUUUGGUAUAAUUUUAAAAUAUAGAUUGAGGAAAAAAAGGAUCACAUUAACUAGAAACUGAAAAGGUUUCGGCGCAAUAUGUUCAAGCAAGAAACUCAAUUUUGAUGCUACCGAUCUUAACAGCCUGAGCGCCGUACCUGGGCACUAAAGUCACCACCACACUCUCAUCAUCUUCAGCACCCAAAUCCUCCAACAGGUCCGUUAACCCCAACCUUAAACAACUCUUGCUCUUUUCCUUCUGCUUAUGUGGCACACUCACAAAACUCCCAGCAAACUCGCUCUUGUCGGGUCCACUCGGUGCCGCAUCCUCAUCAUCCACGUCAUUCACAUACACAUCAAACUUCACAGCCACAUCUUUGUCAAGCUCAAUCCCCCGAAUCACCAAUAUCUCCUCCUCAUCCUCUUUCUCCUUCUUGCUCCUCUUCUUCGGCUUCGGCCUUGACACCACCGUAGUUAUCUUCGUCUCCAAAUUUAUUGGAAAAUCUUUACCCGCCACCACCUUCCCCGAUGACGUCGUCUCAGCGGCCUUCGCCACUCCAGCCGCCUUUGCCUUUCUCGCAAGCUUUGUCCGACGUGGCGUCGGUCUAGAGUUGAGCCAUGGAAUCUCAACAUCUUCAUACGUAUACCCUAGCUUUUUAUUAUCAAGAGUGUCCCUCACCGUGACCCUAACAAGCUCAGCAUUCUCGUCAUAAAACAAAAACCCCGUAUCCAACCAAUCCUUAUCGUUAAUAUCUUUAUUUUUAGUCCCUAUACUUUUCCAAAUAUUCCACAUUCGAUCCAGAUUCAAAUGGUGCGCAAAAAAUAUCGGAUCCCUUGCAGUGGAGUAAAAAUUCCCCAUGUCUUCAUAAUUAGGUUGCGUGUUAUCUCCGGUCCAUGUAUGAACCGGACCAUGUGGGGUCUGUUCGAUUGCACCGGCCCCUGGAUCUGGUUCAGUGCCAGCCCUGUAGGGCGAACCAAAGAACAACAGCGGUUUCUUGGAGUUGGAAACCAUCUGCCUAUACAUGAUUUUGAGGUUGGCUUCGAUUUGAGCAUCCUUGGACAUUGUUUCAUCCGUGCCGUUGAAGUCAAGAUCGAUGAGAGUUGGCGGCUGAUGGCUGGCAGCGCGGAGCUCGUCGUAAAGCGGAGAGUCAGGGUUAGCGUACAAG